rnacentral:lncRNA from 1 species
GUUAGAUCGUUGUUAGGAAGUGUGUGUGCUCGUAGUGUUUCAGAAUGUGCCUGUGUUGUUCUUGUCAUGGUGGGUCUGUUAUGCCUAAUCUGAUGGUACCUUCUUGUUGCCAUCAGCUAUGGAAAUGAAAAAUGUUGGCUUCCUGUUCUCACUCAUCUGCGUUUGAAUGCCUGUUCCCAACCUGUCAGAUUUCUUGCCUGAUUUAGCUAGCUUGUUCUAUUUUGCUCUGAUUUUGAGCUUAAUUAUCAUUAGACUGUCAAUUUUGUAAUGAGUAAUCUGGCUAGCUGCCUCGAAACCCGAUCGAACGAGUAGUUGAGGUGGAACCUGAAAAUUGCUUGUACGCUAGUGUGCUCGUCCUCAGUUCUGUCUGUCGAUCAGUUGCGACAGUAUGUUUGAUGUUCAGUGCACACAAUCUGUUGAAAGCAUCCCUACUGUGCCUAAUUAUAUUGAAACCCUGCAAGUCUAUGAACCAUGCUCUAAACUAAGUGCGUACUGAUAGUACAACUUAAGUGGUGUCCUGUCUUCAGAUCUUACAGGUUCAGCAAUGGCUGCAGGGCUUUGACACCGUGCCUGCAAUAUUAUUGGUUGCAUCAACCACAAUUUCCUAAAUAACGCACCAGAACAUCGAGCAAGCGCUGGCGACGAUUGCCAUUCCUGGUUGUGCAGCUGUCGAAACAGCAGUUGUUGCUUGAUGAUCUGUUCUCAGUGGUCACGUUCAGGAGUAUAAAGAGAGUAUGUGUCCUACUCCUAUCCCAAGCAUGUGAAAUGACCUGCCAGUUUUAGCUACUGUGUUCUUAAUUGCUUCGAUUUUGUAGCUUAAAUGGUAGUAGUACUGUGUCAAAAUCUCUUCGAAAUAACUAUUCCGGUUGGGUGCCUCUGAACCUUAAUGAACAGAUGUAGUAUGCUCGUUCAGUUCAGUUUUGUGUACCUUACAUAAACAGUAGUACUUCCUGAUGGUCACAUCAGUGCUGAAAGUUUUCUCAACCCUGCUUUUGUUCUGUAUAAUUUCAAAACUACAAACACAGUUACAAGGACGCCUCCGACUACAGUUUUUCUUGAUUAAGCGUUUAUCAUGAGGCACACCGCUAUUUCUUAAGAGAAUUUUAGUGGUAUCCCAUGGGUAACUGCUCCCACAGGAAUACAAACGCCAAUUUCUUGGUACCUAUUCUCCAGUCGCGCACACUUAAAGCGAAACACUGUUCAUUCUGGGCAGUUUACAACAGUGCUGCUGUGGGAUCCGGAUGUUUCUGGUGGUAAGCUGAUGUUAGAACAGUCGAGCAUCUCGGAAUCUAAUUUUGUAGGAAGAGAGGCAGUAUUAUGUUUAUGAACUGUAUAAUUAAUUUUAAAUUAUGAAAUUUAUUACUGAUGAACGAUACAAGUUUUUUGACCGGAGAAGAUUUCUAACGGCACUCUGUCGUGUGACUCAAAAUGGAUGCAGAAUAUCGGAGGCCAUUAAGCUUCUAGCACCAAUUACCUGAUUGCUAAGUUAUUAUAUGUAAUACUGUAAAGUGUUAUCUGAAUGCUUGAAUCCUAAAAAAGUGAGCUCCAGUAAGCGAUGAAAAAUGAGAAUAGCAGUGAUACAUUGCAUUCGAGCAAGUUCCUUUUAGAUUGUCUUCAGAUCUCAAAAACAGUUCGGAUGAAGGAAUAAGAAUCUGUCAUUGGAGGACUGCUACAGCAAUGCAGCAAGUAUAUCAAAUUGAAUUGAUAUUCACAGUGAAUUACUGACUUAUCUUGUUUUCUGGGCUUGGAAUACAGCCAUAAAAAAAGUCUGUUCCUUGCAGAAUAACUGAAGACAGCCAUUCUCAUUUCGAUAGAGAAAAUUCCAUAGACACAUUACAAUAUUUUCAAUACAUUCUUCCUUUGAUACCUAUGGGUUUGGAGACCUCCCACAUGAACAAUCUGAAGAACACCGAUUAUGAAACUGAACACUUGAUACAAGGAGACGUCUCAGUAAAAAACUGAAGGCAAUAUACAUGCACAAGUGCUGAAGUGCACAACAAAAAGAUCCGCUAGUUUUGUAAAAUAAACAUAACCAAAAUUUGGCACUCCUGCUAAAAUUAUGCACAAUUAUACUGGUGGAGAAAAGUAAAAAAAAAAUCACUAUCAAAUAUGGGAACAAGAUGACAGAAAUUUCAUAGGUAGAGAAAAGGAGUAUCAAAGUGUUUGGUAUCGUAUUUACUCGAUUCGCAUAAUCCAAUACCAAGUAGCGCAAAUGUGCUUUUCAAGGUGUAUGCAUCACAACAGUUCUGAACUUUAGAUUGCUGUCAUAGAGCAAAAGGAACACCAGAGUCAUAGGAUGAAGGACUGUAGUGCAUUUAAUCUUGAUAAUAGGCGUUCCUCGUUCUUGUAAAUGUUAUUGAUAUGACCACCGUACUUGUGGCAGAGCAAUCUUGUCCUCUUUCCAGAAGCAAACCCCAAAUCGACAGCUCAGUAUAUAUUUUUUAUACCUUCAGAAGUUUAAAUUAUGUCCCAAAGUAUUGAUUUGUGUCUAAUCAGGUAUCAAGAUGUAAAUAUUAGCAAGCUCAAAAAAAUAUAUUAGCAGCUAAUGUCAGCCUGCACUUAAACUAUAGCGUCCAAUUCAACUUCUCGAGGGACUCGCACUCUAGUAUUCCUCACAAACCAUUAUCUCUUGCAAAAAACCGAGGGCUAAUGGUUAUUUGCUUCACUUCACUUUCUCGGAGCUGACGCCCUUUGUAGUUUUUUUUAGACAAGACGCCUUUGUAGGUGAUCUGCCUAUCCCAUGCAUAUAGAGCAAAACGCGCACUGUGUUGCGGUUGGAGCUAAGAUGGGUUAUUCUAAUAAAAAGUAGAUAAAAAUAAACAAACUCGGUUACAACAAUAAAAAAUAGGAGGUCUGAAAAUACUUAUGAAUUAAAAAAAUUGGCACGAGUUUACAAGAAUGUUCACACCUAUAAGAAAAAACAUGAUUUAAAAAAAAUCAUGAAAAUGGAAUUCUUCACAAAUCGUAAUUUUGAAAAAAAAAACUUCAGGAAUUUACAAUAAUGUUCUCACAUCUAAAACAUGUUUAAGAAAUUUUAAAAAUGUUCAUGGAAUAAAAAAUGUUCACAAAUUUGAAAAAACACCAUGUUUUUUUUAUAAAACAAUAGAAAGGAAACAUACAAAAUUAAAAAGAAAAAAUAGUACAAAAAAAGGCGAAUAGAAAGGGGGGGAAAUGAAGGAAAAAACGAGAAAGAAUAAAUAGCAGAAAAACAGUGCACCGACCUAUAGUGGCCAACCCAAUAUCGUCGCGGAGGGUGCAUGUUUGCUUCCACCCAACACACGUGAAACGUCAUUUACCGUGAUCUAUCUACUUGGAGUCCCUCACCUCAAAAGAGAAAAAUCUACUUGGGGUCCCUAGCUAAUGGCUACCCUUAUCAAUUCCAAAAACACCCCCAGCUCAAACAACUUUCGUUUUGGGGGUUUAGCUUAGUUUAGUCUAAUUGAAGCCUAAAGCAUUCUUAACUUUCAAAUUUUCGGGGGGGUGGCACAACACACGCACGCACACACACAACCAAUAUAUGUGUGUCUGGCCCCUUGUCAUUGCAUUGCCAGAUUUUGAUACUCAAGUAUAUUGCCAUGGUUACACUUGUCCUAGCAUGACCCGCUCGAUUGAUGUAGAAGCUUUGUUCAACCCGCCCUGCUUAGUAUGCAUGCUUAUGUUGUGGAAGUUAGCAUGUUACAUUCUUAUGCCAUGGAUCACCUUAAUUUUGUUAUGCUUCUAGAGGUGAAGUGUAUGAUAUGGUAUGAAUAUUACUCCUAUAAAGUAUGAUGGAGUACCCGCCUCCUAGGGGCCUCUGCGGGCGAGAGUCGGUGGCGUCGCGCGGAAGCAUGGCCAGAGCGCUCCGCCCCAUUCGAUAUGUAAAGAGUUCACAAGGCAGAGGUCAAUAGUUCCAAUAGAUAAUCAACCAAGUAGUGUUUUGAUAAGCAACCUUUAGCUGAUAUACGAACUUGUUGGAAUUCAACAUAUGCGGUCGGUUAUACCUUUUAUAGAUGCCUUUGAUGCCUUGGGACAGAAAGACAAGAAGUACAAAUUUGUUCCUUCACCUCCUGAAUGGAAAAUGGCCUAAGUUGUAUGCAGGAGAUAAUCAACCAAGUAGGAUGGUGUUUUGAUAAGCAACCUUUAGUUGAUGUAUGAACUCGUUCAAAUUCAACAUACAUGAUGCUUCAAUCAACUAUACCAUUUAAAGGUGCCUUUGAUGCAUUAGGACAACAAGACAAGAACUACAAAUUCGGUCCUUCACCCGCUGAAUGGAAAAUGGUUGAAGUUGUAUGAAGUUGCUAAAGGUAUUUUACACAACAACCAAACUUCUCACUAGAUCUAACUAUUUAACUAGCCAUGCCUACUCCCCUCAUCCAUGAAACAUUAAGAAAAUCUUGAAGAAAGAGGCAUCAAGUAAGAACAACACAACUGUGCAUAUGGUGGAACAAAUGGAGUCAAGUUAGAUAAGUAUUGGAAAGAAUCCUACAAGUCAAUUUGUGUUCCCGUCUUGUUUUAUCUGAGGUUCAAGUUUGAUCUUCUUGAAUAUAUCUUAAAAGACUUUGGAAGUGAAACAAAAAAUGAUAGAUCGAUGCACAAGUUGAAGAAAAGCAAUCCAAAAGGUCUUUGAUGAAUACUCUCGAGAGACUCCCGCUCAUCACUAACAAGAAGAUCGUGGAGUUCACGAUAGGCGAAUAUGGAAAAGGAGGAUGAUCCACUUGCAAAGUGGGAUCAUUACAUCAGUUACAAAAGGGCAACCAAAUAAUGAGUUGGAUCAUUAUUUGAAGAUGAAUUGUAUACAUAGUAGAAAGAGUUGGACACAUUACAAAGGUGGAAAAUCAACUCAUCCAAAUAUCCGGUUCUCUCUAGGAUAGACAGCGACAUAUUGUCUACUCCGACAUGCAAAGUGCCUUUCAAAUCUGCUUUUACUUGAUCCACUUUCGAGUCUUUGAUUUGCCUACAAGUCUGGCUUAGAACAACUAGUUAGUAAGUAUUUCUUUGGUUAUUCAUGAGAAAUGAUAACCAUAAUUAAUCUUAUAAUUUACGUGUUUUGUGUUUUGCGGACCUAGAAAUAUACAAAGGCACAUCAUAAGAGCUAGAGAGAAAAGAUCAAGGUAUAUGCGAUGCCCCCAUGAUAUAAUACUAGAGGUUCUUCACAAACAUUUUAAUUUCUCUGUCCUGUAUAGAAUAGUAGUAUUGUAACUCAUGAGAUUAUACACACUACUACUUACUCUCAUGUAUUUGUGAGAAUCACAGAGCCUCGGUUACCUAAUUGAAGAGGCAAGCAUCAAGUUUCGAACAAUGGAAGUUUUUAGAACAACAUGGUACAAUCUUGUUUUUUCUUACUAUAAAGAGAGGACAUCAAAUUGACUUUUGUUUUUUUUACUUCUGUACAUGGAUGGGCCCAACCCAAAAAUUUAGUGGGGCUCAAAUGAGUGGGGUACACAAUAUUUGGCUAACCGGAGCCAACUAGCAAAAGUUUGGGCUCUAAGGCAUAAAGACUAUAGAUUGACUGGGCCAAGGCCCCCACUCGGCCUAAUGUGGGUCCGCCCUUGCUUUUGUAUGUGUUUUCCUGAGUACUUAUGCAGCCUGCAGAGUCUCAUCUUUGUGUUUGUACUUAUGCAGCUAAAUUAUCUGGAGAGCAUUUAACUCCUUUCAAAUGAAAAUUAGUUGAGAAUGGUUGUGUGCAUUAGGAGAUGCAGAGGCUGGGGAAUUCCUCCUUUUAGAAAAAAAUAAAAAUUAGUUGGGAAUGUGCAAUAUUAAAUUGGUCGCCAGUUGAUGUUACAAAAUCAAUCAAGUUGAACAUUUAGACUUCCCUGUUUAUGAACAUUUGGACUCGUCAGUUCAUAAACUAAACUAAAAAUUAAAUUUUGGUAGUGCCUCUGAAGAACUGAUAAUGUACCGACAAUAUAGAUUUAUUGGAUGCUUAACUGAAUGCAUCCUUGUGCUCAGUACAUUACAGUGGCCGUCCAUUGAAAUUAUUAGCAUAUCAGCUCUUUUGUUUGAAAAGGAGGAUUCGCUUCGUCCUCUGCAUCAAGCGAUGCACACAGUCAUCUUUAUUGCAUUAUUCAACAAGGUUUUACAAAAUAAAUACAUAGAUCAAUCCAAAGCCACCUUUCGGGCGAAAACGGUCACCCUACCUACAAGAUUGAUGAUGUGCCCUCACCGAGCAUCAUGCACGCCAAGAAAUACGGUGGCCUCACCAAGCCGCCUGCCCGCUAGCCGGGAGCACCAACCGGUCUAGCAGACCCUCAACAUGCACCGCAUGCACACGCUGUAGAAUCUAUCGCCACCUUUUUCCACAGCCCCAUCUUUAGGAUUGAAAGUGCUAGUUAUCGACUAGAGGGGGGGGCGAAUAGGCGAUUUUUAUGAAAGUCUUCAAAACACGGGGGCUUGGAAGACAAACAAUAGAAAUGAACCUAUUGAUAUGCAACGAAAGGUAGACUACACUAGACAAGCCAUAGUCAAGCAAGCAAUGAAGCGAAAGCACGAAGACUAUUAUCAGCUAGGUAGUAUGGAUCAGGAUGGAAGAUAGUAUGAAGCCAAACAAUAACAGUCUUCACACAAUGAAGUCAAUUAGUUAAAACGAGCAAGCAAUGGCUUCAAGAAGACAAACUGUAAGUAAAGAGAGAUAGGAGAUAGAACCAGUUGCUUGGGGAGGACAGGGAUUUGUUGGACCAGUUCCAGUUGCUGUGACAACUGUACGUCUGGUUAGGGAGGUUGAGAUUUAACUCAGAAGACCGCGUCUUCACCUUAUUCCCCUUGAGCUAAGGACACUUAGUCCUCGCCCAAUCACUCUGGUAAGUCUUCAAGGCAAACUUCCAAACCUUCACAGACUUCGUUCACCGGCAAUCCACAAUGACUCUUGGAUGCUCAGAACGCGACGCCUAACCGGCUGGAGGAUUCACAGUCCUCAAGUGUAACAAGUCUUCAGAUCACGCGGACAGAAAGACUUCAGUGAUGCCUAACACUCUUUGGCUCUGGGUGUUUUGGGCUUUGUCCUCGCAAGGAUCUCUCUCUCAAAUGCUUCGGAGGUGGGUUGCUCUUAAACGACAAAAGUCGUGCACUAACUCUGAGCAGCCACCAAUUUAUGGUGUAGGGGGUGGGCUAUUUAUAGCUAGGAGACAACCCGACCUGAUUUGUCCGAAAUGACCCUGGGUCACUAAGGAACUUACACGUGUCCAACGGUCAGAUUUCAAACACACGCGACAGCUUGACUUGGGCUACAAGUAAAGCUGACUCAUCCAGCUCUGGAUAAGAUUUGCUCUCAUUGUCUUCCCUCGAAGACAUAGGAUUUGGUUGAGCAUCACUUCAGUCACUCUGACUUUGUUCACUUGGACCCCACUUAACAGUGCGGUGGUUCCUAUGACUCAACAAAGAAGAAAAGGAAACUACGAAACAACUAUAUCUUCGCACUCCAUAGUCUUCACGUGAACGUCUUCUCGAGUCAUAAUCUUCGUUGUGAAUAUCUUCACAACCACCAUUGGCUUCAAUGUCUUCACACAUUUUUAGGGGUCAUCUCUGGUAGGUAAACCGAAUCAAUAUGGGACUACUACCUGUGUUAUCCUGCAAUUCUCACAAACACAUUAGUCCCUCAACCAAGUUUGUCGUCAAUACUGCAAAACCAACUAGGGGUGGCACUAGAUGCACUUACAAUCUCCCCCUUUUUGGUGAUUGAUGACAAACUGGCUGAAGUUUUCAACGGGGAUAAAAGUAUGUGAAAGUUUAAGCGCAAGGCAUUGUCUUCAUAAGUAGCAAAAGGCUCCCCCUGAAGAUGUGCAUAUAAGUAAUUUGCUUUUGAAUGCAAAUGCACAUGGCAGGUUUUGCUUUGUGGAGAUCCUCUUCAACUUAUGAAGACAAUUCAUCAUGCAUAUAAAAAUAUAGCGAAGAUAAUGACAUGCAUAAUGAAAAAUGGACGUCUGCGGAAUGACUUCAUGCGGAAUUUAUCAUCGCAUCACAAAGUAGCAGAAAAAGUAGCAGACGACCAUCGAGUUUAAGUGUUACAACCCGAAGAACCAAAUGUAUCAAAAUACGAGAGUUGUAAACACUUAGCAAAAUAUAGUGCAACCACCCAUAAUGACCCGCUUGAAGACUAUCAACUCAUAUGCUUCUCCCCCUUUUGUCAGUAAUGACCAAAAAGGUUUGAAGACAUAGAGCAUCUACUCGUUCCCAAAAGGAGUAGAUGAUGGCACAGGGUCGAUGUUGGAGUUUGGUGGUGCAGAAGGGCCUAGUGCAGUGUCGAGACGCAGCGAAGUCAUGGUUGGUGAAGUGGCAUCGUCUUCUUCAUCGACGACUCUUGCAACAACAGUUGCAGCCGAAGAUGAAUACUCAGAGUCUUCUAUGGAAGGAGUCCGACACAAAACAACAUUCUGGGGAGGUGUGGAAUCAAAUUUGAAGCGCUCUGUGAAGCCAUCUUCGUGAAGAUCGUCUUCAGAGGAUAGCAAUGUAAGACUCUUCCAAGACCGCCGAUAGGCUUCAUGUGCUACGAAUGCGUUCUUGGUGGCAAGAUUGCGAAUGCGAUUAACGUCCACCAAGAGGCUCUGCAUCUGACGCUUUAGCCAGUCAUGGUGUCUAUCAUGUUUCUAAUGUAAGGCCACAAGAAGCUCUCGGUCAUUGAGUACACGAGAUCGCUUCCGAGGCCUUUGAGCAAUGGUGCUUUUAGUGGCUUCAGUGUUAACACGAUGAGGUGCACGCAUAUUUCCAACCAGAGGAUAGACUCGAGUUGAAGCAAGAACUCCCUCAAUUGGUUGCGUGAAGCUUUGGCGAUCAACAUUAUGAAGAUAAAGUGGCUCCUUGGCAGGCUCAGGGUAGAUGGCUUUGACAGACAUAUCAACAUCAGGCAAAAAGACAAGAUGGUUGCGCGCCGAGGGCUUAUAAUCAACAGAGGAGUGAAGCUUGAUUAAGCACAUUACCCAUGGAGCAUAAAACUUCAAGCCAAACAGAUCAAUUCCAGAUGCAGCCAGUUGUCUGAUAAAGAAAUCCUGAGAAUUGGAUCUGAUGCCAUUGACAAUAUAGAACACCAAAGUCUUCAUGGCUCCUUCAAGUUUGGCUUCAGCUGAGUGUCCCUUGAUGGGCCAAAGAGUACGCCUCAGAAUAUGAUAGAUUGUGCGGGGCAGGUACUUAAGGUCCUUGACGAAGAAUUCCUUGGGAUAAUCAGUAUCUUGAGGCAAUGGCUUCAUCAUGCUGAGCAUCUGACUCAUAUUUGGUUCAGGCCGCUGGAAGAUACUCUACAGUUCAUUUUGGUGUAGCUGACAACCAGGCUCAUAGAGUUCACCUGGAGUGGGCAGGGAAGUAAACUCAAUAAUGUCUUGAGCUUUGGCUUCAUGGUGCACAUCGCCUGACAUCCACUCAAUGACCCAUGUCUUCGGAUCCCUGUUGUAGCCACGAAUGUGAAGUGCGGCGUAGAACUGCAGGAGGAGCUCUUCAUUCCAGCGUUCUUUGUCAGUGACGAACUGUAGAAGACCAACCUCCCUGAAGUAGUCAAGAGCUUCUUCCAGACAGGGCAGCCCAGCAAUAGCUUCACAAUCAAGGCGCAUGUGUUGAUAGAUUCGCCCUUGAUUGUAUAGGAUGCAAGAGUAGUAGCUGCGCUGAGGAUAGCUCCAGAAGAGAUCUUUGGCUUCGAGUAAGGAUUCUUGGCGCUAUCAAAGAAGGUGUUGUGGGCUCUGAAGCUGUUCACACUGAACGAUCCUGGGGAGGUUGUAGCACCUGGAAGCCUUGGCAGCCUGGGCUUUGGCUUCUGAACUUGUGGCCUCUGCUCCACAUGAUAGUCAUAUUGAGGUCCUGGAGCAGUGGGAGGCACCAUGAUGGGCCACCGAACUGUGACAAGUUCACCACGAUUAUAGGCCUGCUCAAUUGUGUGUGGCCUUGGGGCUGGAACAGUGGCAGCAACAUCCACAUGGGCUUCAGGUUGCACUUGAGCUUCAGGCACAACAUUGGCUUCAGGCUCCACAUUGUCUUCAGCCAUGACAACGUCAUUGGCUUCAGUAUCAUUAUUGGUGGCAGCCUCGGUGUUCUCAACCUCCGUGUCCUCAAUGACAGGAGGGUCGGGCACAGUCACAUUCUCCUCGAGAACGACUUCUUGAGUGAGAGGGGGUGUGGCAACUCUUUCUUCUUCUUGUCUUGGUUCUUGAUUGUCAUCGGCUGAUGCAGCCAAAAUGUCUUCAGCAGCUUUAGCUUCAGACUCGGAGACAUUCGCAGUGGGAGUGGCUUCAGGGAACACUUGGCGUGCUACUGAGCUUUGUUGCACUUCUCCUUCUGGAAUGCUCGACAUGGUGACCUGUGGCCUAGGGCCUUUGCGAAGCCUGCGAAAUGUGGGCGACGCCUGUGGUGAUGGAGUGGUCUGCACCAUGUAGCUAUCAUCGUCAAGCACCGGAGAGGUGACUUGAGGUGGUGGAGUUCUUGGUGUUUCAUCAUGAAUGGGGGAGUCUUGAGGGCGAUCGGCCCACGAAUCAUCCUGAGCAAUUGGCGUCAAGGGACGACCAAUGUUGAUGAGUUCGUUGUUCGUAAGAACAGGAGAUGAUACCAGUUGGUGCUCGAUUUGAGGAAGGACUUCAUCAUCAUCUACAUUGUCUUCAUGACCAAUGUCUUCAGCUGUGAUGGGGUCAACAGCUGGUACUUCUUCAUCUUCACGAGCCUCUGUGGGAGCAGGCUUAUGGAUCACAAUGCGAUGCUCUUGAAUGGUGGAGGCAGGAUGGGCAACAGAAAUGGGCUCAACAACAAGGGGCUUGGAAGCAUGCUCUUUCUUUGAAGACUUCUAUAAUUUCUUCUUUGAUGGAGCAUCAUCAGAAGUAUUCAUGUGCUUGUGCUUCUUGGCUUCGGCUUCAGCUGCCCUUGUCUUUUUCAGUUCUGAAGCUGCUGUGGGGACCUUAGGCUUCGAGCCUGUCAUGCUGGCAGGGAAGACAAUGCGAGGUGCUUCCUGCCUUGAUGCUUCAGCUUGGGCCGCAGCAGGCUUCUUCUUCUGUUUUGGCAGCCAUCUUGGGAUCAAUGCCAGGACACCCAAGUGCCUUGCACUUUUCUGCCUCAUUGUGGGCUUGAACACAUUUCUCUGCAAAGUAUUUCAUCCACUCUCUUGAGCCUUUAGCUUCAUCACGUUUCUUGUGAAACUCUUCCUUGAGGUCAUGCAGCAUCUUCUUGAAGCUUUGGACAUCAGCCACAUUGAGCUUGGCCAUGUUCUUCUUGAAGUGAGCCUUCUCAUAAUCAAUUUUAUUCUUCAGCUCGACAAUCUUCUGAGCCAAGGCCAACUCAUUAGCAAUGGCUCCAUGGAAGGUGACGCUGAUAUCAACUGGCAGCUGAAGAUCAUCAAUGCUGAGGCUGGGAUUGUCAAACCAUUCGUCGAUGAAGUUAUUCAGAAUAUCCACGUCAAAGAGGGGCAGAUCGUUGAAGAUCUCCGCCUCUUGCUUGCUCUUUAUCAGUAGCUCAAGAGCAUCAUCACCAAGAUCUUCAUCGCUGGAGAGACCAAUGGUGUCAUCCUCAUUGCGCAGAACGGCUGCUGGGGUCAGUUCUUGCCCAGAACACUUGAUGGGCUUCAUCUUCUUGGGUUUCUCCAUCUUCUUGGAGACACGAGAAAGAUCUUCAGAUUGCACACUGAGUUCAGGAGGUAUAGUUGCCAAUGGCUUCGCACGUGAAGCUUUUGGUGCGGCAGAGGGCUUUGAGGCCUUUGAUUUCUUCUGCUUCUGCGGCUUAGGUGGAGCUGGCGCAUCUUUAGAGUCUGCGUCAUCACCUGAUUGCUCCACUGUGGCCCUCUGAGCAGCGUUGUGUUGGAAAUAUGCCCUAGAGGCAAUAAUAAAUGGUUAUUAUUAUAUUUCUUUGUUCAUGAUAAUCGUCUAUUGUUCAUGCUAUAAUUGUAUUGUCCGGAAAUCGUAAUACAUGUGUGAAUACAUAGACCACAACGUGUCCCUAGUAAGCCUCUAGUUGACUAGCUCGUUGAUCAACAGAUAGUCAUGGUUUCCUGACUAUGGACAUUGGAUGUCAUUGAUAACGGGAUCACAUCAUUAGGAGAAUGAUGUGAUGGACAAGACCCAAUCCUAAGCAUAGCAUAAAAGAUCGUGUAGUUUCGUUUGCUAGAGCUUUUCCAAUGUCAAGUAUCUUUUCCUUAGACCAUGAGAUCGUGCAACUCCCGGAUACCGUAGGAGUGCUUUGGGUGUGCCAAACGUCACAACAUAACUGGGUGACUAUAAAGGUGCACUACGGGUAUCUCUGAAAGUGUCUGUUGGGUUGGCACGGAUCGAGACUGGGAUUUGUCACUCCGUGUGACGAAGAGGUAUCUCUGGGCCCACUCGGUAAUGCAUCAUCAUAAUGAGCUCAAUGUGACUAAGGCGUUAGUCACGGGAUCAUGCAUUGCGGUACGAGUAAAGAGACUUGCCGGUAACGAGAUUGAACAAGGUAUUGGGAUACCGACGAUCGAAUCUCGGGCAAGUAACAUACCGAUUGACAAAGGGAAUUGCAUACGGGAUUGAUUGAAUCCUCGACACCGUGGUUCAUCCGAUGAGAUCAUCAUGGAACAUGUGGGAGCCAACAUGGGUAUCCAGAUCCCGCUGUUGGUUAUUGACCGGAGAGGCGUCUCGGUCAUGUCUGCAUGUCUCCCGAACCCGUAGGGUCUACACACUUAAGGUCCGGUGACGCUAGGGUUGUAGAGAUAUGUGUAUGCGGAAACCCGAAAGUUGUUCGGAGUCCCGGAUGAGAUCCCGGACGUCACGAGAGGUUCCAGAAUGGUCCGGAGGUGAAGAAUUAUAUAUAGGAAGUCAAGUUUCGGCCACCGGGAAAGUUUCGGGGGUUACCGGUAUUGUACCGGGACCACCGGAAGGGUCCCGGGGGUCCACCGGGUGGGGCCACCUAUCCCGGAGGGCCCCGUGGGCUGAAGUGGGAAGGGAACCAGCCCCUAGUGGGCUGGGCGCCCCCCCAUGGGCCUCCCCCCAUGCGCCUAGGGUUGCAAACCCUAGGGUGGGGGGGGGGGGCUUCCCACUUGCCUUGGGGGCAAGGCACCCCCUUCCCCCCUUUGGCCGCCGCCCCCCACCCUAGAUGGGAUCUGGCCGGCGCCCCCCCCUCCCAGGGGGCCUAUAUAAAGGGGGGGGGAGGGAGGGCAGCAACCUACAUCCUUGGGCGCCUCCCUCCUCCCCUGCAACACCUCUCUCUCUCUCUCGCAGAAGCUCGGCGAAGCCCUGCCGGAGACCCGCUACAUCCACCACCACGCCGUCGUGCUGUUGGAUCUCCAUCAACCUCCUUCCCCCUUGCUGGAUCAAGAAGGAGGAGACGUCGCUGCACCGUACGUGUGUUGAACGCGGAGGUGCCGUCCGUUCGGCACUCGGUCAUCGGUGAUUUGGAUCACGGCGAGUACGACUCCGUCAUCCACGUUCAUUGGAACGCUUCCGCUCGCGAUCUACAAGGGUAUGCAGAUGCACUCCUUUCCCCUCGUUGCUAGUAGACUCCAUAGAUGCAUCUUGGUGAGCGUAGGAAAAUUUUAAAAUUAUGCUACGAUUCCCAACAGUGGUAUCAGAGCCAGGCCUAUGCGUAGUUACUAUGCACGAGUAGAACACAAAGAAGUUGUGGGCGUUGAGUUUGCCAAUUCUUCUUGCCGCUACUAGUCUUUUCUUGUUUCGGCGGCAUUGUAGGAUGAAGCGGCCCGGACCGACCUUACACGUACGCUUACGUGAGACAGGUUCCACCGACUGACAUGCACUAGUUGCAUAAGGUGGCUAGCGGGUGUCUGUCUCUCCUACUUUAGUCGGAACGGAUUCGAUGAAAAGGGUCCUUAUGAAGGGUAAAUAGAAAUUGGCAAAUCACGUUGUGGUCAUACGUAGGUAAGAAACGUUCUUGCUAGAAACCUACAAACCACGUAAAAACUUGCAACAACAAUUAGAGGACGUCUAACUUGUUUUUGCAGCAAGUGCUAUGUGAUGUGAUAUGGCCAGAAGAUGUGAUGAAUGAUAUAUGUGAUGUAUGAGAUUGAUCAUAUUCUUGUAAUAGGAAUCACGACUUGCAUGUCGAUGAGUAUGACAACCGGCAGGAGCCAUAGGAGUUGUCUUUAUUAUUUUGUAUGACCUGCUUGUCAUUGAAUAACGCCAUGUAAUUUACUUUACUUUGUUGCUAAACGCGUUAGCCAUAGAAGUAGAAGUAAUCGUUGGCGUGACGACUUCAUGAAGACACAAUGAUGGAGAUCAUGAUGAUGGAGAUCAUGGUGUCAUGCCGGUGACGAAGAUGAUCAUGGUGCCCCGAAGAUGGAGAUCAAAGGAGCAUGAUGAUAUUGGCCAUAUCAUGUCACUGUUUGAUUGCAUGUGAUGUUUAUCAUGUUUUUGCAUCUUAUUUGCUUAGAGUGAUGGUAGUAAGUAAGAUGAUCCCUUAUAAUAAUUUCAAGAAAGUGUUCACCCUAACUGUGCACCGUUGCGAAGGUUCGUUGUUUCGAAGCACCACGUGAUGAUCGGGUGUGAUAGAUUCUAACGUUCGAAUACAACGGGUGUUGACGAGCCUAGCAUGUACAGACAUGGCCUCGGAACACACGCAAUACACUUAGGUUGACUUGACGAGCCUAGCAUGUACAGACAUGGCCUCGGAACACGGAGGACCGAAAGGUCGAGCAUGAGUCGUAUGGAAGAUACGAUCAACAUGGAGAUGUUCACCGAUCUUGACUAGUCCAUCUCACGUGAUGAUCGGACACGGCCUAGUUAAACUCGGAUCAUGUUUCACUUAGAUGACUAGAGGGAUGUCUAUCUGAGUGGGAGUUCAUUAAAUAAUUUGAUUAGAUGAACUUAAUUAUCAUGAACUUAGUCUAAAAUCUUUACACUAUGUAUUGUAGAUCAAAUGGCCAACGCUGUCCUCAAUUUCAACGCGUUCCUAGAGAAAACCAAGCUGAAAGAUGAUGGCAGCAACUAUACGGACUGGGUCCGGAACCUGAGGAUCAUCCUCAUAGUAGCCAAGAAAGAUUAUGUCCUAGAAGCACCGCUAGGUGAUGCACCAAUCCCUGAGAACCAAGACGUUAUGAACGCUUGGCAGCAGCGUGCUGAUGACUACUCCCUCGUUCAGUGCGGCAUGCUUUACAGCCUAGAACCGGGUCUCCAAAAGCGUUUUGAGAAACAUGGAGCAUAUGAGAUGUUCGAGGAGCUAAAAUUGGUUUUCCAAGCUCAUGCCCGGGUCGAGAGAUAUGAUGUCUCCGACAAGUUCUUCAGCUGUAAAAUGGAGGAGAACAGUUCUGUUAGUGAGCACAUACUCAGAAUGUCUGGGUUGCAUAACCGCUUGUCUCAGCUGGGAGUUAAUCUCCCGGAUGACGUGGUCAUUGGCAGAAUCCUCCAAUCGCUUCCACCAAGCUACAAGAGCUUUGUGAUGAACUACAAUAUGCAGGGGAUGGAAAAGACCAUUCCGGAGGUAUAUUCAAUGCUGAAAUCAGCGGAAGGGGAGAUCAGAAAAGAACAUCAAGUGUUGAUGGUGAAUAAAACCACUAAGUUCAAGAAGGGCAAGGGUAAGAAGAACUUCAAGAAGGACGGCAAGGGAGUUGCCGCGCCCGGUAAACCAGUUACUGGGAAGAAGUCAAAGAAUGGACCCAAGCCCGAGACUGAGUGCUUAUAUUGCAAGGGAAGUGGUCACUGGAAGCGGAACUGCCCCAAAUACUUAGCGGACAAGAAGAAGGCCGGCAACACCAAAGGUAUAUGUGAUAUACAUGUAAUUGAUGUGUACCUUACCAGUACUCGUUGUAGCUCCUGGGUAUUUGAUACCGGUGCGGUUGCUCAUAUUUGUAACUCAAAACAGGAACUACGGAAUAAACGGAGACUGGCGAAGGAUGAGGUGACGAUGCGCGUCGGGAAUGGUUCCAAGGUCGAUGUGAUCGCCGUCGGCACGCUACCUCUGCAUCUACCCACGGGAUUAGUUUUAAACCUCAAUAAUUGUUAUUUAGUGCCAGCUUUGAGCAUGAACAUUGUAUCUGGAUCUCGUUUAAUUCGAGAUGGCUACUUAUUUAAAUCCGAGAAUAAUGGUUGUUCUAUUUAUUUGAGAGAUAUGUUUUAUGGUCAUGCCCCGCUGGUCAAUGGUUUAUUUUUGAUGAAUCUCGAACGUGAUGUUACACAUGUUCAUAGUGUGAAUACCAAAAGAUGUAAAGUUGAUAACGAUAGUCCCACAUACUUGUGGCACUGCCGCCUUGGUCACAUUGGUGUUAAGAGCAUGAAGAAGCUCCAUGCAGAUGGACUUUUGGAGUCUCUUGAUUACGAAUCAUUUGACACGUGCGAACCAUGCCUCAUGGGUAAGAUGACCAAGACCCCGUUCUCCGGAACAAUGGAGCGAGCAACCAACUUAUUGGAAAUCAUACAUACCGAUGUGUGUGGUCCAAUGAGUGUUGAGGCUCGCGGAGGAUAUCGUUAUGUUCUCACUCUCACUGAUGAUUUAAGUAGAUAUGGGUAUGUCUACCUAAUGAAACACAAGUCUGAAACCUUUGAAAGUUUCAAGGAAUUUCAGAGUGAGGUUGAGAAUCAACGUGACAGGAGAAUAAAAUUCUUACGAUCAGAUCGUGGUGGAGAAUAUUUAAGUCACGAAUUUGGUACACACUUAAGGAAAUGUGGAAUAGUUUCACAACUCACGCCGCCUGGAACACCUCAGAGAAAUGGUGUGUCCGAACGUCGUAAUCACACUCUAUUGGAUAUGGUGCGAUCUAUGAUGUCUCUUACCGAUUUACCGCUCUCAUUUUGGGGCUAUGCUUUAGAGACUGCCGCAUUCACUUUAAAUAGGGCUCCGUCGAAAUCCGUUGAGACGACACCGUAUGAAUUAUGGUUUGGGAAGAAACCUAAGCUGUCGUUUCUAAAAGUUUGGGGAUGCGAUGCUUAUGUCAAGAAACUUCAACCUGAAAAGCUAGAACCCAAGUCGGAAAAAUGCAUCUUCAUAGGAUACCCUAAGGAAACUAUUGGGUAUACCUUCUACCUCAGAUCCGAAGGCAAGAUCUUCGUUGCCAAGAACGGGUCCUUUCUGGAGAAGGAGUUUCUCUCGAAAGAAUUGAGUGGGAGGAAAGUGGAACUUGAUGAGGUGAUAGUCACCCCUUCCGAACCGGAAAGUAGCGCAGCGCGGGAAAAUGUUCCUGUGGUGCCUACACCGACUGGGGAGGAAGUUAAUGAUGAUGAUCAUGAAGCAUCAGAUCAAGUUACUGAACUUCGUAGGUCCACAAGGACACGUUCCGCACCAGAGUGGUACGGCAACCCUGUCCUGAAAAUCAUGUUGUUAGACAACGGUGAACCUUCGAACUAUGAAGAAGCGAUGGCGGGCCCGGAUUCCGACAAAUGGCUAGAAGCCAUGAAAUCCGAGAUAGGAUCCAUGUAUGAAAACGAAGUAUGGACUUUGACUGACUUGCCCGAUGAUCGGCGAGCCAUAGAAAACAAAUGAAUCUUUAAGAAGAAGACAGACGCGGAUGGUAAUGUGACCAUCUAUAAAGCUCGACUUGUCGCUAAGGGUUAUCGACAAGUUCAAGGGGUUGACUACGAUGAGACUUUCUCACCCGUAGCGAAGCUGAAGUCCGUCCGAAUCAUGUUAGCAAUUGCCGCAUACUACGAUUAUGAGAUAUGGCAGAUGGACGUCAAAACAGCAUUCCUUAACGGCUUCCUUAAGGAAGAGUUGUAUAUGAUGCAGCCGGAAGGUUUUGUCGAUCCUAAGAAUGCUAACAAAGUAUGCAAGCUCCAGCGCUCAAUCUAUGGGCUGGUGCAAGCAUCUCGGAGUUGGAACAUUCGCUUUGAUGAGAUGAUCAAAGCGUUUGGGUUUACACAGACUUAUGGAGAAGCAUGUGUUUACAAGAAAGUGAGUGGGAGCUCUGUAGCAUUUCUCUUAUUAUAUGUGGAUGACAUAUUAUUGAUGGGAAAUGAUAUAGAAUUCUUGGAAAGUAUAAAGGCCUAUUUGAAUAAGUGUUUUUUAAUGAAGGACCUUGGAGCAGCUGCUUAUAUAUUAGGCAUCAAGAUCUAUAGAGAUAGAUCGAGACGCCUCAUUGGUCUUUCACAGAGUACAUACCUUGACAAGAUAUUGAAGAAGUUCAAUAUGGAUCAGUCCAAGAAGGGGUUCUUGCCUGUAUUGCAAGGUGUGCAAUUGAGCACGGCUCAAUGCCCGACCACGGCAGAAGAUAUAGAAAAGAUGAGUGUCAUCCCCUAUGCCUCGGCCAUAGGGUCUAUUAUGUAUGCCAUGCUGUGUACCAGACCUGAUGUAAACCUUGCCGUAAGUUUGGUAGGAAGGUACCAAAGUAAUCCCGGGGAACACUGGACAGCGGUCAAGAAUAUCCUGAAGUACCUGAAGAGGACUAAGGAUAUGUUUCUCGUUUAUGGAGGUGACGAAGAGCUCGUCGUAAAGGGUUACGUCGACGCUAGCUUCGACACAGAUCUGGAUGACUCGAAGUCACAAACCGGAUACGUGUAUAUUUUGAAUGGAGGAGCAGUAAGCUGGUGCAGUUGCAAGCAAAGCGUCGUGGCGGGAUCUACAUGUGAAGCGGAGUACAUGGCAGCCUUGGAGGCAGCACAGGAAGCAAUCUGGAUGAAGGAGUUCAUUACCGACCUAGGGGUGAUUCCCAAUGCGUCGGGCCCGAUGACUCUCUUCUGUGACAACACUGGAGCUAUUGCCCUUGCGAAGGAGCCCAGGUUUCACUGGAAGACCAGGCAUAUCAAGCGUCGCUUCAACUCCAUUCGUGAAAGUGUUCAAAAUGGAGACAUAGAUAUUUGUAAAGUACAUACGGACCUGAAUGUAGCAGAUCCGUUGACUAAACCUCUCCCUAGGGCAAAACAUGAUCAACACCAGGACGCAAUGGGUGUUCGAUUCAUCACAAUGUAACUAGAUUAUUGACUCUAGUGCAAGUGGGAGACUGUUGGAAAUAUGCCCUAGAGGCAAUAAUAAAUGGUUAUUAUUAUAUUUCUUUGUUCAUGAUAAUCGUCUAUUGUUCAUGCUAUAAUUUUAUUGUCCGGAAAUCGUAAUACAUGUGUGAAUACAUAGACCACAACGUGUCCCUAGUAAGCCUCUAGUUGACUAGCUCGUUGAUCAACAGAUAGUCAUGGUUUCCUGACUAUGGACAUUGGAUGUCAUUGAUAACGGGAUCACAUCAUUAGGAGAAUGAUGUGAUGGACAGGACCCAAUCCUAAGCAUAGCAUAAAAGAUCGUGUAGUUUCGUUUGCUAGAGCUUUUCCAAUGUCAAGUAUCUUUUCCUUAGACCAUGAGAUCGUGCAACUCCCGGAUACCGUAGGAGUGCUUUGGGUGUGCCAAACGUCACAACGUAACUGGGUGACUAUAAAGGUGCACUACGGGUAUCUCCGAAAGUGUCUGUUGGGUUGGCACGGAUCGAGACUGGGAUUUGUCACUCCGUGUGACGAAGAGGUAUCUCUGGGCCCACUCGGUAAUGCAUCAUCAUAAUGAGCUCAAUGUGACUAAGGCGUUAGUCACGGGAUCAUGCAUUGCGGUACGAGUAAAGAGACUUGCCGGUAACGAGAUUGAACAAGGUAUUGGGAUACCGACGAUCGAAUCUCGGGCAAGUAACAUACCGAUUGACAAAGGGAAUUGCAUACGGGAUUGAUUGAAUCCUCGACACCGUGGUUCAUCCGAUGAGAUCAUCGUGGAACAUGUGGGAGCCAACAUGGGUAUCCAGAUCCCGCUGUUGGUUAUUGACCGGAGAGGUGUCUCGGUCAUGUCUGCAUGUCUCCCGAACCCGUAGGGUCUACACACUUAAGGUUCGGUGACGCUAGGGUUGUAGAGAUAUGUGUAUGCGGAAACCCGAAAGUUGUUCGGAGUCCCGGAUGAGAUCCCGGACGUCACGAGAGGUUCCGGAAUGGUCCGGAGGUGAAGAAUUAUAUAUAGGAAGUCAAGUUUCGGCCACCGGGAAAGUUUUGGGGGUUACCGGUAUUGUACCGGGACCACCGGAAGGGUCCCGGGGGUCCACCGGGUGGGGCCACCUAUCCCGGAGGGCCCCGUGGGCUGAAGUGGGAAGGGAACCAGCCCCUAGUGGGCUGGGCGCCCCCCCAUGGGCCUCCCCCCAUGCGCCUAGGGUUGCAAACCCUAGGGUGGGGGGGGGGGCUUCCCACUUGCCUUGGGGGCAAGGCACCCCCUUCCCCCCUUUGGCCGCCGCCCCCCACCCUAGAUGGGAUCUGGCCGGCGCCCCCCCUCCCAGGGGGCCUAUAUAAAGGGGGGAGGGAGGGCAGCAACCUACAGCCUUGGGCGCCUCCCUCCUCCCCUGCAACACCUCUCUCUCUCUCGCAGAAGCUCGGCGAAGCCCUGCCGGAGACCCGCUACAUCCACCACCACGCCGUCGUGCUGUUGGAUCUCCAUCAACCUCUCCUUCCCCCUUGCUGGAUCAAGAAGGAGGAGACAUCGCUGCACCGUACGUGUGUUGAGCGCGGAGGUGCCGUCCGUUCGGCACUCGGUCAUCGGUGAUUUGGAUCACGGCGAGUACGACUCCGUCAUCCACGUUCAUUGGAACGCUUCCGCUCGCGAUCUACAAGGGUAUGUAGAUGCACUCCUUUCCCCUCGUUGCUAGUAGACUCCAUAGAUGCAUCUUGGUGAGCGUAGGAAAAUUUUAAAAUUAUGCUACGAUUCCCAACACGAUGUAGGAGAGGAGACCAUCAAAGUUGUCAAAGGGGCCGAUGACAUUGGGAUUGGCAUCACGUGUGCCAUCAGCCCUAGGAGCAGAAGGACCUGGGUUGAAGUUGCAUCCAAAAUUCUUCUUGUUCUUCACAGCAGAAUCUUUUGCAAACUUAUAGUUACGCUUGAACAGAUUGUCGUCGUGACACCAUAACAGAGAUGAUGGGUCGGCAUUCUCGGGCUGUGGUCCUCGGACCAUGCAUGGGUAGAAGCUUUGAGCAAUGGCUUCUGACUUGGACUUGGGCUGCAGAUUUCUGUAUAGAAUAUCUCCCCAUGGGUGCUUGAUAGCGUUCUUUUCAGCAUAUUCAGCAGUCACAAAUCGGUACUUGAACCAUUGUUCCGCCCAAUAUCUUCGAAACCAUUGGAUUCGAGUCUUGCGCUGGCCAUAGCUUUCCUCAGGAUCAGUUUUGUACAGUUCAUACAGAUCAGAAGGUAAGUCCUUAGAUGUAUCUCCACGGCGCUGCCUGCCGCCCUUUCUAGUUGACUUCUCGUGGCCAUUAUAUUCAGACUGAAUGGCUUCAAUACAGUGAAAGGCUUCCUCUUGCUAGACAGAUAAGAACUGGCUUCAGGUGAGUGAAUAUGACGCUGUAAGAACUCUGCAAAUGAAUGCAGACUAUGAGAACCAAGGGAUUCUCCCACGGACAUGUACCUGUGACAACAUUAGAGGUGCGAGGGAAGGGUAAGAGGUCAUAUGCAUUCUCAGAAGAUUUUGAAGAUAAAUCAGUUUGAAGACAUUGACCUCAUAGUGCGAAGACAUUCACUUAUUUGAUGAGAGUUGGUUCCAGAUUUGUACGAAUCCAUGAAUAAGUACAAGUGAGGAAUUUAACUAGUUGUGAUGCAUAAGUGAAUAUACUUGGCAUGAUAUGAGACACAGAACAAGAUAGAUCCAGAUUUGGAAGAUAAGAAACCACUUUUGGUUGAAGUGGAUGGAUCUGACGGAUCAAAAAGGCAGUAAAAAGUAAGUUUUAUUUACCCUUGAUGAACUACUAGACGAGGUCGAGAGAGAGAGGCUGAGCAGUUCGAUCUCCCGUGCCCUAACUCGGCGACGGAAGACACCUACGGCGGCGGUGGAGAGGACGAAGUCCGCGGCCCGUGUGAGGACGACGUCGAAGAAGUCGCGGCAGCUAAGCGCUUCAUCUCCGGUGUCGACGCGAGCUAGCGGAGGUGCUAGGGUUUGUGCGAGGUGGCGAGGUGGGAGAAGAGAUAAUGACCGCGGUGAGUUGUGCAUUUAUAAGGAAAGGGACAGCACAGCGUAAUUACGCAGGUGCCCCUGGCGGUUCACAUCUGAAGGACACGUGGCAUGCAUGCAACACAUUGAAAGAUGUUCCAUGUUCCCACGCACGGCUGGAUUGUCGGGUGGUCGUUCCGGCUUCUCCGGUAUUCAGGCAAUCAGGAUAUAGCAUUAAAAAUAGAUUCAACUUUUGUCUCUGUGUCUUCUGCUGACAAGGAUUCAGAGAAGACAAUUGACAGUUUCAAUAGAAUGCAUAUGAUUUGGAUAGAUAGACUUGAGGUAGAAGCAAAGAAGGGGUUAGGGUCCGAUCACAUUCACUUAGAUCAAGAAAGAUGCAAACAAGAAGACAUAGCUAUAAGUGAAUGCUGUAGAGGACAGGACCCGAAUAAAUGUAAACAUCAGCAUAAGUCCAAAUCAACCUUGUGAAGAUAAACACGAAGACAAAUCAAAUGCAAAUGUAACGCCAAUUGAAGCACAUCAACAAGAAUUUGGUGGUGGCGUUACCCACCGUAUAGGAAGUAUUAGACCCAGAUACGGCGCACAAUUAUCGUGGCGCUCCGAAGUCAAAUUCCGAGUUAAUGUAUUCACACUUAGAGUGUAUGUCUUCAUUGAUUGAAGAUAUACGUUACUUUGUGUGUUGCACAUAUAAGUCAUCAACAUGCAUAAGUGUUAGGAUGUGUGUCCACUUACAGGACAUUCGAGGGUUCUAAGAAAUUUAGCUCACACCGCAACUUAAAAAACCUUUUCUCAUCCAAGGGCUUUGUGAAGAUAUCUGCCAAUUGCUCUUCAGUGUUAACGUGAAUGAUAUCAAUAUCUUCCUUCAUGACAUGAUCUCUGGGAAAGUGAUGACGAAUUUCAAUGUGCUUUGUCUUCGAGUGCUGAACUGGGUUGUUGGCAAUCUUGAUGGCGCUUUCAUUGUUGCAGUAGAGUGGCACAUGCUUCAGGUGAAUACCAUAGUCCUUGAGAGUUUGCUUCAUCCACAGAAGCUGAGCAUAGCAAGAUCCAGCGGCAAUGUAUUCAGAUUCAGCAGUGGAGAGAGAUACACAGUGCUGCUUCUUUGAAGACCAACAGACAAGUGAUCGUCCAAGAAAGUGACAUGUGCCUGAUGUGGACUUGCGAUCAACCUUGUCACCAGCAUAAUCAGCAUCUGAGAAUCCAACUAGAUCAAACUCUGAGCCCUUUAGAUACCAUAAUCCUAGUGUUGGGGUGUAAGCCAAAUAUCGAAGAAUUCUCUUCACAGCUAAGUGAUGCGAUUCCUUUGGUGCCGCUUGGAAUCGGGCACACAUGCAAAAACUAAGCAUUAUAUCUGGCCUAGAUGCACAUAAAUAGAGUAAAGAACUAAUCAUGGAGUGGUAUACCUUUUGAUCGAACUCUUUACCAUUGACGUCAGGACUCAGAUGACUUUUGGUUGGCAUUGGCGUCGUGUAUCCCUUGCAAUCUUGCAUUCCAAACUUCUUCAGGCAAUCCUUGAGAUACUUUUCUGUGAUAUGAAGAUGUCGUUGCUCUGCUGACGAAUUUGAAGACCGAGGAAGAAUUUCAGUUCACCCAUCAUGGACAUCUGAUAUUGCUCAUGCAUCAUGUGUCCAAACUCAUCACCGUAUCUCUUGUCAGUGCAACCGAAGAUAAUGUCAUCCACAUAGAUUUGGCACACAAAUAGUUCUCCGUCAUAUGUCUUCGUGAAGAGUGUAGGAUCUAGAGAACCAGGUUUGAAGCCUUUGAUCUUCAGGAAGUCUUUGAGAGUGUCAUACCAAGCGCGAGGAGCUUGUUUGAGGCCAUACAGUGCCUUGUUGAGCUUGUAUACCAUAUCAGGAUGUUUUGGAUCUUCAAAGCCAGGUGGUUGUGCAACAUACACUUCUUCUUCAAUCUUCCCAUUGAGAAAUGCACUUUUCACAUCCAUUUGGUACACGAGGAUGUUGUGAUGGUUGGCAUAGGCUAGUAGUAUGUGAAUGGCUUCAAGCCUAGCCACGGGAGCAAAUGUUUCAUCGAAGUCAAUCCCUUCAACUUGGGUGUAACCUUGAGCAACGAGACGAGCCUUGUUUCUAACAACCUGACCAUGCUCAUCUUGUUUGUUGUGAUAGAUCCACUUGGUGCCUAUGAUGUCGUGCUUGCGAGGAUCAGGACGCUUGACCAAUUCCCACACAUUGUUCAACUCGAACUGUUGAAGCUCUUCUUGCAUAGCUUGAAUCCAUUCAGGUUCCAUGAAGGCUUCAGCAACUUUCUUGGGUUCAGAUAUUGAGACAAAUGCAAAGUGCCCACAGAAAUUUGCUAGCUGUGUUGCUCUUGAACGGGUGAGUGGACCAGGUGCAUUGAUGCUAUCAAUUAUCUUCUCAAUCUGUACUUCAUUUGCAACAUGAGGAUGAACUGGACGAAGAUUUUGCCCUUGCUGAUCAUUGUCUUCAUCUGCAGUAUUGGCUUCAGGCUAAGCAUUGUCUUCAGGUUGACUUGGUGCAAUGAUGAUUUCUUCUUCAGCCUGUGCCUCUGAAGGUAUGAUUUCUCUAGUACCCAUAAGCUUGAUCGAUUCACAUGGUGGGACUUCAUCUAGCACAUUUGGCAGGUGCUCUCUUUGCAAGCCGUUAGUCUCAUCGAACCGCACAUCCAUAGUUUCAACCACUUUAUAGUGAAAGAGGUUGAAGACUCUGUAGGAGUGCGAAUCCUUUCCGUAGCCAAGCAUAAAACCUUCAUGUGCUUUUGGUGCAAAUUUUGAAGUGUGAUGUGGAUCCUUGAUCCAGCACCAAGCACCAAAUACUCUAAAGUAACUGACAUUUGGCUUCUUACCAGUUAGGAGCUCAUAGGAUGUCUUCUUUAGAAGCUUGUGAAGAUAAACACGGUUGAUGACGUGGCAUGCAGUAUCAAUAGCUUCAUGCCAGAACUUCCUUGUAGUCUUAUACUCAUCAAGCAUCGUCCGAGCCAUCUCAAUGAGUGUUCUGUUCUUGCGCUCCACGAUGCCAUUCUGCUGAGGUGUGUAUGGAGCAGAAAACUCAUGAGUGAUGCCCAAUGUAUCAAGAUAAGUGUCGAGGCUGGUGUUCUUGAAUUCUGUGCUAUUGUCACUUCUGAUGUGCUUGAUCUUGAUGCCAUAGUUUGUCAUGGUACGAUCGGCGAAUCGUCUCAAGACAUCCUGCACUUCAUUCUUGUAGAGGAUUAUAUGCACCCAUGUAUAUCUUGAAUAAUCAUCAACAAUGACGAAGGCAUAGAGGCAUGCAGUGGUAGUGAGAGUAGAGUAGUGAGUAGGGCCAAAUAGGUCCAUGUGAAGCAGCUCGAAGGGUUGAGAUGUCGUCAUGAUUUUCUUCGAGGGACGCUUGGCCCUAGUCAUCUUUCCAGCUUCGCAGGCACCACAUAGAUGAUUCUUCUUGAACUUGAAGCCCUCGAUGCCACGUGUUUCUUCUUCACGAGAGUGUACAAGUUCCUCGUGCCAGCAUGCCAUAGCCUCCGAUGCCAGAGCCAGCAUUCUGAAGCUUUUGCUAGAAGACAUACGGCCAACUGUGGUCCUGCUGAGAAAUCUACCAUGUACAGAUCAUCUUUCCGAUACCCUUCAAAGACUAGAGAUUUGCCAGAUUCCAUUAGCACAAGGCAACGAUAUUUUCCAAAUAUCACAAUCAUGUUUAGAGACAUUGAGACAGACUUUAAGUUGAAACCAAGGGAUUCAAUUGUGAAGCAUAAACAUUUGACGAACGAGUGGAUUAUGAAAGUUCAGAUCUUGGUUAGGAUAAACAGGGUGAUCAUCAAGGAACUCAGGAACAAAAUACAUAGUAAGACCAUUUGGACAUUUGAUCUUGAGUCCCACAAGAUGUUUUAGGUCCCCAGCAUUAGCAUCGGACGCCUUUGAUUUCUGGCUGGAGACCUUUCCCUGCAAAAGAGAGUUAAUUUUUCUUAGCCACCCACAUCUUCAGGGGUGGCUUAGAAGCAAUGAGUCUAAGUGCAGCAUCUGAGAACUUCGGCUUUGGAGACCUAGAAAAUAGCCUUGCAGGAGGUGAAUAAUACUCAUAUGAAUAAGCAGAAAAGUUCUUACUUUUAUGAACAUAGCAGUUUGAGGAAACACGGUCAUAUUCAUAGGUCUGAGUAUGAUUUCCCUACAAAACAUUGGCGUUAGGGUGACUCUGUUGAGUCCUCUGUUUGUAUGAAGCCUUUGGACCAUAUGAAGCCUUUGGUCAGGGGUUUGUCUUUUUCCCAGGUGGUGUCAUGAUGACAUUCACGGGAAGAUUCUCAAGACAACUUUUAGGCACCCAGAUCUUCUUCAUAGGUGGCCCAUUCCUGCAUUUAGUACCAAUAUACCUGGCAAACACUUCACCAUUCUGAUUCUUAAACAGUUUAUAGUUUGCAUCAAAGGAUUCAUCAAUGAUAAUCGGGUUAGCACAGGUGAAGCCAGAUAGAGUAGACGGAUCCAUUGAAGGUCCCUUUGCAGCAACCCAUGUGGUUUUGGGGUACUGCUCAGGCUUCCAGUAAGAACCAUAAACAUUCAUUUUCCUCUCGAACCCAACACCCUCUUUCCUAGGGUUUCGGUUCAGUAUCUGUUUCUUGAGGACAUCACAUAGUGUCUGAUGCCCUUUGAGACUUUUGUACAUUCCUGUCUCAAGCAAUGUCUUCAACCUGGCAUUCUCAUCAGCAAUAGUAGUGGUAUCCUCAGCAGAGGGGUUAGUUACCACAUCAGCAGUUGAAGAUAUUGCAACAGUAGCAGCAGUAGAACAUUCAGCAACAGAGGUAGCGUUAUCAUGCUCAAGGCAUUUUAGACAUGGUGGUUCAAAUCCUUCCUGAGCGGGACUGAUCUGUUGAGCGCGAAGUGACUCGUUCUCCUUUUGAAGAUCUUCAUGAGCCGCUCUCAAUUUCUCAAGUUCUUGCUUCCUUUGAAGAUAAUCGUAGGAAAGCUUUUCAUGAGUUGUUGAGAGCGUUUCAUGAUGACUUUCAAGUUCCUCGUACUUAACAUGAAGAUUUUUUAUGUCUUCAAUUAAGGACUGAGAUCGGGUCAUUUUCGCGUCCAACAGAUCAUCGCUUUUGUCUAGCAAUUUUUGAAUAUGUUCCAUAGCUUUCUGUUGUUCAGUUGCAAUUUUAGCAAGUGUUUUGUAGCUUGGUUUGGAUUCACAAUCAGAGUCAUCUUCACUUGAUGUUUGAAAGUAAGCAUCGCGUGAGUUUACCUUGGCACCGCGUGCCAUGAAGAAGUAGGUGGGAGCAGAGUCAUCCUCAUCCUUAGCAUCAGUGUUGGUGACGAGGCCAUUAUCUUCGGUGUUGAAGAUGGACUUGGCGACAUAUGCUGAAGCUAGAGCCAGGCUUGCCACACCUGAAUCGGACUCCUCCUCAGACUCCACCUCCGCCUCCUCAGAAGCAGACUCCUCCUCUGAAUCCAUCUCCUUGCCAACAAAUGCAUGAGCCUUGCUUGAUGAGCUCUUCUUGUGUGAUGAAGACUUCGACGAAGACUUGGAAGAAGACUUUGAGGAUUUCUUCUUCUUGUCAUCAGAAUCAUAUUCCUUGCUCUUUUUCUUCUUCUUGUUCGCGUUGUCCCACUGCGUUUUCUUCUUCUUGUUCGCGUUGUCCCACUGCGGACACUCAGAGAUGUAGUGACCAGGUUUCUUCCACUUGUGGCAUGUUCUCUUCUUGUGGUCAUUGAUGUCUACUACACAACCUUCAUCUUGUAGAUGUUGUUGGGCCUCCAAGUGCAGAGGUUUGUAGGACAGUAGCAAAUUUCCCUCAAGUGGAUGACCUAAGGUUUAUCAAUCCGUGGGAGGCGUAGGAUGAAGAUGGUCUCUCUCAAACAACCCUGCAACCAAAUAACGAAGAGUCUCUUGUGUCCCCAACACACCCAAUACAAUGGUAAAUUGUAUAGGUGCACUAGUUCAGCGAAGAGAUGGUGAUACAAGUGCAAUAUGGAUGGUAUAUAUAGGAUUUUGUAAUCUGAAAAUAUAAAAACAGCAAGGUAACUAAUGAUAAAAGUGAGCACAAACGGUAUUGCAAUGCUAGGAAACAAGGCCUAGGGUUCAUACUUUCACUACUGCAAGUUCUCUCAACAAUAAUAACAUAAUUGGAUCAUAUAACUAUCCCUCAACAUGCAACAAAGAGUCACUCCAAAGUCACUAAUAGCGGAGAACAAACGAAGAGAUUAUUGUAGGGUACGAAACCACCUCAAAGUUAUCCUUUCUGAUCAAUCUAUUCAAGAGUCCGUAGUAAAAUAACACGAAGCUAUUCUUUCCGUUCGAUCUAUCCUAGAGUUCGUACUAGAAUAAGACCUUAAGACACAAAUCAACCAAAACCCUAAUGUCACCUAGAUACUCCAAUGUCACGUCAAGUAUCCGUGAGUAUGAUUAUAUGAUAUGCAUCACACAAUCUCAGAUUCAUCUAUUCAAACCAACACAAAGUACUUCAAAGAGUGCCCCAAAGUUUCUACCGGAGAGUCAAGACGAAAACGUGUGCCAACCCCUAUGCAUAAGUUCACAAGGUCACUGAACCCGCAAGUUGAUCACCGAAACAUACAUCAAGUAGAUCACGUGAAUAUCCCAUUGUCACCACAGAUAAGCACAUGCAAGACAUACAUCAAGUGUUCUCAAAUCCUUAAAGACUCAAUCCGAUAAGGCAACUUCAAAGGGAAAAUUCAAUCCAUUACAAGAGAGUAGAGGGGGAGAAACAUCAUAAGAUCCAACUAUAAUAGCAAAGCUCGCGAUACAUCAAGAUCGUGCCAAAUCAAGAACACGAGAGAGAGAGAGAGAGAUCAAACACAUAGCUACUGGUACAUACCCUCAGCCCUGAGGGUGAACUACUCCCUCCCCGUCAUGGAGAGCACCGGGAUGAUGAAGAUGGCCACUGGAGAGGGAUUCCCCCCUCCGACAGGGUGCCGGAACGGAUCUAGAUUGGUUUGCGGUGGCUACAGAGGCUUGUGGCGGCGGAACUCCCGAUCUAUUGUGUUCCCCGAUGUUUUUAGGGUAUAUGGCUGUAUAUAGGCGAAAGAAGUCGUACAGGGGGCCCACGAGGGUGGGGGCGUGCCCAGGGGGUAGGGCGCGCCUCCCUGCCUCGUGGCUUCCUCGAAGCUUCCCUGACGUCUACUCCAAGUCUCCUGGAUUGCUUCCGUUCCAAAAAUAACUCUCCCGAAGGUUUCAUUCCGUUUGGACUCCGUUUGAUAUUCCUUUUCUUCAAAACACCGAAAUAGGCAAGAAAACAACAAUUUGGGUUGGGCCUCCGGUUAAUAGGUUAGUCCCAAAAAUAAUAUAAAAGUGUUUAGUAAAGCCCAUAAACAUCCAAAACAGAUAAUAUAAUAGCAUGAAUACUUCAUAAAUUAUAGAUACGUUGGAGACGUAUCAGCAUCCCCAACCUUAAUUCCUGCUCGUCCUCGAGUAGGUAAAUGAUAAAAGAAAUAAUUUAUGAAGUGUGAAUGCUAGCAGGUGCACAAGUUUGAUCAAUGAUAAUUUCAAUCACCUUUUCUAGCAUCAUUAUAUGUCAUAACAGUAGCUCAUAUCAUAAAGCUUCUCAUGAUCAAGCAACAAGCUAUUCACAUGUUAAAGUAUAGAUCAUAAACUUUCUUGAAAACUAACAAACAGUUCUCAGUCAUCAAACAAUUGCAAUUCAUCUUAUUUUCAGGAAGGGUCUAUGUAAGAGCUUUGAUUUAGCAAAUCCCACAUACUCAACUAUCAUAUAGUCUUCCAUGAUUGCUACCACUCAAAGCAUAUUUUUAGAACAAAUAGCAUCCAUCGAACACAGAGAAAGAUAGGGGCUUAAUGUUUCGCCUCCCAACUUAUUUAUCAUAUAGAUAAUUGUCAACAAUAAUAAUUCAUGAUCAAAUAUAUCUGAAUGGCCAUAUAUGCUUAGAUCUUUCCAUCACAUGAUGCUUGCCAACUAAAUAGUAGGUUGGAAUGAGAAGGAAUACUACUGACUCUUGCAUAAAAGUAAAAGAUAGGCCCUUCACAGAGGGAAGCAGGGAUUUGCAGAGGUGCCAGAGCUCGAAGCAAAAACAGAGAUGAAAAUAAUUUUGAGAGGUAUGCUUUCAUUGUCAACAUAACGACCAAGAGUUCCCAAUAUCUUCCAUCCUAGAUACAUUAUAGGCGGUUCCCACGUAGAAAGGUAAAAUUUUUACUCCCCCUCCACCAACAUUCACACUCCACGGCUUGUCCGAAACAACGGGUGCCGUCCAACUAUCAACAUUCCUGGGGGAGUUUUGUUUAAAUUAUUUGCGAAUUUGUUUUUGAUCUUUUGAUCAUAGGACUGGGCAUCCCAGUUACCAGCCAUUUUCUCGUGAAUGAUGAGCGGAGUCCACUCAUCGUGAGAAUAACCCACCUAGCAUGGAAGAUACUGACAACCCCUAAUCGCUACAUGAGCGAUUCAGGCAUACAAAACAGAUUUUGAAGGUUUAGAGUUUGGCACAUGCAAAUUUACUUGGAACGGCAGGUAAAUACCGCAUAUAGGUAGAUAUGGUGGACACUCAUGGAAUAAACUUGGUUCAAGGAAUUUGUAUGCACAAGCAGUAUUCCCGCUUAGUACAGAUAUUUUGGCUAGCAAAGGAUUCUAAAUAGCAAGCACCACAUGUUAGAGGAUCCACAACAAUAUAACUUCUAUACAAGUAUACCCAAGCAUAACUCAUUAUGUUGUCUUCCUUGUCCAACUUCAACUAAUUUGCUCAGGUUUGAAAAUAAUUAAUGGGGCUCACAAUCAUAGAAGAUGUCCAAGAUAGUAUAUUUAUAUGUGAAAUCUCUCUUCCUUCAAUAUUCUUUCAUGAAUUGUUUAAGUGACCAAUACAAUGUUUGCUACCCUUCAAUAAAUUUACCACCUCUACUUCUUAUAUGUGAAAGCAUUACUCCCCAUGGGAAAGGCAUAUGAAACAUAUAUAAUUUCAGAUUUAUGAUAUUCAAAUCAUUCAACCAUUUACUCAUAGAAUAUAAGUGAAGCACACGAGUAAAUGACAAACUACUCCAAAAAGAUAUAAGUGAAGAUCAGUGAGUAGUUAAAUAAUUAUGUAGCUAUGUGAAGACUCUCUCUCUCAUUUAAGAAUUUCAGAUCUUAGGAUAUUAUUCAAACAUCAAGCAAAACAAAAUAAAAUGACAUUUCAAGGAUAGCACUCAUCAUGUGAAGAAGCAAAAACUUAGGCUCAACCGAUACUAGCCGAUAAUUGUUGAAGAAGAAAGGUGGGAUGCCUACCGGGGCAUCCCCAAGCUUAGAUGCUUGAGACUUCUUGAAAUAUUAUCUUGGGGUGCCUUGGGAAUCCCCAAGCUUGAGCUUUUGUGUCUCCUUAAUUCCUCUCAUAUCACGGUUUCCUAAAUCUCGAAAGCUUCAUCCACACCAAACUCAACAAGAACUCGUGAGAUAAGUUAGUAUAAACCAAUGCAAAAACCUUAUCAUUUUCUACUGUAACAAAUCACUAAAAUUAUUAUUCAACAUUGCAUACUAAAUGCCUCUGCAUAUUUAAUACUCCUAUCCUCAAAUAGAAUCAUUAAACAAGCAAACAUAUGCAAACAAUGCAAACAUAACAGCAAUCUGCCAAAACAGUACAGUCUGUAAAGAAUGCAAGAUUCAUCAUACUUCCCUAACUCCAAACAUUAUCAAAAUCUAACAUACUGUAGAAAAUUUAUCAGAGCUCAUGAUGCAAAAAGUUUCAACAUUUUAUCAUAUUCUGACUUUUCUAGGGAAUUUUUGCAAUAGCGGUAAACUUUCUGUUUUGAAACAGCAACAUGCAUACUUGCAAAAUAAGCAUGGUAAAAGCUAUCUUUGACAUUUUUAUUGAAAAUAGAGAUGCAAAAAAUUAUUAUAAAUAACAUAAAGCAAAUACUAACAAAAUAAAAUGACGCUCCAAGCAAAACACAUAUCAUGUGGUGAAUAAAAAUAUAGCUCCAAGUAAAGUUACCGAUGAACGAAGACAAAAGAGGGGAUGCCAUCCGGGGCAUCCCCAAGCUUAGGCUCUUGGUUGUCCUUGAAUAUUACCUUGGGGUGCCUUGGGAAUCCCCAAUCUUAGGCUCUUGCCACUCCUUAUUCCAUAGUCCAUCGAAUCUUUACCCAAAACUUGAAAACUUCACAACACAAAACUCAACAGAAAACUCGUAAGCUCCGUUAGUAUAAGAAAAUAAAUCACCACUUUUGGUACUGUUGUGAACUCAUUCUAAAUUAAUAUUGGUGUAAUAUCUACUUUAUUCCAACUUAUCUAUGGUUCAUACCCUCCGAUACUACUCACAGAUUCAUCAAAAUAAGCAAACAACACAUAGAAAACAGAAUCUGUCAAAAACAGAACAGUCUGUAGUAAUCUGUAUCAAACGUAUACUUAUGAAACUCCAAAAAUUCUGAAAUAAUUUUUUAGACCUGAGUAAUUUUUCUAUUAAUCUUCUGCAAAAAGAAUCAACUUAAAAUCACCCUUCUGUAAAAAAUGACAGCUAAACUCGUGAGCGCAAAGUUUCUGUUUUUUACAGCAAGAUCACCUUAACUUACACCCAAGUCUUCCCAAAGGUUCUACUUGGCACUUUAUUGAAACAAAAGCUAUAAAACAUGAUUACUACAGUAUCUUAAUCAUGUGAACACACAAAAACAGUAGGGGUAAAUAUUGGGUUGUCUCCCAACAAGCGCUUUUCUUUAAUGCCUUUUAGCUAGGCAUGAUGAUUUCAAUGAUGCUCACAUAAAAGAUAAGAGUUCAAACAUAAAGAGAGCAUCAUGAAGAAUAUGACUAGCACAUUUAAGUCUAACCCACUUCCUAUGCAUAGGGAUUUUGUGAGCAAACAACUUAUGGGAACAAUAAUCAACUAGCAUAGGAAGGCAAAACAAGCAUAACUUUAAAACUUUGAGCACAUAGAGAGGAAACUUGAUAUUAUUGCAAUUCCUAAAAGCAUAUGUUCCUCCCUCAUAAUAAUUUUCAGUAGUAUCAUGGAUGAAUUCAACAAUAUAACCAACACAUAAAUCAUUCUUUUCAUGAGCCACAAGCAUAGAAUUUUUAUUACUCUCCACAUAAACAAAUUUAUUCUCAUCAAUAGUAGUGGGAGCAAACUCAACAAAAUAACUAUCAUGUGAAGCAUAAUCCAAUUGAAAAUUAAAAUCAUGAUGACAAGUUUCAUGGUUAUCUUUAUUCUUUAUAGAAUACGUGUCAUCACAAUAAUCAUCAUAAAUAGGAGGCAUGCUUUCAUCAUAAUAAAUUUGCUCAUCGAAACUUGGGGGACUAAACAUAUCAUCUUCAUCAAACAUAGCAUCCCCAAGCUUGUGGCUUUGCAUAUCAUUAGCAUCAUGGGUAUUCAAAGAAUUCAUACUAACAACAUUGCAAUCAUGCUCAUCAUUCGAAGAUUUAGUGCGAAACAUUCUAAUGCAUUCUUCUUCUAGCAAUUGAGCACAAUUAUCGGAAUCCUUAUUUUCACGGAAGACAUUAAAAAUAUGAAGCAUAUGAGGCAACCUUAAUUCCAUUUUUUUGUAGUUUUCUUUUAUAAACUAUAAUAGUGAUAAAACAAGAAACUAAAAGAUUCGAUUGCAAGAUCUAAAGAUAUAACUUCAAGCACUAACGUCCCCGGCAACGGCGCCAGAAAAGAGCUUGAUGUCUACUACAUAACCUUCUUCUUGUAGACGUUGUUGGGCCUCCAAGUGCAGAGGUUUGUAGGACAGUAGCAAAUUUCCCUCAAGUGGAUGACCUAAGGUUUAUCAAUCCGUGGGAGGCGUAGGAUGAAGAUGGUCUCUCUCAAACAACCCUGCAACCAAAUAACAAAGAGUCUCUUGUGUCCCCAACACACCCAAUACAAUGGUAAAUUGUAUAGGUGCACUAGUUCGGCGGAGAGAUGGUGAUACAAGUGCAAUAUGGAUGGUAGAUAUAGGUUUUGUAAUCUGAAAAUAUAAAAACAGCAAGGUAACUAAUGAUAAAAGUGAGCACAAACGGUAUUGCAAUGCUAGGAAACAAGGCCUAGGGUUCAUACUUUCACUACUGCAAGUUCUCUCAACAAUAAUAACAUAAUUGGAUCAUAUAACUAUCCCUCAACAUGCAACAAAGAGUCACUCCAAAGUCACUAAUAGCGGAGAACAAACGAAGAGAUUAUUGUAGGGUACGAAACCACCUCAAAGUUAUCCUUUUUGAUCAAUCUAUUCAAGAGUCCGUAGUAAAAUAACACGAAGCUAUUCUUUCCGUUCGAUUUAUCCUAGAGUUCGUACUAGAAUAACACCUUAAGACACAAAUCAACCAAAACCCUAAUGUCACCUAGAUACUCCAAUGUCACCUCAAGUAUCCGUGGGUAUGAUUAUACGAUAUGCAUCACAUAAUCUCAGAUUCAUCUAUUCAAACCAACACAAAGUACUUCAAAGAGUGCCCCAAAGUUUCUACCGGAGAGUCAAGACGAAAACAUGUGCCAACCCCUAUGCAUAAGUUCACAAGGUCACUGAACCCACAAGUUGAUCACCGAAACAUACAUCAAGUAGAUCACGUGAAUAUCCCAUUGUCACCACAGAUAAGCACAUGCAAGACAUACAUCAAGUGUUCUCAAAUCCUUAAAGACUCAAUUCGAUAAGACAACUUCAAAGGGAAAACUCAAUCCAUUACAAGAGAGUAGAGGGGGAGAAACAUCAUAAGAUCCAACUAUAAUAGCAAAGCUCGCGAUACAUCAAGAUCGUGCCAAAUCAAGAACACGAGAGAGAGAGAGAGAGGGAGAGAUCAAACACAUAGCUACUGGUACAUACCCUCAGCCCCGAGGGUGAACUCCCUCCCAUCAUGGAGAGCGCCGGGAUGAUGAAGAUGGCCACCGGAGAGGGAUUCCCCCCUCCGGCAGGGUGCCGGAACGGGUCUAUAUUGGUUUGCGGUGGCUACAGAGGCUUGCAGCGGCGGAACUCCCGAUCUAUUGUGUUCCCCGAUGUUUUUAGGGUAUAUGGAUAUAUAUAGGUGAAAGAAGUCGGUCAGGGGAGCCACGAGGGGCCCACGAGGGUGGGGGGCGCGCCAGGGGGGUAGGGCGCGCCUCCCUGCCUCGUGGCUUACUCGAAGCUUCCCCGACGUCUACUCCAAGUCUCCUGGAUUGCUUCCGUUCCAAAAAUAACUCUCCCGAAGGUUUCAUUCCGUUUGGAUUCCGUUUGAUACUCCUUUUCUUCGAAACACCGAAAUAGGCAAGAAAACAACAAUUUGGGCUGGGCCUCCGGUUAAUAGAUUAGUCCCAAAAUAAUAUAAAAGUAUUUAGUAAAGCCCAUAAACAUCCAAAACAGAUAAUAUAAUAGCAUGAAUACUUCAUAAAUUAUAUAUACGUUGGAGACGUAUCAGUCAUGAGCAGAAGCUUCAUCAUUUCUUGAGCUGGAUCUUGAAGACUUUCUGAAGCCUUUCUUCUUGGAGAACUUCUGGAACUUCUUCACAAGCAUAUCAAGCUCCUUUCCAAUGUCUUCAGGAUCCCCAGAACUGCAGUCAGAUUCUUCUUCAGAUGAGGAAACAACCUUUGCCUUCAAAGCGCGAGUUCGGCCGUAGUGGGACCAUAGAUGUCUCUUUUCUCAGAUAGCUGGAACUCAUGUGUGUUGAGCCUCUCAAGUAUGUCAGACAGAUCGAGAGUCUUGAAGUCAGGGCGUUCUUGAAUCAUCAGGGCCAGGGUGUCGAAUGAACUGUCAAGUGAUGUCAAGAGUGUCUUGACGAUUUCAUGCUUGGUGAUCUCAGUGGCGCCGAGUGCAUGAAGCUCAUUUGUGAUAUCAGUGAGGCAAUCAAAUAUGAGCUAGACAUUCUCAUUGUCAUUUCUCUUGAAGCGGUUGAAGAGGUUGCAAAGAACACUGAUCCUUGAGGCUCUCUGGGUUGAGACGCCUUCGUUGACCUUGGAGAGCCAGUCCCAGACUAGCUUCAUAGUUUCCAGAGCACUCACAUGACCAUACUAUCCUUUGGUCAGAUGACCACACAUGAUGUUCUUGGCAGUCGAGUUCAGUUGAAUGAAUCUCUUGACAUCAGCAACAGUGACACCUUCACCGACCUUGGGUACGCCGUUCUCGACGACAUACCAGAGGUCGACAUCAAUGGCUUCAAGAAGCAUGCACAUCUUAUUCUUCUAGUAGGGGUAAUCAGUGCCAUCGAAGACAGGGCACGCAGCGAAGACUUUGAUUAUCCCGGCAGUCGACAUAGCUAAAACUCCAGGUGGUUAAACCGAAUCACACAGAACAGGGGAGCACCUUGCUCUGAUACCAAUUGAAAGUGCUAGUUAUCGACUAGAGGGGGGUGAAUAGGUGAUUUUUAUGAAAAUCUUCAAAACAUGGGGGCUUUGAAGACAAACAAUAGAAAUGAACCUAUUGAUAUGCAGCGGAAGGUAGACUACACUAGACAAGCCAUAGUCAAGCAAGCAAUGAAGCGAAAGCACGAAGACUAUUAUCAGCUAGGUAGUAUGGAUCAGGAUGGAAGAUAGUAUGAAGCCAAACAAUAACAGUCUUCACACAGUGAAGUCAAUCAGAUAAAGCGAGUAGGCAAUGACUUCACGAAGACAAACUGUAAGUAAAGAGAGAUAGGAGAUAGAACCAGUUACUUGGGGAGGACACAGAUUUGUUGGACCAGUUCCAAUUGCUGUGACAACUGUACGUCUGGUUAGGGAGGCUGAGAUUUAACUCAGAAGACCGCGUCUUCAGCUUAUUCCCCUUGAUCUAAGGACACUUAGUCCUCGCCCAAUCACUCUGGUAAGUCUUCAAGGCAGACUUCCAAACCUUCACAGACUUCGUUCACCGGCAAUCCAUAAUGACUCUUGGAUGCUCAGAACGCGACGCCUAACCGGCUGGAGGAUUCACAGUCCUCAAAUGUAACAAGUCUUCAGAUCACGUGGAGAGAAAGACUUCAGUGAUGCCUAACACUCUUUGGCUCUGGGUGUUUUGGGCUUUGUCCUUGCAAGGAUCUCUCUCUCAAAUGCUUCGGAGGUGGGUUGCUCUUAAACGACAAAAGUUGUGCACUAACUCUGAGCAGCCACCAAUUUAUGGUGUAGGGGUGGGCUAUUUAUAGCCAGGAGGCAACCCGACCUGAUUUGUCCGAAAUGACCCUGGGUCACUAAGGAACUUACACGUGUCCAACGGUCAGAUUUCAAACACACGCGACAGCUUGACUUGGGCUACAAGUAAAGCUGACUCAUCCAACUCUGGAUAAGAUUUGCUCUCAUUGUCUUCGCUCGAAGACAUAGGAUUUGGUUGAGCAUCACUUCAGUCACUCUGACUUUGUUCACUUGGACCCCACUUAACAGUGUGGUGGUUCCUAUGACUCAACAAAGAAGAGGAAACUACGAAACAACUAUGUCUUCGCACUCCAUAGUCUUCACGUGAACGUCUUCUCGAGUCAUAAUCUUCGUUGUGAAUAUCUUCACAACCACCAUUGGCUUCAAUGUCUUCACACAUUUUUAGUGGUCAUCUCUGGUAGGUAAACUGAAUCAAUAUGGGACUACUACCUGUGUUAUCCUGCAAUUCUCACAAACACAUUAGUCCCUCAACCAAGUUUGUCGUCAAUACUCCAAAACCAACUAGGGGUGGCACUAGAUGCACUUACAAGGAUCAAUCAAUGCACUGAUAUUGCUAGGCCCUUCUGCUGUCGACGCCACCACGAUGCCAAACAACGCCUGCCUCCUGCGCAUGCCCAUCGAACGGUAUCCAGCGCCGAGACCCCGCUGCACCUUGCCGCCAAGACUCGCCGUCAUCAAUAUUGUAGAUGUCACGCCACUCCAUCUUGGUCACCACAUAAGAAGCACACGGAGACCUGCACCCAACACCAAGCCAAACACUUGUCCCUCCAGCCGAUGUACAACCCAAAAGGUGAUGCCCCCAUGGGGUGACAACGCAGGAACAUUGCCAUCAUACGAUCCGAAAAGCCCGAAUCUGGGGUUUCCCCCAGGGCACACAGGGAUCGCGAAUUGCCCCACAACGCCUCCAGCGAGGUAAGGACGCCCGCGGGUGCCGUCGUUGACGGUUCCGUCCAAGGCCGAACCAAGCUUACUUGCAAAUUCGUGCCCAUCCCGGUUGGACCACCAGAUCGACCUCCUCCGUCAUCUAACACGCCCAUGGGUAACGUCUGCCGCCGGGAAACCGCCCGACCGGAGCUGCACCACUGUCCAAAACCACCACCACGCCUGGGUGAGCCAUCGACGACCGAGGGGCCCUCACCGCUGCACCACCGACGCCUGGGGACGCACAUGUCCAAGACACCCGUGUGGAUCUCCACCGCAACCACAUCCUGGAGCCGCAGCGGAGGAAGGCCCCGCCACCACCAUCAUCCUCCACCUGGGCUUUGCCCCCUUGGAGCUCCGGCGACGGUGAGGAGAAGGGCAACGACGACUCAAAUCCCUAGAUCAGAUCAAGAGGGAGGGGAUUAGGAGGGAGGAGAUCGGGAGUCCCCUAUACUAGCGGGUCCUUGGAGUCAAUGGUUGUGCUCCUUCUUCCUUGGCAUACCAGCUCUAACUUGAAUUUGGUUGGCACUCUCCAUUUUUGUAUUUUUACAUUUACAAUUUGUAUUGAUAGUAACACUUCUGAACUAAAUCAUAUUACUAUCUCUUUUUUGUUAACCUGUCAUCGGUUGACUUGAGGUUUUAAACAAGAAUGUCCUCGGUUGAUGUUUAAAAUGUCAUACAAAUUCACUCUUGUAAUAUAUUUGAACAUUUAAGUGCCUGAAUAGAGAAUUGCUCUGCAUUUUUUUGCACACAAAAUUACUCUGCAUUUUAAUUAGAUGAAAAUGGGGCAUGUUUAUGGAAAUGGCCAAAAAUUUGGAGCUGCCGCCACAGCUCUGACCCAGCCCGCCAAUCCACCGGUCCAAGCUUCCGGCCACAUCACGGAUCCGCGGCAUCCCUCCCCCGGAUUGCCGUCUCGACCGUCCACUCCAUCCGCAUCCAACGGCAGGCACGCCUCCUCCAGCUUCUCGUCCCCGUUAAAACGCCCCUCGCCCCUCCUUCGCAAAUGACAGCACCAGUAGCCACCGCCGUCCCUCAGAUUCCACUACAUCCGCUCGCAGCUUGAGAUCGUCAGCCAUGUCCGGGCGCGGCAAGGGCGGGAAGGGACUCGGCAAGGGGGGCGCCAAGCGCCACCGGAAGGUGCUGCGGGACAACAUCCAGGGCAUCACCAAGCCGGCGAUCCGGCGGCUGGCGCGGAGGGGUGGCGUGAAGCGCAUCUCGGGGCUCAUCUACGAGGAGACCCGCGGCGUGCUCAAGAUCUUCCUCGAGAACGUCAUCCGCGACGCCGUCACCUACACCGAGCACGCCCGCCGCAAGACCGUCACCGCCAUGGACGUCGUCUACGCGCUCAAGCGCCAGGGCCGCACCCUCUACGGCUUCGGCGGCUAGGUCCGGCCGACUGUCGCCUGUCUUCGUCGCAGCCUGCAGAUUCCAAAAGCUUGAUGGAACCCUGACUUGUUCAGUUCGCUAUUUCCUCUGUCUGUAGUUCGUUGGAAAUGAAACUUGUCUCUGUCAGUCUGUCGUAAAUCUGAUUUUGUUCGCUGGUUGGUCUUCUGCAUCUCUGUUCGGUACGAUUGUUGUUUCCUUUGUGAUGCUUGAGUUGGCUCCGUAUGAAUCGAACCUGUUUGCAGGCUACUAUAAUUUGUAAUGUGAAAAAACGCCACUAAACAACUGUGUAUCUCGAUUAAGGAACAUCAUUUGCUCUGUUUCUGCAUCUGAUCCAUUUGUAUAGGUCACCAUCAUUGUUACUUCUGUGGUGCGAUGUCUGUAAUAGAGAUGAGGAUUAGUCUGCAUUUCAUCACCGAGUUCUUGCUUGAGAGUGGCUAUCCUUUACCUGAGUUUUGGGUGUACAAAUUUGCUCUGACUUGUAAUGUGGAACUAUCUCAAAGCGACCAACCCAUGAUGUGGUUCGUGGUAACUGCUACUCCAAUAAAUCAACCAGGAUCAUCAUUUGCGCUUUAUUUUCUGUUGAUUUCUAGUUACUAGAGUAACAUUUUAAUUGCUUGAACUAUGUUUCCAACUGCAGAAUUGCCAAUAUAGAUACACGAUACCCUCUUGGCAGUGAUAGCAACUUCAUCCUUCAGUUGAGUUGAUCAAGAGGUGCAAUGAUGUAUUGGAUCUGUUAUAUGAUUUAUAUUCAGAUAUCCAAAGCUAAAUGAAUACUAAUCUCUACUGACAAGACAUGCUACAGAAUUCAACCACCAUUCCGUCAGACCGGCAAUGGAACAAGCAUAUCAAGUUAGAUGGAUACUGGUAUUCACAGCAAAUUAGCGAUCAUUCUUGUCGUUUGGCUUUGAAGUAUACCUAUAUAUAAAAGAAGUCUGCUCAUUAGAGAAUAAACCAAUAUUUUAAUAGAUUAUGCUCAAUUGGCAGAUUACAAAUAUAUAAGUAUACCUAUAUAUAAAAGAAGUCUGCUUAUUUGCUGCCAACCGCUUUGUCACAACCAACUUCAGGAACGCCUUUAUGAAACUGAACACCUGAUACAAGUAUUAGAUUGGAUAUCACAAACACACACUCGGAAGACACAACACACAAGAACUUUACACAACAAAAAGACUCACAUUUUGUACUAUUAACACAACCAAAUUUUGGCGCCCCUGUUAAAAAUUACAUGUACACCAAUGUAUAGAAAGGAAAUGAAAAAUCACUAGUAUCAAGUAUGGGCAGCGAGGUGACUGAAGCAGCACAGAGAUGGCAAGUUCCCCUGAAAACUCCGAGCAGCAUCAAUUUCUUGGUGCUGCAUUUACCCGAUUCACAGUAUCCCAGUCCGGCACAGAUUAGAGCAACAAUGAGUUUUCAAGGCACACAAUACAGCAGUUUAGGUUGCUGUCAUAGAGCGAAGGGAACACCAGAGUCGUCGGAUGAGAGCACGAUUUCUGUGCCGCAAGUGCAAUGGCCAUCUCGGUAACGCUUAUGAGGGCUCUAUUGCAUUAUUCUUGAUACGCCGGGGAAGCACGACCCGCGUGCUACAGGAGCGUGCAUCGGGUCGGCUGGCUUACGCGUUAGGGAGUCAGUUUUAGAACCGCUACUUAUAGAAAAUAUGACAAGUUUUCAUCUAUGACAUCAGAGUGUCCUUUUUGUGGUUUUCAUACUUAUCACAGUGAGUUGUACAGAUUGACAAUGGUCAAAAUAUAAUUGGAUAAAUCUGUUAGCACUAAAUUAAUAGAUUUAUGUGUUCCAUUGUGCACAACAUAAUAUUUAGAGUAAUAUGCAUAAAACAACGUCGACCAGUUUAGUCCUUGUACUUCGGUGGAACCAAAUUCCAGUAUAUGGAUUGCAAACCUGAGUUUAGAGCCACCUCGAUUCGGGAUGUCGGAACACCAACCGGAUCGGAAACCUCAUCCUAAACUUACUUCGGAAUGUCUUAUACGUACUCGGUCAGCCCGUAGUCUGCGCUAGAAGCUCUUAAAAAAUAUGUGAGCAAACUUAAGUAGUAACCUUAUAUUUGUAUGCAUAUCACAAAUAAGAUAUAUGAUCUUUUUCUCGAACUUGUAAAUGAUCUUAGCCACCUCCAGUUUCAGAAUGGUCAUGUUGCUAUUACUGGGCAUGCUUUUGCUAUUGCAGGUUCAACUUACUCCCCACUUCUGUUUUGCAUGGAAUUGACUCGCCUCUUGAUACAAUUCUAGCUUUCUGAAACUCUCUUCCUGUUGGGACAGAAAUAUAUUUUUUUCUUUGGCAAAUCAGUGUAGAAAUCCAUGGUUUCUAUGUAGCAAUAGGCAUGCAUUGGUCUCUGUUUUCGAACUGAUUCUUCCAUUUCUUUCUUGCUGGGCUUGGAUAACUGAGUAUUGUAAUAUAAAUUCUUCUGACUUUGUAUGUAGCUCACUUGCAUGGGAGGUUUAUUCCAGCACACGUUGAACAUGAAGUAUAUCACAUACGGUGGGUGAUGAUGUCUCAUAACAAAAUGUAAGCCACAUGAACUUAGUAGCUCACAAUUUACCAUUCCAUGAUGAGUCAAUUCUGAUUGGUAUAGACUUCUAAUUUUGUUAAUAAUAAACUUCAUUUUUAUCUGGAACAAAAACAUCUAUUCACGUUGCUACCUACAUGGCUACAUGUCAUGUUGAAUGCUGAAAAGAAUUCUAAAAAGAACAACAUGUAUCGAUUGGUUUCAGAAAAAUUGAUGAUGAAUUGUUUUUUUAAAAGGCAUCCAUGUAUAUGGAUAGGGAAUUGGUAAGACAUACCAUGCAAGACUUGAUUUUCCUGGCACAUACAUGAAACUUUAUCAGCUAAUAAAGAGAAUCUGUUUGUUGACAUUUGGUAAGCAUAAGAGUUCAUUAUUUUGGUGUGCAAAUAAAAUUAACCUAGAUAUAUCACCUCUACUGGGUAUCUUAUUUUAACCUUAUUGUUUUACUACCGAACGGCCCGUGCGUUGCAACGGGAGAUUUAUUUUUUUAUAAUCUCCAAUGGCCAUGACCGUAUUUUGCUGCAUCACCAAGAUACACUAGCACUCUCAUUUUCGUGAAUUUGUGAACAGUUUUUGAUAAUCAUGAAAAAAAAUAAACUCGUGAACAUAUCUGGAAUCGUGAACAUUUUUACAGAUUUUUGAACAUUUUCUAAAUUCAGGGAAAACGUUAAAUUCAUGAACAUUUUAUACAAAUUUGCAAAUAUUUGAAAAAAUUUGUGAACAUUUUUAAAACAUUGUCCUUGAAUAGGUGAACAUUUUUCUAGAAUCGACGACCAUUUUUUGGAAAUUGGUGGAACAAUUUUUAAAAUUCAUGAACAUUUUUUGGUUUUAAUUUUUUUUGAAUCAGUAAACAUUUUAUGAAUCAACAAACUAUUUUGAGUCACGAACAUUGUUUGAAUUUUUAGGAUAUUUCUCAUUUUCAUGAACUUUUUUUGAAUCGGCAAAAUUUUGUUCAAUUUCAUUAACAUAUUUUAAUACAUGAACUUUAAAUAAAAAUCAUGGACAUUUUUUAUUUCCCGAACAUUUGUUUUCAAAAUUGUGAACAUUUUUAAAAAAUCACAAACAUUUUAUGAAUCCGCAAAUAUUUAUUAAUUAUUAAACAUUUUAUUUCAAAAUCCUAUAUUUAACUAUUUUCAAGUCCCAAAUUAUAUUAAAGUAGAAAAAACAAAAAUAGAAAUUAAAAACAGGUCGCCCAGACAUGAGCCGACUCAAAAAGGCACGCUGUGUCGUCUCCCACACAGAGCGCGGUAUAGAAGGUUCCUACUGCAUGGGCCGGCCCAGGCGAGGAUUCCCCUGUGUGAAAUGUUUUCUUAUCACUUAUAGGUGGCAUCCGUGGGUAAAUUUUUGCAACUUUGUGGGCAAUUUCGGUGACGUACCGCCAGAAGCAAUAGCCCUCCCGUCGUGGUGGGCGCACAACAGAUGCCACGGGGUGGCUAAAGAGAGGGAUAUGCAAGAGGCAACCGAUGGGCUCCAGAGACGAGGUUGGUAUAAGCGAGCUGAAGAUGCAAGACGUACCCAGGUUCGGGGCUCUCCGGAGAGAUAACACCCCUAGUCCUGCCGAGCGUGGUUUGUAUGAAGAUCGUACAAGCUUGCUGCUAGAGCUAUUUUUAGGAGGAAGGAAGGAAAGGCCAGUGCAUAGGCCGCUCCUUCUCUGCGUGGUGGAUGUAUGUGUGUGGCUAAAGGAAUCGACUAGUGAUCGCGUGCCUAUCUCUGCAUGGAGGCUCCCUGGGGGCUCUUAUAGGCCGACCCCCAGGGUUACAAUGGUAACGUUACAUGGGCGCAGGGCCGGGGUGUUAGUGUCUUGGAGCCGGCAGCGGGGCGCCGGGUUCGCCGGGUCCAUCGGGUGCGGGUCUUGCCGGGCGCGCCGGGAGCGGGUACAGCCGGCUGUUGGGUACUGUAGGCAUGCCGGGUGGUCGUCAUGGGACUGCUGCGCCGUCUUGCUACAGGGUUGCGCCUCCGAGACGCUGCCCGCCCUAGGCGGGGGCUUGGUCAGCACAACAGCCGCGCCCGCCGAGGCCGGCGUAUAGGAGGGCGCACUGUAGCCAUGCAGGUUAGUCGACGGAGGUUCGUCUUGCGGGGGCCGGCCUGGCCGGGUUGCGGGCGUUGGGGAACGCAGUAAUUUCAAAAAAUUUCCUACGCACACGCAAGAUCAUGGUGAUGCAUAGCAACGAGAGGGGAGAGUGUAGUCCACGUACCCUCGUAGACCGUAAGCGGAAGAUUUAUGACAACACGGUUGAUGUAGUUGUACGUCUUCAUGAUCCGACCGAUCCUAGUACCAAAAGUACGGCACCUCCACGAUCUGCACACGUUCGGCUCGGUGACGUCCCACGAACUCCCGAUCCAGCCGAGUGUCGAGGGAGAGCUUCGUCAGCACGACGGCGUGAUGACGGUGAUGAUGAAGCUACCGGCGCAGGGCUUCGCCUAAGCACUGCAACGAUAUGAUCGAGGUGGAUUAUGGUGGAGGGGGGCACCGCACACGGCUAAGAGAUCAAUGAUCAACUUAUGUGUUCUAGGGUGCCCCCUGCCCCCGUAUAUAAAGGAGCAAGGGGGGAGGCCGGCUGGCCCUAGGGCGUGCCAAGGAGGGGAGGAGUCCUCCUCCUAUUAGGAGUAGGACUCCCCUUUUCCUAGUCCAACUAGGAGGGGGAAGGGGGAAGGAAGGAGAGGGAGAGAGGGAGGGAAAGAGGGGGCGCCGCCCCCUCCUUGUCCAAUUCACACUCCUCAAGGGGAGGGCGUGCGGCCAGCCCUAAGGCCCCCUCCUCUCUCUCUCACAAGGCCCAUGUUGGCCCAUUAGUUCCACCGGGGGUUCCGAUAACCCCCCGGCACUCCGAUAAUUAUCCGGUGACCCUCGAAACUCAUCCAGUGUCCGAAUAUAGUUAUCCAAUAUAUCAAUCUUUAUGUCUCGACCAUUUCGAGACUCCUCGUCAUGUCUGUGAUAACAUCCGGGACUCCGAACUAUCUUUGAUACAUCAAAACACAUAAACUCAUAAUACCGAUCGUCACCGAACGUUAAGCGUGCGGACCCUACGGGUUCGAGAACUAUGUAGACAUGACCGAGACUCAUCUCCGGUUAAUAACCAAUAGCGGAACCUGGAUGUUCAUAUUGGCUCCCACAUAUUCUAUGAAGAUCUUUAUCGGUCAAACCGCAUAACAACAUAGUUGUUCCCUUUGUCAUCGGUAUGUUACUUGCCCGAGAUUCGAUCGUCGGUAUCUCAAUACCUAGUUCAAUCAAGUUACCAGCAAGUCUCUUUACUCGUUCCAUAAUGCAUCAUCCCGCAACUAACUCAUUAGUCACAUUGCUUGCAAGGCUUAUAGUGAUGUGCAUUACCGAGAGGGCCCAGAGAUACCUCUCCGACAAUCGGAGUGACAAAUCCUAAUCUCGAUCUAUGCCAACUCAACAAGUACCAUCGGAGACACCUAUAGAGCACCUUUAUAAUCACCCAGUUACGUUGUGACGUUUGGUAGCACACAAAGUGUUCCUCCGGUAUUCAGGACUUGCAUAAUCUCAUAGUCAUAGGAACAUGUAUAAGUCAUGAAGAAAGCAAUAGCAACAUACUAAACGAUCAAGUGCUAAGCUAACGGAAUGGGCCAAGUCAAUCACAUCAUUCUCUAAUGAUGUGAUCCCGUUAAUCAAAUGACAACUCAUGUCUAUGGCUAGGAAACUUAACCAUCUAUGAUUCAACGAGCUAGUCAAGUAGAGGCAUACUAGUGACACUCUGUUUGUCUAUGUAUUCACACAUGUACUAAGUUUCCGGUUAAUACAAUUCUAGCAUGAAUAAUAAACAUUUAUCAUGAUAUAAGGAAAUAUAAAUAACAACUUUAUUAUUGCCUCUAGGGCAUAUUCCUUCAGUCUCCCACUUGCACUAGAGUCAAUAAUCUAGAUUACACAGUAAUGAUUCUAACACCCAUGGAGUCUUGGUGUUGAUCAUGUUUUGCUCGUGAGAGAGGCGUAGUCAAUGGGUCUGCAACAUUCAGAUCCGUAUGUAUCUUGCAAAUCUCUAUGUCUCCCUCCUUGACCUGAUCGCGGAUGGAAUUAAAGCGUCUUUUGAUGUGCUUGGUUCUCUUGUGAAAUCUGGAUUCCUUUGCCAAGGCAAUUGCACUAGUAUUGUCACAAAAGAUUUUCAUUGGACCCGAUGCACUAGGUAUGACACCUAGAUCAGAUAUGAACUCCUUCAUCCAGACUCCUUCAUUUGUUGCUUCCGAAGCAGCUAUGUACUCCGCUUCACACGUAGAUCCCGCCACGACGCUUUGUUUAGAACUGCACCAACUGACAGCUCCACCGUUCAACAUAAAUACGUAUCCGGUUUGUGACUUAGAGUCAUCCGGAUCAGUGUCAAAGCUUUGCAUCGACGUAACCAUUUACGACAAGCUCUUUGUCACCUCCAUAAACGAGAAACAUAUCCUUAGUCAUUUUUAGGUAUUUCAGGAUGUUCUUGACCACUGUCCAGUGAUCCACUCAUGGAUUACUUUGGUACCUCCCUGCUAAACUACUAGCAAGGCACACAUCAGGUCUGGUACACAGCGAUUGCAUACAUGAUAGAGCCUAUGGCUGAAGCAUAGGGAACAACUUUCAUUUUCUCUCUAUCUUCUGCAGUGGUCGGGCAUUGAGUCUGACUCAACUUCACACGUUGUAACACAGGCAAGAACCCUUUCUUUGCUUGAUCCAUUUUGAACUUCUUCAAAACUUUAUCAAGGUAUGUGCUUUGUGAAAGUCCAAUUAAGCAUCUCGAUCUAUCUCUAUAGAUCUUGAUGCCCAAUAUAUAAGCAGCUUCAUCGAGGUCUUUCAUUGAAAAAUCCUUGUUCAAAUAUCCUUUUAUGCUAUCCGGAAAUUCUAUAUCAUUUCCAAUCAACAAUAUGUCAUCCACAUAUAAUAUUAGAAAUGCUACAGAGCUCCCUCUCACUUUCUUGUAAAUACAGGCUUCUCCAAAAGUCUGUAUAAAACCAUAUGCUUUCAUCACACUAUCAAAACAUUUAUUCCAACUCCGAGAUGCUUGCACCAGUCCAUAAAUGUAUCGCUGGAGCUUGCACACUUUGUUAGAAUCCUUUGGAUCGAUGAAACCUUCAGGUUGCAUCAUAUACAACUCUUCUUCCAGAAAUCCAUUCAGGAAUGCAGUCUUUACAUCCAUUUGCCAAAUUUCAUAAUCAUAAAAUGCAGCAAUUGCUAACAUGAUUCAGACGGACUUAAGCAUCGCUACGGGUGAGAAUGUCUCAUCGUAGUCAACUCCUUGAACUUGUCGAAAACCUUUUGCAACAAGUUGAGCUUUGUAGAUAGUAACAUUACCGUCAGCGUCAGUCUUCUUCUUGAAGAUCCAUUUAUUCUCGAUGGCUUGCCGAUCAUUGGGCAAGUCAACCAAAGUCCACACUUUGUUCUCAUACAUGGAUCCCAUCUCAGAUUUUAUGGCCUCAAGCCAUUUCGCGGAAUCUGGGCUCAUCAUCGCUUCCUCAUAGUUUGUAGGUUUGUCAUGGUCAAGUAACAUGACCUCCAGAACAGGAUUACCGUACCACUCUGGUGCGGAUCUUACUCUGAUUGACCUACGAGGUUCAGUAGUAACUUGAUAUGAAGUUACAUGAUCAUCAUCAUUAGCUUCCUCACUAAUUGGUGUAGGAGUCACAGGAACAGAUUUCUGUGAUGAACUACUUUCCAAUAAGGGAGCAGGUACAGUUACCUCAUCAAGUUCUACUUUCCUCCCACUCACUUCUAUCGAGAGAAACUCCUUCUCUAGAAAGAAUCCAUUCUUAGCAACGAAUGUCUUGCCUUCGGAUCUGUGAUAGAAGGUGUACCCAACAGCCUCCUUUGGGUAUCCUAUGAAGACACAUUUCUCCGAUUUGGGUUCGAGCUUAUCAGGUUGAAGCUUUUUCACAUAAGCAUCGCAGCCCCAAACUUUAAGAAAUGACAACUUGGGUUUCUUGCUAAACCACGGUUCAUAAGGUGUCGUCUCAACGGAUUUAGAUGGUGCCCUAUUUAACGUGAAUGCAGUCGUCUCUAAAGCAUAACCCCAAAACGAUAGCGGUAAAUCAGUAAGAGACAUCAUAGAUCACACCAUAUCUAGUAAAGUACGAUUACGAUGUUUGGACACACCAUUAUGCUGUGGUGUUCCGGGUGGCGUGAGUUACGAAACUAUUCCGCAUUGUUUCAGAUGAAGACCAAACUCGUAACUCAAAUAUUUUCCUCCACGAUCAGAUCGUAGAAACUUUAUUUUCUUGUUACAAUGAUUUUCCACUUCACUCUGAAAUUCUUUGAACUUUUCAAAUGUUUCAGACUUAUGCUUCAUCAAGAGGAUAUACCCAUAUCUGCUCAAAUCAUCUGUGAAGGUGAGAAAAUAAUGAUACCCGCCGCGAGCCUCAACAUUCAUCGGACCACAUACAUCAGUAUGUAUGAUUUCCAACAAAUCUGUUGCUCGCUCCAUUGUUCCGGAGAACAGCGUUUUAGUCAUCUUGCCCAUGAGGCAUGGUUCGCAAGUACCAAGUGAUUCAUAAUCAAGUGAUUCCAAAAGUCCAUCAGAAUGGAGUUUCUUCAUGCGCUUUACACCAAUAUGACCUAAACGGCAGGCCACAGAUAUGUUGCACUAUCAUUAUCAACUCUGCAUCUUUUGGCUUCAAUAUUAUGAAUAUGUGUGUCACUACUAUCGAGAUUCGACAAAAAUAGACCACUCUUCAAGGGUGCAUGACCAUAAAAUAUAUUAGUCAUAUAAAUAGAACAACCAUUAUUCUCUGAUUUAAAUGAAUAACCGUCUCGCAUCAAAUAAGAUUCAGAUAUAAUGUUCAUGCUUAACGCUGGCACCAAAUAACAAUUAUUCAGGUCUAAAACUAAUCCCGAAGGUAGAUGUAGAGGUAGCAUGCCGACUGCGAUCACAUCGACUUUGGAACCAUUUCCCACGCGCAUCGUCACCUCGUCCUUAGCCAAUCUUCGCUUAAUCCGUAGUCCCUGCUUCGAGUUGCACAACUCCCCGUGCGAAAGCAAGUCCCGCAUCCGAUGAACUGCUGCAAAGUGAACUGACCAGGGGCAUAUUAGCAACAGAACCAGUAUCAAAUACCCAGACACUACUGCGAGCAUUAGUAAGGUACACAUCAAUAACAUGUAUAUCACAUAUACCUUUGUUCACCUUUCCAUCCUUCUUAUCCGCCAAAUACUUGGGGCAGUUCCGCUUCCAGUGAUCAGUCCCUUUGCAGUAGAAGCACUCAGUCUCAGGCAUAGGUCCAGACUUGGGCUUCUUUACUUGAGCAGCAACUUGCUUGCCGUUCUUCUUGAAGUUCCCCUUCUUCCCUUUACCAUUUUUCUUGAAACUGGUGGUCUUGUUGACCAUCAACACUUGAUGCUCUUUCUUGAUUUCUACCUCUGCAGCCUUUAGCAUUGCGAAGAGCUCGGAAAUUGUCUUAUCCAUCCCUUGCAUAUUAUAGUUCAUCACGAAGCUCUUGUAGCUUGGUGGCAGUGAUUGAAGAAUUCUGUCAAUGACACUAUCAUCAGGAAGAUUAACUCCCAGUUGAAUCAAGUGAUUGUUAUACCCAGACAUUUUGAGUAUAUGCUCACUAACAGAACUAUUCUCCUCCAUCUUGCAGCUGUAGAACUUAUUGGAGACUUCAUAUCUCUCAAUCCGGGCAUUUGCUUGAAAUAUUAACUUCAACUCCUGGAGCAUCUCAUAUGCUCCAUGAUAUUCAAAACAUCGUUGAAGUCCCGGUUCUAAGCCGUAAAGCAUGGCACACUGAACUAUUGAGUAGUCAGCAGCUUUGCUCUGCCAGACGUUCAUAACAUCUGGCGUUGCUCCUGCAGCGGGUUUGGCACCUAGCGGUGCUUCCAGGACAUAAUUCUUCUGUGUAGCAAUGAGGAUAAUCCUCAAGUUACGGACCCGGUCCGUGUAGUUGCUACCAUCAUCUUUCAACUUAGCUUUCUCUAGGAACGCAUUAAAAUUUAACGGAACAACAACACAGGCCAUCUAUCUACAACAACAUAGACAUGCAAAAUACUAUCAGGUACUAAGUUCAUGAUAAAUUAAAGUUCAAUUAAUCAAAUUACUUAAGAACUCCCACUUAGAUAGACAUCCCUCUAAUCAUCUAAGUGAUCACGUGAUCCAUAUCAACUAAACCUUGUCCGAUCAUCACGUGAGAUGGAGUAGUUUUCAAUGGUGAACAUCACUAUGUUGAUCAUAUCUACUAUAUGAUUCACGCUCGACCUUUCGGUCUCAGUGUUCCGAGGCCAUAUCUGCAUAUGCUAGGCUCGUCAAGUUUAACCCGAGUAUUCUGUGUGUGCAAAACUGGCUUGCACCCGUUGUAUGUGAACGUAGAGCUUAUCACGCCCGAUCAUCACGUGGUGUCUCGGCACAACGAACUUUUGCAACGGUGCAUACUCAGGGAGAACACUUGUACCUUGAAAUUUAGUGAGAGAUCAUCUUAUAAUGCUACCAUCGACCUAAGCAAAAUAAGAUACAUAAAGGAUAAACAUCACAUGCAAUCAAUAUAAGUGAUAUGAUAUGGCCAUCAUUAUCUUGUGCAUUUGAUCUCCAUCUCCAAAGCACUGUCAUGAUCACCAUCGUCACCGGCUUGACACCUUGAUCUCCAUCGAAGCGUCGUAGUCGUCCCGCCAACUAUUGCUUCUACGACUAUCACUACCAUUUAGUGAUAAAGUAAAGCAAUUACAUGGCGAAUGCAUUUCAUACAAUAAAGCGACAACCAUAUGGCUCCUGCCAUUUGUCGAUAACUCCGUUACAAAACAUGAUCAUCUCAUACAAUAAAAUUUAGCAUCAUGUCUUGACCAUAUCACAUCACAACAUGCCCUGCAAAAACAAGUUAUACGUCCUCUACUUUGUUGUUGCGAGUUUUACGUGGCUGCUACGGGCUGAGCAAGAACCGUUCUUACCUACGCAUCAAAACCACAAUGAUUUUUCGUCAAGUAUGCGCUGUUUUAACCUUCAACAAGGACCGGGCAUAGCCACACUCGAUUCAACUAAAGUUGGAGAAACUGACACCCGCCAGCCACCUGUGUGCGAAGCACGUCGGUAGAACCAGUCUCGCGUAAGCGUACGCGUAAUGUCGGUCCGGGCCGCUUCAUCCAACAAUACCGCCGAAUCAAAGUAUGACAUGCUGGUAAGCAGUAUGACUAUUAUCGCCCACAACUCACUUGUGUUCUACUCAUGCAUAUAACAUCUACGCAUAGACCUGGCUCUGAUACCACUGUUGGGGAACGCAGUAAUUUCAAAAAAAUUCCUACGCACACACAAGAUCAUGGUGAUGCAUAGCAACGAGAGGGGAGAGUGUAGUCCACGUAUCCUCGUAGACCGUAAGCGGAAGCGUUAUGACAACGCGGUUGAUGUAGUCGUACGUCUUCACGAUGCGACCGAUCCUAGUACCGAAAGUAUGACACCUCCGCGAUCUGCACAUGUUCGGCUCGGUGACGUCCCAUGAACUCUCGAUCCAGCUGAGUGUCGAGGGAGAGCUUUGUCAGCACGACAACAUGAUGAUGGCGAUGAUGAAGCUACCGGCGCAGGGCUUCACCUAAGCACUGCAACGAUAUGACCGAGGUGGAUUAUGGUGGAGGGGGCACCGCACACGGCUAAGAGAUCAAUGACCAACUUAUGUGUUCUAGGGUGCCCCCCAUGCCCCCGUAUAUAAAGGAGCAAGGGGGGAGGCCGGCCGGCCCUAGGGCGCGCCAAGGAGGGGAGGAGUCCUCCUCCUAGUAGGAGUAGGACUCCCCUUUUCCUAGUCCAACUAGGAGGGGGAAGGAAGGAGAGGGAGGGAAAGAGGGGGCGCCGCCCCGCUCCUUGUCCAAUUCGGACUCCUCAAGGGGGGGGGGGUGCGCGGCCAGCCCUAAGGCCCCCUCCUCUCUCUCUCACAAGGCCCAUGUUGGCCCAUUAGUUCCCCCGGGGGUUCCAUAACCCCCCGGCACUCCGAUAAUUAUCCGGUGACCCUCGGAAUUCAUCCGGUGUCUGAAUAUAGUCAUCCAAUAUAUCAAUCUUCAUGUCUCAACCAUUUCGAGACUCCUCGUAAUGUUCGUGAUCACAUCCGGGACUCCGAACUAUCUUUGGUACAUCAAAACACAUAAACUCAUAAUACCGAUCGUCACCGAACGUUAAGCGUGCGGACCCUACGGGUUCGAGAACUAUGUAGACAUGACCGAGACUCAUCUCUGGUCAAUAACCAAUAGCGGAACUUGGAUGUUCAUAUUGGCUCCCACAUAUUCUACGAAGAUCUUUAUCGGUCAAACCGCAUAACAACAUACAUUGUUCCCUUUGUCAUCGGUAUGUUACUUGCCCGAGAUUCGAUCGUCGGUAUCUCAAUACCUAGUUCAAUCUCGUUACCGGCAAGUCUCUUUACUCGUUCUGUAAUGCAUCAUCCCGCAACUAACUCAUUAGUCACAUUGCUUGCAAGGCUUAUAGUGAUGUGCAUUACCGAGAGGGCCCAGAGAUACCUCUCCGACAAUCGAAGUGACAGAUCCUAAUCUCGAUCUAUGCCAACUCAACAAGUACCAUCAGAGACACCUGUAGAGCACGUUUAUAAUCACCCAGUUACGUUGUGAUGUUUGCUAGCACACAAAGUGUUCCUCCGGUAUUCGGGAGUUGUAUAAUCUCAUAGUCAUAGGAACAUGUAUAAGUCAUGAAGAAAGCAAUAGCAACAUACUAAACGAUCAAGUGCUAAGCUAACGGAAUGGGUCAAGUCAAUCACAUCAUUCUCUAAUGAUGUGAUCCCGUUAAUCAAAUGACAACUGAUGUCUAUGGCUUGGAAACUUAACCAUCUUGGAUUCAACGAGCUAGUCAAGUAGAGGCAUACUAGUGACACUCUGUUUGUCUAUGUAUUCACACAUGUACUAAGUUUCCGGUUAAUACAAUUCUAGCAUGAAUAAUAAACAUUUAUCAUGAUAUAAGGAAAUAUAAAUAACAACUUUAUUAUUGCCUCUAGGGCAUACUUCCUUCAGCGGGGCCUUGCCGGGUUGCGCUGGGGGGCCGACCAGGGCGCAAGCCGGACUGAGGGGUGAUGCUAGCCCUGAUGUUUUUGAAAAGGAUCCGGGUUCCAUUGCCUGCCUGGGGUCCAUCCCCCCGACAGUACUCCCCGAAGCUAUGAAGGCUCGCCGACUUCGAGCAAGGGGGACUUCGUAGUUUCACCCCCGUGAGGAGGUAGUCGGGUUGAUGGAGUUCGUGGCCGCUGGGUCUGGCAACACCCACUGUGUGUCGGCUUCCGGAAGCCGGAUCACGGCACCCCGGUAUGGGCAAGAAACCGUGGAGUCUACCGAAUCUUGAAGGGGAAGGGACGCGCCCCCGGGUGUAAGGGCAUUUUAUCCCUUAGUUGGUUUUGGUGAUUGAUGACAAUGCUUUUGCGGACCAAUCAUGUGCAUCAAAUAUUUCAGAUAUAUUGACUAGGCACAAGAUGAUUGGGUUCCCCUCAAAAGGCUAUAGAAGAUGGCGUUUCUCUUCGGUUCUUUUCGGUGGUAUUGAGUCGUAGGGAAGCCGUACUAUUAAGAGGGGGUACGCUUUGGAAAGGUUGGGUGGAUUCAUCACGUACACAUCGUCCCUUGCACCUCCUUUCCUCUUGCCUUUGGAGCAUCCUAAGUUUUCCGUGUCUAUGCAAUUAUAGCUCUUGUCUGCCGAACUAGGAAGUGCGGUAGUACCGCAGGACCUUGUGGUAGUACCGCCCUCUGGUGCGGUAGUACCGCAAGGCCCCACGGUAGUACCGCUUCUAGUGAGCGGUAGUACCGUGGUCCCUGCUUAGUUCCGCAACUUCACGUCUGUAAGGGGCGGAUGUAAUUUUUUACAUCCGCACCUAGCGUGGUAGUACCGCGGCUGGCUUACGGUACUACCGCGUCGGGUUUUUGCAUCGACUCCAACUCUGCGGAAGUAGCCACGGAUGUAAUUUUUUAUAUCCGUGCCUCCCCAUCCCUGGACAGCCCCUGCCUUGCGGUAGUACCGCAAGGGGGUGCGGUAGUACCGCGCUAGCAGUACUACCGCCCUCUGCCGUAGUGCUGUGUGGCUGUUCUGGUCUCUGCUGCGUGGGCGGUAGUACCGUGGGGCUCUGCGGUAGUACCGCGUACCCCUGUGGUAGUACCGCGCCUAAGGUGCGGUAGUACCGCAUGCACCUGCGGUAGUACCACGCCUCAGGGCGGUAGUACCGCGUGCCCCUGUGGUAGUACCGCGCCUAAGGUGCGGUAGUACCGCGCAGCGCAGGCUGAGUUGGUGGAUAACGGUUGGAUUUGUUCUCCCACUAUAUAAGGGGUGUCUUCCUCCUCUAGUUGACCACCUCUUCCACCUCCAAGCUCCAUUGUUGCUCCAAGCUCCAUUUUCGCCCGAUCUCCUUCCCUAGCCAAUCAAACUUGUUGAUUCUCUAGGGAUUGGUUGAGGAGGCCCCGAUCUACACUUCCACCAAGAGAUAUUUGAAUUCCCACACUAAUCCCUUGUGGAUCUUGUUACUCUUGGGUGUUGAGCACCCUAGACGGUUGAGGUCACCGUGGAGCCAUAGUCCAUUGUGGUGAAGCUUCGUGGUGUCGUUGGGAGCCUCCAAUUAAGUUGCGGAGAUUGCCCCAACCUUGUUUGUAAAGGUUCGGUCGCCGCCUUCAAGGGCACCAAUAGUGGAAUCACGGCAUCUCGCAUUGUGUGAGGGCGUGAGGAGAAUAUGGUGGCCCUAGUGGCUUCUUGGGGAGCAUUGUGCCUCCACACUGCUCCAACGGAGACGUACUUCCUCUCAAAGGGAAGGAACUUCGGUAACACAUCCUCGUCUUCACCGGCUCCACUCUUGGUUAUCUCGUGCCUUUACUUGUGCAAGUUUAUUUGUGCCUUAUCUCUUGCUUGCUUGUAUGCUUAUUGUUGUUGCAUCAUAUAGGUUGCUCACCUAGUUGCAUAUCUAGACAACCUACUUUGAUGCAAAGUUUAAAUUGGUAAAGAAAAGUUAAAAAUUGUUAGUUGCCUAUUCACCCCCCCUCUAGUCAACUAUAUCGAUCCUUUCAAUUGGUAUCAGAGCCUCGUCUCUUUAUUAAGGACUUUAUCGUCCGAAGAGUAUGGUUGACGUCGUAGACGGUGUGGAGGAGCACUCCGGUGUGAAUCCGGUCUCGUCUACGGGAGACGGGGGAACCGCGGUCUCUCGUGAGGAAUUAAAUGUGGCGUUGGACACAUUGAAAACCUCCAUGACUACCGAGGUCAAAAGCAUGUUUAAUAAAUACUUAGAAGGGCUUAAGCUUUCCACCGCACCGUUGAAAGUGGGUGAUCCCGCCAACAAGGUGACGGAUGCUACCUCCAACAAAGGGGAAGCUACUAGCGAGAAAGCUCCUUCUUCUAGUGGUAAAAAGGGCACCGACAUCUUUGCCCAUGUGGAACCUCCACCUGUCUAUGGUGGACCGCUCCCUUCCACUCAUUGAAAUCAUGCCGGCCCGGCUCCUAAGAUUGAGAAGAAUGUAGAUUUUGAUUCUUGGGUCUAUCGUUUUAAGCGUCAUUUAAAUCAUGUGAACACUAACCUUUGGAGAAUCAUUGAAGAAGGUUUCUAUCCGCAUGACCGAAGUAACUUCACUCCUAGAGAAGUUGUGGAUCAUCAAUUCAAUGAGAAUGCUCUCUUCAUCAUCCAAGAAGCAAUCCCACCCAAAGAUCUUCCUCAUCUCCGGCCUUACACCGUGGCCAAAGAUGCUUGGCUCCAAGUUGUUUCCCUCUAUCGGGGAAGCGCAAGCAUUCAACGCUCCAACUAUGAAGUAGUGCAAGAUGAAGCCGACGAGUUUGCAAUGAAAGAAGAUGAAGAACCUCAUGAGCUUUAUCGGAGAGUAACCAAACUCGCGGUCUCUCUCCGAGAUCAUGGAAGUAAGGACACGGAUGACAAUUGGAUCAAGCGCAAAUUCCUCAAGGCAAUGAUGCCCUACCACAAAGCUAUGUCCUCCGUAAUUCGUCAAAGGCCGGACUUUCACACCUUGUCCUCAAGUGAAGUGUUGGAUGAGUUUGUUGCUAUGAGCAUCUUGGACAAGACCGCCGACAAUGCGGUUCUUCGCUCUCAAAGAGUAAAGAAGCCCAACCUUGCUCUAAAGGCCAAGGUUAGUAUGGAGGAAGAGGAUGAAGAGGAAGAAGAGGAGGGCAACCUCGAAGAUACGAAGUAUGCCUAUCAUGAACACAUGGCUCUUGCUUCAAGGCAAUUUUGGAGCAAGAAGAACACAAGGCCAAACUUCAACAAGAGCAAUUCAAGUGGCGCAAAGGGCAAGCAACGAGUGAGAACUUGCUUCAAUUGUGGCAAUGUGAGCCACUUUGUUGCGGAGUGCCCUUACGAGAAGAGGGAAGACAAUGGUGGCAAGCUCAUUAGAAAGGACAAGGCCAAGUCGUUCCCCAACAAGAGCAACUUCACCAAGAAGACUCCUCCCAAGGCAUUGGUGGUACAAGAAGAGUAUAACGAGGAUGAUGACAAUGAUGAAGAUGGUGAGUCGGUUGCCAUGGCAUAUUUGCCAUUGCGAAGACUCCACGGAUGUCUCUCUUCGACUCACCCAAUGAGAACAUCACCGCCAAGUGCCUCAUGGCUAAAGCCACCAAUAAGGUAACCUCCAACAUCAAAACUACCAUAAUUAAUCAUCCUUCUUCGACGGAUAGCAUUGAUGAACAUGAGGGGACAAAUGUGGAGGAAAAUGAGUUUGAGAUCUUUAUGGGUAAACUCAAGGGUAAAUCCAAGAAGCACUUCGUUGCUCUCUUGGAACAACUUGGUGAAGCCAAUGACAUGAUCGAGGCUCACGAAGAUACCAUCUCUAAGAUGGAGGGGCAUAGUCGUGACUAUGCCGAUGAGAUUUUGGAUCUUUCCAAUGCUCUUGACGAAGAGCGCGGUCUUCGUUUGGCUCUUGAGGAGUCAUACAACGAUGAUCAUGCUAAGUUAAAGAAAGAUCUUGAUCAUGCUCUUGUUGUGUCUCGUGUGCUAAACUCCGAGAAGGCAAAACAUGGGGUUGAUCUUGCUAGACUUAAAGAGGAGUUUGACAUUCUCGACAAGGCUCACAAAGUCUUGAAGGGCGUUCAUGCUAGCCUCAAGGAGUCUCAUGAUCAACUCCAUGUAAAGCUAACUAAGGAGAAAGCCACCUUUCCUCAUAUGGUGUUAAUUGACAAUGCAAAUGCUACUAACCCUUGUUGUGAGCAUGUGCAUCUUGUUGAGGAGAAUGCUAAGUUGAAGGAGCAACUUGAGAAAGGCCUUGUGUCAUGCAUACAAGGUGAGAAGAACCUCAACGACCUUUUGAGAAACCAAAAGGAAGUUGUGGCCAAGGAGGGGAUUGGGUUCGCACCCAAGCCCAAGAACAAGAAGAAGAAUGACAAGACCAAACGACCUCCUCCUCUCAAGCAAACGUUUGUGAAGGAGGGAGAGGGUAUUUCCAAGGAGAAGAAGAACAAUGCGAAGGGUGACGGUGUCAAGAAGGGCAAUACCACCCCAUCCAACAAAGCCGGCGACUUUAAUCCUUCUUAUGUGUUAUGCCGUGCAAGUGAUGGGCAUGUUUAUGCCAAAUUUGUUGGUUCUCCUCAUGAGUAUAUUGAAUGGUGCAUUUGGGUUCCUAAGACCCUUGUUACUAACAUCAAAGGACCCAUUACAAAAUGGGUACCUAAAACCAAGCAUUGAUCUCUUGUAGGUGUUCGCUUCCGGUGGGGGAUCAUGGUUGCUCGAUAGUGGAGCUACAAAUCAUAUGACCGGAAGCAAGGACUUGGUGGUGGACGUGCACAAGAUUCCAUCUAUGCCCACCAAUGUCGAGUGGGGUGAUGCCUCGUCUUCUAAGGUAUUGGGACUCGGCAAAGUUGUCAUUUCUCAUGAUCUCACGAUCGAGAAGGUCAUGCUAGUUGAGUCCCUUGCAUACAAUUUACUUUCCGUUCGUCAACUUGCUACCAUGGGCUUUGCCACUUUCUUUAAUAUUGAUACCGUGGCCCUCUUGUGGAGCAAGACUCUUAAAGUAGCCUUUGUUGGGCAUGUCGAGAACGGUCUCUAUGUGAUUAACUUUUCGGAGCGACCCACUAAGACCGCGACAUGCCUAAUGGCUAAAGUUGACGUGGGAUGGCUUUGGCAUCACCGUUUAGCCCAUGUCAAUAUGAGAUCUUUGCAAAGUCUUCUCAAGGGGGACCAUGUCCGUGGACUAACGAACGUUAGGUUUGCUAAAGAUCGUGCUUGCAGUGCUUGUAUCGAAGGAAAGCUUCAUGAGAAGGCUCACCCUCCCACGACUCUCAUUUACUCGAAGAGGCCUUUGGAGCUCCUUCAUUUGGAUCUCUUUGGGCCUCCAUCCUUUGAUAGUCUUGGGGGUAGAAAGUAUUGCUUGGUAAUUGUGGAUGACUAUUCAAGAUACACUUGGGUGUAUUUCUUCAAGAGGAAGAGUGAGACCCAACAAACCGUCAUUGACUUUGCAAAUGAAGCCCAACGUCAACACAAUGCAAAGAUCUUGACAAUAAGAAGUGACAACGGCACCGAGUUCAAGAACUACACCUUGGAUGAGUUUCUUAGUGAUGAGGGGAUCAAGCAUCAAUAUUCCGCACCUUACACCCCUCAACAAAAUGGUGUUGCGGAGAGGAAGAACCGGACGUUGAUGGAUGCGGCUAGGACCAUGAUGGUGGAGUUCAAGUCUCCAUACAACUUUUGGGCCAAAGCCAUCAACACCGCGUGUCAUGCUUCAAAUCGGCUCUAUCUCCGCAAAGGCUUGAACAAGACUCCAUAUGAGAUACUUACCGGUAACAAGCCCAACCUCAAGUACUUUCGGGUGUUCGGGUGUAAGUGUUUCAUUCUCAAGAAAGGUGUUCGUUUGUCUACAUUUAAGACUAUAGCUCAUGAGGGCAUAUUUGUUGGUUAUGCUACAAACUCCCAUGCUUACCGUGUUCUCAAUAAGUCCACGGGACUUAUUGAGGAGACGUGUAAUGUGGAGUUUGAUGAGAAUAACGGCUCCCAAGUGGAGCAAAGUGGUACUUGUGAUGUAGGUGAUGAAAUUCCUCCCCAAGCCAUAAGAAGAAUGGGUGUUGGUUAUAUCCUACCCAUUGAGGAACCCCUUGUGGCCGAAGGAGAAGUACAAUGCUCCACUCAAGUGGAGCCAUCACCAACCCAAGACCCACACGCUUCCGAAGAACAAAGUGAAGGCCCUCAACCUCAUGAACAAGAUCAAGGGCAAGAUCAACCUCAAGAUGGUGGUGAUCCACCAAAUGAUGCCCAAGGUCAAGUUCUCCCCCUAGAGCAAGUUCAAGGUCAAGAGCAAGCUCAAGACGACGCUCAAGAUGAUCAAGUAACCCCUCCUCGUUUCACUUCCGAGGAGGAAUUGGAGCGUCGUGCCGCUAAGAUCGCUUCCAAGCUCACCACCAAAGGUCAUCUCAUGGAGAAUGUGGUUGGAAGCCUAAGAAAGGGGGUAAGCACUCGUAGACAAUUAGCAAACUAUUGUGAACAUCAUGCGUUUGUUUCUUGUGUCGAACCCCAAAAGGUUUAUGAAGCGCUCGAGGACCCGGAUUGGCUCAAUGCCAUGCAUGAAGAACUCAACAACUUUGAACAUAACCAAGUGUGGAAAUUAGUGCCAAGGCCAACCGGGAACCAUAAUGUCAUUGGAACCAAGUGGAUAUUCAAGAACAAGCAAGAUGCUCAUGGGAUCAUUGUUCGCAACAAGGCUCGUUUGGUGGCACAAGGCUACUCCCAAGUCGAGGGUAUCGACUACGGUGAAACCUUUGCCCCCGUCGCUCGCCUUGAAUCUAUUCGUUUGUUGAUUGCUUAUGCUUCUCAUCAUAAUUUCACGUUGCAACAAAUGGAUGUGAAGAGUGCUUUUCUUAAUGGUCCCAUAAAUGAGUUGGUGUAUGUCAAACAACCCCCCGGGUUCGAAGAUCCCUAUUUCCCCGAUCAUGUGUAUCAACUCCACAAGGCGCUCUAUGGCCUUAAACAAGCCCCACGUGCGUGGUACGAGCAUCUUACGGAGUUGUUACAAGAUCGUGGAUUCGAAAUCGGGAAAAUCGACCCCACUCUUUUUACUAAGAAGGUCAAAGGGGAGUUGUUUGUGUGCCAACUAUAUGUUGAUGAUAUUAUUUUUGGUUCCCCUAACAAAGCCUUCAAUGAAGAAUUUGCCGCUCUCAUGACCUCAAAGUUCAAGAUGUCUAUGAUGGGAGAGUUGAAGUUCUUUCUCGGAUUCGAAAUCAAACAAAGAAGAGAAGGAACCUUCAUCAACCAAGCCAAAUACACUCAAGACAUGCUAAAGAGAUUCAAGCUAAGUGAUGUCAAGCCGGCUUCCACUCCAAUGCCCACCAAGUGCCAACUUGACAUUGAUCCCAAUGGUAAAGCGGUGGAUCAAAAGGUAUAUCGCUCCAUGAUUGGAUCCUUGCUUUACCUUUGUGCAUCUAGACCGGAUAUCAUGUUGAGUGUGGGAAUUUGUGCACGAUUUCAAGCCGCACCUAAGGAAAGCCACUUUGUGGUGGUCAAGCGAAUCUUUCGAUAUUUGGCUCAUACCCCAAACUUUGGCUUAUGGUACCCAAGAGGAGCAAACUUCAAGCUUGUAGGUUAUUCGGACUCCGAUUGGGCGGGAGACAAAGUGGAUAGGAAGUCCACUUCCGGAGGGUGCCAAUUUCUUGGUUUCUCUUUGGUAAGUUGGUCUUCUAAAAAGCAAAGUUGUGUGUCUCUCUCGUCCACCGAAGCGGAGUAUGUGGCGGCCGGGAGUUGUUGUGCUCAACUCUUAUGGAUGAGGCAAACUUUAAAGGAUUACGGUGUCAUUUGUGACAAAGUGCCUCUUUGGUGUGAUAAUGAAAGUGCCAUCAAGAUUUCUCUCAACCCCGUGCAACACUUCAAGACGAAGCAUAUUGAGAUUCGGUAUCACUUCAUCCGAGAUCACAUUAGGCGAGGGGAGAUCGAGCUCAACUACGUCAACACCCAUGAUAACCUUGCAGAUAUUUUCACGAAGCCUUUGGAUGAAGCAAGAUUUCGCGAGUUAAGGCAUGAGCUAAAUAUCAUUGAUUCGAGCAAUGUUGCUUGACCCCUUGCACACCCCACCACACUCAACUUGUUGUCUAUUCUAGGUGUAGGCAUGGACAUAGGGGGAGUGUUGUUCUCUCAAUGAACUCUCCCUCCCCCCAUUAUGCAUAAAGUGAUCAACUCUUUCACAUUAGCCAUUUUUGAUGGUACUUGUGCUUCAAAGACGAGUUUUGGUCAUGGGCCCAAGGAUAAUUCUUUGCGGUGCCAUACCAAUUGACUCAAACAUAGGUGGCUCCGGCCACCGCCCUCUCUUUGGAGAGGUUGUGUCUCGUGGUUGAUUCUUGUUGUCUUUUGCCUUUCUCUCUUCGUGUUGAGCGUGUUCUUGUGGUGUCUUGUUUGCUUGAAGAUUCCGUGCGAAGACCAUUUUUUUCUUGUGUUUGAAACGUGCAUCUUCUUGAGCUCACGGUACUACCGCGGCCUGCCACGGUACUACCGCGUGUGGAGUGCACGGUACUACCGCACCUAGCACGACAGUAGUUUUUUACUGCCGCCUGGGGGAGCGGUACUACGGCCUCGGUGCGGUACUUCCGCCCGGGCGGUAGUACCGCGAUGACGUGCGGUACUACCGCGCGAGGAGUGAGCGAUACUUCCGCACCCAGCGCGGCAGUAAUUUUUUACUGCCGCCUGGGGGAGCGGUACUACGACCCAGGUGCGGUACUUCCGCCCGGGCGGUAGUACCGCGAUGACGUGUGGUACUACCGUGCCUUCACGGGCGCGUGGGGGUUAAACACGGGCAGGGGGGUUCUAACUCCCCCAUACCCAUUCGUCUCUCUCCCCACUUCAUCUCUCUCUCUCUCGCUCAAGAACGACGCCGGAGGCCCUCGCCGGAUCUCCAUCUCCGGCCGCUCUCCUCGGAUUCCGACCGGUGGGAUCGUUCCCCACCACUCCUCUUGCCAUGGAACAAGGUUUCUCCCCAAUCCCUCUCGUUUUCUUGUUCAUCUUGUUGCUUUUAGGUUUUGGGGAGAUGCAAGUUGUUCUUGAGAUUUUUUUUCAAAUCUAUGCAAGAGUAGGAUGUAGGAGAGUAGUUUUGUGUAGUGUUGGUACUUGCUAUAGUUGUCCCGUGAUGGAUUUGAUCGACCGUAGUACCGCGUGUUGACACGGAUGUGCUCAGAUCUCCAUGGCUAUUUCGGAUCUGCAACCGUGCGGUACUACCGCUCUGCGGGCGCGGUACUACCGCACGUCCGGUACUACCGCCCUGCGGCGCGGUACUACCGCACGUCCGGUACUACCGCUCCUUGGAGCGGUACUACCGCACGUGGCACAACACGCGUUACUACCGUUGUCUCACAUCCCUCUUGUGGCACUUCUUACGUACCAUGUCUACUUGUUUCACCUGCUUUGCUGUGGUCUUUGCAUUGAUCCUUCUCGUGUUUUGUGCGUGUUUGUUUUGUGGUGUGUGUGUUAGGUGGUGGCUCAGGUGCUCCCGCUCGCCGCUCCAAUCCACCCCGUGACACGGGGUCCAAGCGUAUGCGCAACAUAGAGGAAGCAGAGGGCUCCAAUGCCCCCCAACGCAGAACCAAGACCACUGCCAGCAAAGAGAAGGAACCCACCAAGGGCAUGGAUGAGAUACCGCUUGCUGAGUUCAUCGCUCGGAGGAAGGUCAAUCCGUAUGGAAACCCUCGUGCCAUCUUUCGAGAGAAUGAUCUAUUCUGGACCAAGCAGCAAAAUCUCAUUUAUCUGGAUGUCAUCAAGGCAAAGCAAAAUACCCAUGUGGAGGUGAAGUGGAUCAACAUGCAUCACAUGCGCAAAGAGGCGCACCGGGAAUACUUUGGUGAGGCUUUGGACCUCGUGGAGCAAUUUGGCAUUGAGCAUAUCAUCUCGUUCCACAAAGACUAUGAUCCUGAGAUCCUUGCCCAGUUCUUUGCCUCCGUGCAUUUUCCUCCCAAUGAGGAAAGGACCAUGACUUGGAUGACCAAUGGCCGACAGCUGACUGCUACCUGGAAGGAAUUCAUGACACUGCUUGGGGUUCCGAAUGAGGGGCUCACCACACCCCAAGGUGUUCGCCCUCAUUCCAAUUCCGAGUCUGCCAACAAGAACAAGCUCAUGCCCUACCUUGUGGAGAAGAAGCUCUCCAAUGGCAAGUCAACUUGGGUACUCAACUCAUUUCUUGACAUCAUGCACCGGAUCUUCCGCAACACUCUCUUCCCACGCAUUGGGGACAAGGACAAGGUGCAUGCCUAUCUGGUGGAUAUGAUGCUAUUGUGUGAAGAGGCUCGCAACUCUCAGACUCAGCCACUUGAUGUCUCACAUAUCAUGUGGACUGAACUUCGGUUUGCGGUCUACAACCGCAAGGUCCCCAUCUAUGGACCUUAUCUGUUUCAGUUGAUCUCGGCUACUUGGGAGCGGGUCUACCCUCAGGAUGAGUUUGAGGCCCCUGGUUGGAUCCGGCAUGAGCCCAUCAACCUCCGUAUCAAGUCUUAGUGGGCCAACACUACCUCUCGUGCUGAUACUGCGGCUGCCAUGGACAUGGAUGCAGAUGAGGGUGAGGAGGAGGCAGCAGACGAGGACAGUUCUGAGGGUUACAUCCCUCCCACCUCUGAGCCUUCUUGGGCUAAGAGACUGAAGAACAAGAUGAAGAUGUUGUUCUGUAUGCAAGCCAAGGGGCAGUACCAGAUUCAUGUGGCUUCCAAGGAGGUUCGCCGCCGCGACAAGCGGAUUUUCAGGACUUUUGGCGAGAACAUAUCUAGCGGGUCAGAGGUGAACAUGACCCCAGAGGCUGAAUGGCUGCACAAGCAGGGCUACCGGUGGACCGAGUCUGAGGAGGAGUCCGUCCCAGCUGCAGAGUCCGACGAUGAGCGUGGCAGUGACUACUCCGCUUGAGCCACCCCUAUUGCUGUAGGUGUCCUCUCUGCCUUUUUGGCGUCUCGAUGCCAAAGGGGGAGAGAGUGUAGGAUUUGCUGCGAGUUAUGUCGUGUUUGGGUCAGUUGAACUUCGUUUAUUUUGUUUGCUUUGGUUUGCUUUGGUUUGUGUUCGUGAGACCUUCUAUCAUAUGGUGUAAGACAUAUGCACUCUAUCGUACCGUAGUAAACUUAUUCUAUCGUGUGCUUAUUACAUUAUGCUCCUGUCUAUCUUGCUUAGCUUUAGCCUUAUUGCAAGAUUUGCCAUGUCUAUAAAAUAUAGGGGGAGUGUUGAUCCUAGUAUGUGUGCCGUGCAGUCCAAAGCACUCAUCAAUAUAGCACACAUCUAGGGGGAGCCCGUCGAUAUUUUAGAGACUUGGGGUUUGCCCUUGCUCUUUGUGUUAUACCCUCGUGCAAAUCCCGUGUUGUCAUCAAUCCACCAAAAAGGGGGAGAUUGUAAGGUCAUUUUAUCCCUUAGUUGGUUUUGGUGAUUGAUGACAAUGCUUUUGCGGACUAAUCAUGUGCAUCAAAUAUUUCAGAUAUAUUGACUAGGCACAAGAUGAUUGGGUUCCCCUCAAAGGCUAUAGAAGACGGCGUUUCUCUUCAGUUCUUUUCGGUGGUAUUGAGUCAUAGGGAAGCCGUACUAUUAAGAGGGGGUCCGCUUUGGAAAGGUUGGGUGGAUUCAUCACGUACACAUCGUCCCUUGCACCUCCUUUCCUCUUGCCUUUGGAGCAUCCUAAGUUUUCCGUGUCUAUGCAAUUAUACCUCUUGUCUACCGAACUAGGAAGUGCGGUAGUACCGCUCAUCAGAGUGGUAGUACCGCAGGACCUUGCGGUAGUACCGCCCUCUGGUGCGGUAGUACCGCAAGUCCCCAUGGUAGUACCGCUUCUAGUGAGCGGUAGUACGGUGGUCCCUGCUUAGUUCCGCAACUUCACGGCUGUAAGGGGCGGAUGUAAUUUUUUACAUCCGCACCUAGCGCGGUAGUACCGCGACUGGCUUACGGUACUACCGCGUCGGCUUUUUGCAUCGACUCCAACUCUGCGGAAGUAGCCACGGAUGUAAUUUUUUAUAUCCGUGCCUUCCCAUCCCUGGACAGCCCCUGCCUUGCGGUAGUACCGUGGGGCUCUGCGGUAGUACCGCGUACCCCUGUGGUAGUACCGCGCCUCAGGUGAUGUAGUACCGCGUGCCCCUGCGGUAGUACCGCGCCUAAGGUGCGGUAGUACCGCGCUGCGCAGGCUGAGUUGGUGGAUAACGGUUGGAUUUGUUCUCCCACUAUAUAAGGGGUGUCUUCCUCCUCUAGUUGACCACCUCUUCCACCUCCAAGCUCCAUUGUUGCUCCAAGCUCCAUUUUCGCCCGAUCUCCUUCCCUAGCCAAUCAAACUUGUUGAUUCUCUAGGGAUUGGUUGAGGAGGCCCCGAUCUACACUUCCACCAAGAGAUAUUUGAAUUCCCCCACUAAUCCCUUGUGGAUCUUGUUACUCUUGGGUGUUGAGCACCCUAGACGGUUGAGGUCACCGUGGAGCCAUAGUCCAUUGUGGUGAAGCUUCGUGGUGUCGUUGGGAGCCUCUAAUUAAGUUGUGGAGAUUGCCCCAACCUUGUUUGUAAAGGUUCGGUCGCCGCCUUCAAGGGCACCAAUAGUGGAAUCACGGCAUCUCGCAUUGUGUGAGGGCGUGAGGAGAAUACGGUGGCCCUAGUGGCUUCUUGGGGAGCAUUGUGCCUCCGCACCUCUCCAACGGAGACGUACUUCCUCUCAAAGGGAAGGAACUUCGGUAACACAUCCUCGUCUUCACCGGCUCCACUCUUGGUUAUCUCGUGCCUUUACUUGUGCAAGUUUAUUUGUGCCUUAUCUCUUGCUUGCUUGUAUGCUUAUUGUUGUUGCAUCAUAUAGGUUGCUCACCUAGUUGCAUAUCUAGACAACCUACUUUGAUGCAAAGUUUAAAUUGGUAAAGAAAAGUUAAAAAUUGUUAGUUGCCUAUUCACCCCCCCUCUAGUCAACUAUAUCGAUCCUUUCACCGGGGCCCGACGUGGGUGCCAUGUGGCGAACAGCAGCCGGAGAGGCCCUGCCAGGCCACGCGCGACUGGAUGCACUACAAAAAAGACACAUCCGUGACAUUUUGGGCCAAACGAAAAUCUUUUUUGUCAUACUUAUGACACUUCUAUGACGAUAAUUGUGACAAAACCCGGUAUCAUCAUAGAUGUGGUGGGGUCCUACUUCUAUGGCAAAAAAUCAUGACAGAAAAUGGGCUUUUCAUCCUGGACGGGCCGGAGAGGCAGCUGCAUGACAUUCUUUGGGCCGUCCAUGACGGAAAAAACCGUGGUAGAAGCGAGGGCGCGGAAAAUAUCGGGGAGUCCCCGGUUAUGGUGGGUGGUCGGGGGCCGAGCAAUGCGCGUUUCCCUCGUACGUACGCGUGUGUGUGCGAGGCGUUGUGCUCUAACUGAACCGGAGCGAGGCGUUGGGCUCUAACUGAACCCGAGCGAUUGCACUGCAGGCUACGCGUUACUGAACCCGAGCGAUCGAUCGAUGGCUGUUAACUGAACCCGAUCGAGUGAUUCCUUCACUACUGCUGCUAACUGAAGCCGAUUGAAGCUGCCUCUGGAUGAACAGUGAGCGUUGCUGGGGGGGGUUUGGAUGAACAGUUCCCGGUGGGGUGGAUGAAUAGGACGCCGUGGCGUUGCCUCUAGAUGAACAGUGAGCAUUGCUGGGGGGUUUGGAUGAACAGUUCCUGAUGGGGGUGGAUGAACAGGACCCCGAUCGUUCGAGCCGGUUGGGGCUGGAUGAAUAGGACCCCGUGGAGGGCAGGAUGAACAGGACCACCCCGUGGAGGGCUGGAUGAACAGUAGCCCGUGGAGGGGUGGUUGAACAGGAGCCCGUGGAGAGGGCUGGUUGAACAGUAGUCGGUGGAGUAGCGCGCGGUGGAGGCUGGAUGAACAGGAGCCCGUGGAUGAACAGUCACAGGUGGAGGCUGGAGGAGGUCGACGGUGGAUGAACAGUAGCCCGUGGAGGCUGGAGGGGGUCGACGGUGGAGAUGAAUAGUAUCCCGUGGAGUCCCGUUUUGCGGUACGCCACACCCCUCCCGAUGAACAGGACCCCCAUUUCGACCGUAGUGCUCCAACACAAGUCUGUUUCCUCCGUUUUGCGGUACGCCACACCCCUCCCGAUCAACAGGACCCCCGUUUCGACCGUAGGAGGUCCGUUUCCUCCGUUUUGCGUAUGCCAGACCCCUCCCGAUGAACAGGAUCCCAUUUCGAACGUGGCCGGUCGAACACAAGGCUGUUUCCUCCGUUCUGCGGUACGCCAGGCCUCGUUUCCAUCGGCUGUUCCGUCCAAGCCCUCCCGAUGAACACGACGACGCAUUUCGUUCCGACCCAGCCGGUUGGCUCCCCAUGAACACGACGACGACGCUGUUUCUCCAUUCCGACCCAGCCAUGUACACGAGCCCUGGCCGUACGUAUGCGCGAGUAGGCGUUCGAGACCCUGCCCGUAUGUACGUACGUGGCCGUAUUUUCUUUCUUGCACACUGGCCGUUGUACGUACGUGUACAUGCUACGUGCGCGCCUCUACUACGACACGUGCGUGCCUCUACAUCGACCAGUAUGUACGUACACGUUCGCGACCAGAAUGACAACGUACGCUUCGACCAGGUGGGUCCCGACUGUCAGGCACUUCCUUGCGUGCGAAGAUGUAGCUGGUGGGUCCCAGCAGUCAGGGGCGAAUCACUUUUUUUGCCCGAACGCACUUCCUUGCAUGCGAAGAUGUACUUGGUAGGUCCCAGUAGUCAGGGGGAAACGGUUUUUUCGUGAAAUACAGUUGCCCGUCCAGUGGGUCCCUGCUGUCAGGUGGAGGAAUAAUUAUUUUGCGCGUAAUAAGGAGGCACUUCCUUGCAGCCGUCGUGGACCCAGCUGUCAGCCUCUCCACGUACAGUACUCUUCCGAUGGAAGUCGUUCCUUGACCACGUUGACCACGCCGCGCCGAGAGCACCAGGGCGGUGGACGACGGCGAGGCCUAGGAAGGGGACGACGCAGAGCCGGGGAAGACGCGGCAGUGGAAGCUCACGCGGAGAGGAGUACGAGGGUUCACUGGUUCGGCUGCGGUGUGAGGCUGCCGUCGCCGCAGGGCCUGGCCAGCGGUGGGAAUAGUAGGGGGCGGUGAGGCCUCCGCGGCAGCACAGCCGGACAUGGGAGGCAAGAGCAUGCGGCACGACCGGCGCUGCUUUGGGCGGCUGGAGCAACAAGACCAGAGGUUGAAGAAGCACUACGGUCGUUGGAUGGACAUCGUACGGUCACUGGAGCUAGAAUCGUUCAUAUUGACUAAGUUGACAAAGCACUCCGUCCCCGUCAACUUAGUAGGCCCACAGGUCAGCUUCCGAAAUGGUGCGCCCCAGAUGUCAGGGGGAGGAAUCAUUUUUUGGGCGGGUGAAGCUAGAAUAUCUGAGAUUGAAGAAGAAGCACGACAUCCGUUGGAUGGGCAUCCAAUGGCCACUGCUGCUAGAACCGUGUGUUGACUAUAAGUUGACAAAGCCUUGCAUACGCGUCAACUCUUUUUUUUUGAGGGGACGCGUCAACUUAGUAAGGCCACAAGUGUGUGGCAGAGAACUUAUAGCCCAUUUGUGAUUUGUAAGAAUGUGCAGCCAAGUUUUGAAUUCUAAUGGAAUUUACUACACCCCAUUUACAGUUUGUUAAAAGUACAGCCCAUUUCAACCAACCGUUCAAAACAGAAUUCAAUAAAAUUUCCCACAUUUUGAUGGGAUCCGAAAUAUUUUUCUCCCAAAAUUUCUAGUCAGAUUAAAUACAAUUUCAAUAUAAAUUUAUACUACGUAAAAAUCCAACGAAACAUUGCGCAUGCAACAAUUAAUGAAAUUAAAAUUUUCAAUAUCCAAAAAUAAUAUUUUAUAAAGUAAUUACGUGUUUGGUGCAUUUUUUAUAGUUACUGCCCAGUUUUUAUAAUUACAUCCCAUUUAUUAUUUCUUAAAGCCCAUUUUCUUGUUAAGCCUAAUGCAUCCCUCCUAGGAAAGAUUUGCAGCCCAGCGGGGCGGAGAAUAACAACUUGACCUUGCCUGGGUACUCCUAAAAAAAGCUGGGCUAGCCAUUUUCAGCUUGAAAAAAAUUAAUAUCUGGGCUGGAUAUCUGGCCUGGGCUAGAUGGGCCACAGCCCGCCCAAUUAAUAGCUGUAGCGAUGUUUUCGUUGUUGUUCAGAGGAGAAAAUUAAUAUCUGGGCUAAACAUCGCUCAAGAAAAACUCUGCAGUGCUCACACCUCAAAAACACAAAUACUGCUCGAGCUGCUUGGUCCCAGCUGUCGGCCGCUUCUUGUGCAAUUCUCUUGUUUAUUGACUACAUAGGUUCACAAUGGUGUGGGACCGUGAUGUCAGGAAACCAGGAGGAAGCAAAAAAAUUAUAGUUUUAUAUACUAAUAAGGAGGCACUUGCUUUCAUCCUCUCCAAGUAAAGUCAUCUCCUCAUCCUCAUGUCCGUUGACCAUGUUGACAACGCGAGACGGCGGCGCCACGGCGAGCGCAACAACUCGAAGGACGACGGAGAGGGCCUCGCGGGCCCUACAGAUGGUCUGAUACAGCACUCGCUGCUCAUUCGGAAAGCCAGGAUCAUAGGGCCACAUGUCCGCGACGGCAUUGUCAUUCGCUUGUUCACCGGUGCUCCUUGAGGAGACGGAGGUUGCAACACAGGUUCUCCUGCGCUGGUAGCUCUGGCGCCAUUAGGGCGUCGAAGUGCGGCCGCACCUGCUCUAUGGUGAACACGGCAUGAACCGGCUUGGACAGUGGCGCCGGCUCCUGGUCGGAAGCUACGUCCAUCGUCUGAUUGUCGUCGCUCAGCUCGGCGAGGUAGUUGGCGAGCCAGCAUGUCCGGCUGCUGGACCGACCCGCUGCCAAGCACGAGUAUGACUGCCCUGGCCCACCCAGACCGCCUCCCUCGCCCGCGCGUGCUUUCCGCCCGAAAAGGUCAGCGCCGCCCGCCCCGCUUCCCGGUGCAUGCGAUUGCUCCGCCUUUAAACGACACAAGUGCCGGCCGUCCGUCCUUCUGCCGCCCACAUUAAUGAUAUGUGGUUGCCGAGGCGGCUACUCCGGCGCCACACGUCCGUCCCUCCGCCGCCCACCAUUGCUAUAUAAACUGCUGCGCCGGCCAUAGCCGCGGUCAUCUGCAUCCGUUCCUAUUCUCCUGUCCACACCACUACUGCCCACCAUGGCUUCCUCGCGCUCCAGCACUCUUCGGGACGGGCGGACGACGGACCACAAGGAGAUGGCAGCCAUUGCUGCCAACUGGCUGGCCGGGAGGCAGCCGGAGGACGACGACGUCCCAAUGGAGAACAUGGUAGUCGACGAUCCGGCGCCAACCCCCUCCUCCGCGCCAUCCUCGCCGGUGCAUUGCACCAUGACCAUCGGCGAGGCCCAUGCCCAAUAUAUGGACACGGUGAGGCAGAAGCAUGAGGAGCAGUUCCGGGAGGCGCAGGCUGACGCCGCCUACAACCACCAUCUCCUCCAGUAGCACCUGCAGGCGGAGGAGCAGAUCGCCGCGGAGCGGGCGGAGCAGGAGGCGCUGCUCGACUCAUACCGCUCCGCCCGCGAGGGCCGUCUCGAGCGCUGGCGGUACCGCAUGCGGGUGGCGGAGGCUGCGGCCGCCUACAAAGAGGGCGAUGAAGCGGCCAAGGCGCUGUUUGGCGAGACCGAGGACGAGGCAGAGGACAAUGCCGGCUCCGACGAGUCCCCGCUCCACUGGCGUCGACGAGGCCCUGCUCCGUCGAGGCCCCGCGCCGCCAACAACGAGGCAGAGGACACCGCCGGCUCCGCCGAGGCCCCACCCCGCCGGCAACGAGGGGGAGGAUUUUCCCCCGCUCCGCCGAGGCGCCGCCCGCCGGCAACGAGAUAGAGGACAUCGCCGGCUCCGCCGAGGCCCCGCCCUGCUGCCAACGACGCUGCGCCACACAGAAAAUGAGGAAGAGUAGAACACGGUAGGUCGCCGCCGCUCGGGUCCAAGUAAGGCCACCGCUGCUCCCCUCCGGUUGCUGGCACUGAGUUGUACAUCAUGGAGCAAUUCUAUGAUUACAGGCUGAUUGAAGAGCGCUCCGUGGUUGAGCAAGCUCAUGAGAUAUAGUCAUUUGCUAGAGAACUUGAGCACUUCAGUUCUAUGCUACCGGACAAUGUGCGAAGUAAAAAGGAACAGAAGGAGUACAAAGAGUUUGAGCAGCUUUUUAGCGUUCUUGUACAUUGCAAUCACAGCGAUUCACAUGUCAUAGAGAACAUUCAAAACAAUCGAUGAUUAUGCAUCUCAGUGAUUCACAUGUCAGAGCCAAUAUUUACUUCACAACUAAAGAAAAAAGAAAAAAUGGAUCGACGCUGCUGACAUCAAAGGGCGUCCCAUUCGAAAAUAUCAAACGCAUGUCUUCUUGCUAAAAUCAAUGAGCAAAAUUUGACAAGGUUUUCCCAUUCCAAGAUAUCAAAUGCCUACGAUUGUGGAAUGGGCAGGGUUUACCAUCAGUUCAGACAUUGACAUGGCACCUCGUGCUAAAUAAACCAGUUGUUCUUUUUGUGCAGUUCCACCAAAAUCAACCAAAUUCGCGCGUAGCUUGUAUGAUUUCGCCCUUAUAUGUUGCAACGCCUUGAACUUAUCGGCACCUCCUUUCUUGUGGUGCAAAUGGAUGAUUCAAUGUAUUCACGAACAUUUUGUGCAGUUCCCAUUGAAAUCAAGCCGAGCACCCAUGUUUGCACAAAUACAAAAAAAGUGAUUAGUAUAAAGCAAACUGUACUAUGAAUUGACAGUUUAAACAUGCACCUACAUGGUCCAUGUAGAGCACACUUUUACAAAAAUGGAACUCACCGGAAAGAAUCCUAGAACAACAUUGUACUCGCGCAUCACAACAAGAAAAUGGAGAUUUGUCAGUCCUUCUGAGCUGAAGUUAGUUUGGUCUUGUGGGGGGUAAUGUAACCAUCCUUCAACUGCUCCUUCUGAUGAGAAGAUAGACAGGGCUUAUUCAUCCUGGCAUAAUCAGAACUAGUCACUUCACGUACUCCAUAUUCUUCUUCAGAGGAGGAUGAUCCUGUUGUGCAAAGACAAGAGGAUAACUAAAUGCUAGCAUCCCUGUUUGCUCGAAAAAAAGGAAAGGAAAUAUUUAAAACAACACAGAUGAAGCACUUCUCAAAGACAAUACCACUUUUUGAUCAGCAUCUAAACAGUAGCACAACACCAAUAGAGAUGACAAAGCUCAAUCAUAUGGAUGAAAUCAGUGGGCGAGUACCAACCUUUGUCAGGAGGCUUAUUGUGUAGAGCAUACGGAUGAAGCACUUCUCCGGAACCAUCUGUUGCUAUCUACUGUGGUGGCCAUGCUUACUAUAUACUCCUCGAUUAGAUUAAUGUUUCCAACAUCUUCUUGUGAAGUUCCACUAAAAUAUAUGGUAUCAUCAAAGAAGAUCCCUGUUUGCACAAGUAGAGAUAAUUACGUAUUACAUUAAGAGUGGCAUCAAAUCAGUGGCAAAACAAUUGCUCGUUCCAGCCAUAGCAAUAAAUUAAGAUGCAAAACUAUAUCAUUACUUGUGUCAUCACAGUUCCAGUGCUUCAUUACAGCACCAGGAGUUGAUUUUUGUUUUUCUUCCGCUUGUUCUUCCCCUUCAUCACUUGGUUCAAUAACAGACAAGCUUCGCCUUCAAUGUAAGAUUUGGCAUGUCAAUUAGGUUGCACAAGUAUAGCACUAAACAAUGACAUUAAUUUUCUGAUGAAAGUGGCAAAAUACAGGCCAACAGUUGUGAAAUACCCUUAUCUUACCUCAAUGGGAUAUUACGGUGCACAUACAGAUUGGAAGUCUUGUCUCCAUUUGUGCAGUUCACUAAAAUCAAGCAACAUUACCGUACAAGUAGCACAACAUAUGAAAGCACACUGCAGAAUCAUGUGAAAGAAGGCUAUUACUGACCUCUCAUGACGCGGAAUUCAAACAACUCACAAGAAGAAGAUCUGAACCAAAUUUGCCAACACGGAUAGGAAGUAAGAUCUCCUCUUGUGCAGUUCCACUAAGAUCAAGCAAUCAAGCAACGUUAUCGGUGUGACAUUUUGGUUAAACUGCACAAAACACUCUUAAAACAAAAGUGUUUUGUGCAGUGCAACAAAAGGUCACAAUGGCAACGAGGUGAAGUAGAUAACCCUGUUUACACAGAGGUGCAAAGGAAACAACUAGUGGUCAAUAACGGUGGAUGACACAGAAGCCAACAAAAAGUAGCAUCUACCUUAUCUAAAUGGGAAAGAAAGCAAGACCGUAGCAUUUCUCAAACGGUGGCAUUGAUUAAUAUUAACAGAGAGAUUAUAUUAACAAUAAAAUUCGUUAAACAUGUAAUUUGCUUUUAAUUGUGGCAUUGCAUCAAUUUUCCAGCGGGAUUAUUAGAGGGUGUUUGUUUACAGGGACAUUUUGGUGGAGGGACUAAAAAAACUCCGUGUCAGUCCCAUCUAAACCAAACAGGAGGGACUUUUAGGGACUAAAAGUGGGCAUUUGGGACUAAAGAAAGAAGACCCCGAGGGAGUCCUUUUGGGACUUUUUCCAACAGUUGCCCCUGCCACGCAUCGCACCUUGUCUCUAUUAGUUCACUACUAGGGGUAACAUGGUCUUUUAGCAUGUCAUUUAAUAACCUCUAGUACAUGUUUAGUCCCUGGAACCAAGCAGGUAGGGACUAGGGAGUUUUAACCAAACAGGGCCUUAGAUUAACAACAACUAAAGAGUUGCACGGGACAGUGGACGCACCAGCACCAUGUGCAUCUACCGAUGUACUGGGGUGAUGCACAGUCUGUUGCAACAAAGAACAAACAACCAAGGAGCAUAUUUGUGUUGGUCCCAGUUUUGUUAUCUUUAGACACCUUUCCCUAUGUGAGCGCAGCAAAUCUAGUCCUCUCAAACUCUACAGCCUUGUCCCCCAAAACAAAAGAUCAUUCGUUACAGAUGUGCGUACUGCGUUUGUCAUUGUUUUCCCUUUUCGACCAACGUAGGUGUUGGAUAGCCAGUCUAUACUAGUACUUUCCCCACUUCCUUUCCUCUGUGAACCACGUCCUAGAUUUAUGCUAUACAACUUUCCCCACUACUUUCCCCCAUUCCUGUCCUCUUUGAACCACGUCUUAGAUUCAUGCGAUACAACUUUCCCCACUACUUUCCCCCUUCCUUUCCUUUUUGAACCACGUCCUAGAUUCAUGCUAUACAACUUAUCCCACUACUUUCCCCCAUUCCUUUCCUCUUUGAACCACGUCCUAGAUUCAUUGUAUACAACUUUCCCCACUACUUUCCUGUUUGAUCCAACACCUAGAUUCGAGUGCAGAAGCGGAAAAAGCCCACAUGCAGCUAGAGCAAUGCAUAUGGAAUAAGUAAAUUAUACCUUAAGGUUCUUGGGGUGUGGUUCGGUGGGCGACCGGAGGCCGUUCGACCCACACUAUGUACGGCGGCGAAGAAUAAGGGGUCGGAGGCACUCCCGCGCCGCCGCUGGGUGAAAGUGAACAGCUGCGCCGGUAGUGGAUUCCCUCCCUCGCCGACGGCGACAACGUUAAGCCUCCUUCCCUUCCCGGCGAACGGCUCUUUGACCAGCGGUGAGGGGAGAGAGAGAGAGGCCAGCGAAGUCUUGUUUAGAUCUGGAGAGGGUGAGAGAGUGUGAAGAGAGCAACUACAAGCAGACCAGCAGUGAGGGGAGAGAGAGGCCAACGAAGUCUUGUUUAGAUCUGGAGAGGGUGAGAGAGUGUGAAGAGAGCAACUACAAGCGCUGAGGCUCCAGCGUGUAUAUAUAUACUGGAGACAGUGUGAAGAGUGCAAACCCUAGAAAACAAGCGCUGAGGCUGUAGCUUAUACGUGAUGAGGUGAUUAUACGGUCAAUACGAGAUCGUAUAGCUCUGUAUCCAUCCAUUUUGACCAGUCAAAGAAUCCUCCUGGCACGAAUUAUGCUCAAGUGUAGUUAUCGAACCCGAGACCUCAAGUUUGAUGAGCGAACAGGCUAACCAGCUACACAACCCUCCCUUUAUGUUCAACAAGAGGAAAAUAACCUUUUAUACAUUCCUGCAUUCGUGUGACAAGCAUGUCGUGUUUUUUUGUGUGUGUGGGAGUCAUUGGGAUUUAAAUCAUAAUCGUGUCAUGUGGCUUUGGUGGUAAGACUAUCCACAGUGGUGCAGAAAUAAUGCAGCCUUAGUCACCUUACCUCUCUCCACGUAGUACGUUGGGUCCCACCAGUCAGAGGGUGAAACAAACAAAUUAAUAAGAAAAAUUAAAAGCGCCAGCGGUGUAUCUUACCUCACACAUCUCGCUACUGCUCGGGAACACUGUCCAAUUGAUCCCUCUGUUCGCUCAUGUACUAUUUUAAGUGAAUCCUUAUUAUAACAUGCACACAAUUUUGGGCACUUGUAUUCGACCUAAGUCAGUGUGCCACCGUAUCUCGUACGACUCCCUCCGUCUAGGUGUAAUAAGUCACGUUAGAAGGUGCAGCGGGACCAAGGUGCAAGCAGAUUGGAGGAGAAGGAGAAACUUGACCGGUCAUUCCUCCAAUCAAAGUCCUGAUUUCUGUCUCUAAACGCAACAAUUAAUCCAAACAAUUAAGAGAUGCCUCUUCUCUUCUUGUACGUACUCCAUUUGUAUCUCACUUCCUAUGGCUUCGCACUCGCACGAUUUUCCUAUUCUAUGAACCUGUGUGUGCGUGUGCGUGUGCGUGUGUGUGUUUAACAGCAUGUGUGUGUGUUAGAGAGAGCGACCGAUCGACCUACUCCUACAGAGAGAUGGUGUGUAGUGUACGAUUUUAGCCGCGAGAGUCGGUGCAUCCUCUCGUUUCCGGGCGUCCGGUAGGGACAGGCGGACAGCUGCCACGCCCGCUCCGGACCAGCCUGGCCCACCCAAAGCCCCUCCAUCGCCCGCGCGCGCUUCCCGCCCGAAACGGUCAGCGCCGCUCCAAAGAAUCGGUGCCGCAUUCAUGCCCGGGCAGAGCGGACGCGACCUCUCACUGGCGCCUGCGUUGAAGGGAGAAGCGGAUUCAAGAGUGAUGGUUGCUUCGUCCGUCCAACUUACUGCUGGGUCUAUGUGAUUUGACGGCUCAUUGGUCAUUAUUACUGAGGUGGUAGGACUACUGGAUGUCCCACGCUUUCGGCGAAAGGAGGUACUACUAGAUUACAAUUUUCUCCAUUCUUACGGUGGAGGAGUGCAAGAGCAGUGAAAACACGCAGGCUCAGUGAUUACAUGGCCCACCUCACACUAUCACCAUAUUUUCUGGACACCGUGCGACACCUAACUCUUUACAUAGUACUACUUGUAUAGUACGUACUGUAAUUUAUCAGCGAGAUAGUACAAUGCUAUGAAGCUUCCAGCUUCUGUUACAUGUAUCUUGCGUCCAAGGUUGCCCGUUGCAACAUUUCAUCAAAUACAAAGGAGACUAACAUGCAUGCUAUUGCAUCUCAAUGAUUGACAUAUCAUAGCAAAUAUGUACUCCCUCCGUUCCAAAAUAAGUGUCUCAACUUUAUGCUACAUACGGAGCAAAAUGAGUGAAUCUACACUCUAAAAUACGUCUAUAUACAUCAGUGUUUGGAGUAUGUACUAGUAGUUCAUAUUGAAAUCUACUAAAGGACAUAUAUAUUCCAAACAAUAUGAUAAUCUCUCUAACCAAGGUAGUAGGGACGAGGAGUAAACGGAGGGAGUAGUAAAAUUUUCUCCUCAUCCUGCGAGCCACCGCGCGCGUGGGCGAGGGAGCGGGCGUAAGGCGUACAAUACUACUACUACUCAUGCAGUCCCUAGCCAUUGAAACAGAGAUAGCUAAAGAAAAAAUGAUCCAUGCAGUCCCUAGCCCUUGAACCAUAAACCCUAACCAGGCUUUAAUUUUCUGGCAACGUCGGCGCUUCCUAGGAAAUGAAGUUUGCAACCCUUUGACCAUCGGAUCAUUUUGUGCAGUUUCACCAAAAUCGAGAUGAGCAUCCCUGUGGCAAAGAAAUUGAAGAAGCGUGAUUAGAAUAAGAUUACUGGGACUAGGUGAUGAGACAUAAACUCAUCACAAAUACAGUACGUAGAAGCCAGUAGAGGUAUGUGCGGGGCAAAGAAGUAGAGAAAUAUCCACAUGGAGUGAUGUGGGCAGCUGGAGCAGUGGUGCAAGCCGGCUGUAAAGGGAGUUGUACCUGAGGGAUGUCGGGACGUAGCUCAACCUAGAGGAGGGAGGCGGGAGGAGGCAACUACCCACGUCACGGCAGUGAGCAAUGGACGAAGGCAACCUCACCGGCUUUGUGAGAGAGAAUGGCGGGGACCCCUGACUAGGGCGUGCCGACAGUGGGUUUUCGCCGUCGGCAACGGCGACCACAUCUACACUAAGCAUCCACCCCUUCCCCGGCGGACGUGAUCCGCUGGGAUGUUAGAGAUGUUGCCACGGUGGUUUUGUGCGAGAGAGUGUGAAAACUGAAGAGAGCAACCCCAGCAAGCAACCGUGUAGGCUCGUCCUGCCUAUGUAUAUAGUGGAGCGGUUUCCUUUUCUCUCCAUAUGAACCUAUUUAUAUUGCGUACGUGCCACUGAAGAAAAAAACUUUAUUUAUAAAUGACACGGCACCUACUACUCGUUCUCCUAUAAACCUUGCGCUUGGCAUCUCCAAACUAUUAACCUUGCGAUUGGCUCUUCGCCUCUUCGGGAAGUCGAGCAAUAAUGGUACUGCAGUAUAUAUCGUUCUGGCUAUAUGAGACCAAAUGAAUUGUUGCACGUCCACCACGUGGCGAGGGUCGAGGGGCGAGGGAGAGUGCGUACUAUUACGUCCGUUUCAAUAUGGACUACAUACAGAGCAAAAUGAGUGAAUCUACACUCUAAAAUACGUCUAUAUACAUCAGUGUUUGGAGUAUGUACUAGUAGUUCAUAUUGAAAUCUACUAACGGACAUAUAUAUUCCAAACAAUAUGAUAAUCUCUCUAACCAAGGUAGUAGGGACGAGGAGUAAACGGAGGGAGUACUAGUAAAAUUUUCUCCUCGUCCUGCGAGCCACCGCGCGCGUGGGCGAGGGAGCGGGCGUAAGGCGUAGUAAGCAAGCUUCACCUCAUCCUGCGAGCCACCGCGCCCGUGGGCAGGGGAGACGGCGUACUAAGCAAGCUUCUCCUCGUUCUGCGAGUUGACGGGACACAUCAAAAGUACUCCAGUGUAUAGAGCCUUGCCUCUAAGGUAGGCCCCACAUGGUUUUCCUCUUUUUUAACAUAACGCGUCAAGUCGUAGUUUGUUUGUUCACCUGUGGUAGACGAUCCUCCCUCCAUCUAGUGGACAACCAGUACACGUGUCAAGUUACCACGUGGGCUGCCUUUUCGUACAGAAAUGAGCUCCACCGUGUACCCGCGCGGGUGUGGUUGGGAAAGAGACGAGAGUACGUGCGCCGUGCGUGCACCUCUUCUCUUCGUGCACGUCCCCCACCUACGUGGGUGUGUGUGAGAGAUACAAACCUAGACAAAUGGUUUGUGCGUUCGUGAGUGUUAUUUGUUUUUUUGGGGCGGGAGGUUGAUUUCGUGAAUGUAUUUGUGGGAAUAUGUGUCGAUGACAUCUCAAACAAAAUUUUGCAUGCAAUGUGUGUGAAAUGGAGGCCUAUCCAUAUCAUAUAUAGAGGGUCGGGCGAUCCACGAGAAGAGAGGGAGGGGUCAUAGAUAUCGAUAGAGUCGAAGAGAGGAUCAAGUGGGUGGGUGCGAGAUCGAUGAAGAGAGCCAUCGAAAUUGUGUGUGUGUGCAAGUAAAAGAUAUAGGGCGACUGACCUAGCUACCGGAACGUCAGAGGGCACAGGUCAAGUUUGUGUGUGGCAGGGAGACAUGACUAGAGCGCUCGAUGUAUCGGUGUGUGUGUGUGUGUGUGCGAGGGGGUGGGGGGAGGGGUAGGCAGAGGCCUAACUAUAGAGGUAGAACGACUCGUAUAUGUGUUGAGAAGGAGAGACCUAGCUAUGUCUUGAGGGAGAUCGGUCGACAUCCAUACAUAACUGAAGGACGGGAAAUAGGAUGGGACAGAGAGAGAGGAGAGAGAGAGAGGGAGGGAGAGGGGUAGAGUGCUGGAUGGGUGAUGGAGUUGCUUCUCGAAGAUGGUGGGAGAGGCCUACUAGACAAACUGAGGGUGGAACUGCAAUAUCAUCAAUAAGAGUGGGGAUGUGUUUCUGUGUGUGCGUGUGCGUGAUAGAUCUGUCGGAACACAUCCAUGGAUGAUGAAGGGAAACCAUGUGUUUGGUAAGCAAAUUUAACUAGAUCGGUAGAUCAAUUGUUGUUUGUCGGAGGAAGGGAGAGACAUAACUAAUGAGGUAGAUCGAUCGACGUGUGGGGGAAAACGAGUUAUAAGGACCUAGCUAGCUAUAUGUAUAGCGGGAGAUCGGUCGGUGUACGUCCAUUUGUUAGAGGCAAAUAAGGCCCGACGAGACGGAUAGACAGAGAGAAUGGAGCUAGGAGGUGGUGCGAGAGGCCCAGCUACUAGCUAGAUAGGGGGAGGAGUGUGCGGUUGUGAGAUGGAUGAAAAGAGGGGCGAGAGUUUACACAUGAGUGGGACCGUAUGAGAGACACGAGGCAAGGACACAUAAAGGAGGAGACUGAAGGUGCGUGUGUAUGUUGUAGGCAGACAUCGCUGGAGAGGUUUAUCGAUCGGUGUGUGUCGGAAAGGAGUUGUGGAGGCUGUGGGAGAAUGACCUAAAGAAGAAGAAAAAUGAAUGUGCGCGAUGGAUAGAAUGCUGAGGGAGGGGGAGGGCGAGGAGGGCGUGUGCAUGCACGAGAGAAAGUUAGUGGUAGCUACAAAGGUUAGAGGAUUGUGUGGGUGUAAGAGACUAACAAAGAUCAUAAUUUGAUAUGAAAGUGGAUCCAUAUAUUUGAAUAGGAGAUCGUAGUGUUUUAAACAUAUCCAUGCAUGAAUAUAGCGGUGAUAUGCGUGUUGUGGUUUUGCACAUGUUAUACAAUAAUGUGAUAAUGCAUGGCGUUUGCAACUCACAGCUAAAUGUCGAACAAUCUAAACCAUACUAUACAUCAAACAAUCUCGCAUUUUAUUUGAAUUUGUGAUAAUGUGUGGCGUUUGCAGCUUACAACUAAAUAUCGAACAAUCUAAACAAUACUAUAUAUCGAACAUUCUCACAUUUUAUUUGAAUUUGUGGUAAUGUGUGGUGUUUGCAACUCACAUCUAAAUACUUGUAGGCGUAGGGGGCGGGGCACCAUACAUAAUGUGAUAAACACAUUAUACAUAUGAGACAUGGUUUAGUUUGUGAAGAUCUAGCUAGAGCUUGAAAUGUACUAUGAUUUGAAAUCAACAUAAAGUGGAUUCAAAAAAUCGAGUUCGAGUUCAUAUAGUACACAUAGUUCAUAUGUAACUCGAGACUAAUCAUGUGGUGUGCUGUGAAGAUAAUACACCAACGAUGGUUUAACUUGACAAUAAUGAUGAUUGUAGAUCUUAUUAAAACAGAGAAACGAAUUCAAACGCUUUGAAUUGACAACAAUCAUUAUUGUAGAUCUUAUUCAAAUAGAGAAACGAAUUCAAAUUUAGUUCAUAUUGACGCGGUAGUAUAUACGUUUGGAAUGUAGUAAAACGUUCAUUUGAGUACUAUGUUGCAUGCAUUAUACACGUAGCGAAAUAUUUUAAUUGAACAUAACAUAAAUUCAAAGUUUUGAAUGACAUUUGUAAUGCGAAUUGAUUUGGUACUGCACAUGUUAGGCUUGUCCGGAAAUUUCAACCGCGCCUUGUUAGCCCGAAAUAUUUAAGAUAUAUCUUUGUCUCGUUGUGCUCCGACAACUCCCUCCAUCUCAACCCGCGCCUUGCUAUUCCAAAAUUACAACGCGUGCGAAAACUCCCACCUCCUGUGAAAUCCCGACACGUGAAAUGCCCGUGAUACCCCUGAACUGAAAGAACCGCCUCAAAUCGGUGGGGGUACUUUCGUAACUUACCCCACAUUUUGGACAAGCGCGCCCCUAAGCCAUGGUUCCCCACUCCCAUCCCAUCCGCCCACCCAGUCGUACACCAAGGCCGGGAAAACCCGCGAAGCCCCACACCCUCCUCCGUCCGCCACCCAGCCGGAGCCUCUUCUCCGACGAUGUCGUCCACAGCAACACCUCGACGUCCCUCAUCCAUCGUACCGGAUGAGGAUCCGUCAUCGAUCUGGUCGUCCCACCGGUUCAGCCACCCCGUCCUCCACCUCCAAGGAGCUGCCCCGACGUUCCCCUCGUCUUUCGCGCCACCUCCAUUCCCACACCGCCGUCUUCACCUACACCACCGGAAGAGCAUCAGCAUCACCGUUUCCUCGGAUGAAGCUGCGGCCUAAUCGGCGCCACCAAAGAGGUUGUACACUAAUCGCCGCAUUUUCUUCUUGAUUCGAUCUCACGGUGCUGCCGAUGCUCAGUCCCGAGCCGACACGGUGCGGCUCCAUCCACCACGGCGUCAGUGGCCACUUCCUCCACGGCGUCGCUCCCUCGGCGGCGACGUCCACAUCAGUAGGAGUUGCCGCUGCUUUAGCUCUCACUCGCGCUGCUGCUCUGCUCUCGCUCUCGGUCCCCUGCCUGGUCUGCUCUUGCUCUUGCUCGCGCUGCUGCUCUCGCUCUUGCUCUUGCUUGUGAUGCUGCUCCGAUUUAGCUACACUUCAGUCGACUGAAUCGACUUUUGGGUCAGUCGAUUUUCAGGGGGUGGAGGGGCUCGCCGGAGUUAAGGAAGAACCAGCCGCAGUGGGGAGGGGGGCUCGCCGGAGAAGUACCCCACUAUCUAUCUUAGGGUUCAGGGUGGGGGCGGUGGUCGCCGGCGGUGGCUGGGCGAUGGUGUGGGGAUCGCCGGAGAAAAAUCUCGGCACGGGGGGGCCUAGAGGGAUGGCUGGGGCGGCGGCGGACCGGCGGUGGGGAGUGUUUUCGGGGCGGGCGGGGCGGUUGUUUGGCCGGUGGUGGCUGGCGGCUCAGGGGAGUGGAGGUUGAAGAUGAACUGCAGGCCCUUGAUUUCGUAUCCAACGGCUGCAAAAUCGACUGACCAGAGAUGAAAAAGUCAGACGACUGACGUGUAGCCUCACCUCUAGUGCGUUCAGUUUUGACAGUAAAAUUCAGUUUCGACAGCAAAAUUCAGUUUCGACAGUUAAGUUCAGUUUCGACAGUUAAAUUCAGUUUCGACAGUUAAGUUCAGAGAUGAGCGGCUGAUGUAUACAUCUAGCACUUUGUGGUUAUGUAUUUUACGUCAUCUAUUGGAGAUGCUAUUAGAAUUCCACUCAGGUUAACGUUGUCUCUCUUGUCCUGCUUCAGCCUCGGCGUCGUACAACUCACCGGAUCUGCUCCAACGACGAAACCCUCCAUCACAGCGGAGCAGUACCUCGGGCUCCAUCUCCAGACGCCUAAGAUCUUCUUCCCCUCCUCCGACAGCCAAGUCAGCCGGAGCAUCCUCACCGGCCAACCCAAUCACGCUGAGAUCGACAUGGCUUCGCCAAAGAGGUUGUACAUGUUGGGGAACGUAGCAGAAAUUCAAAAUUUUCUACGCAUCACCAAGAUCAAUCUAUGGAGUACUCUAGCAACGAGGGGAAGGGGAGUGCAUCUACAUACCCUUGUAGAUCGCGAGCGGAAGCGUUCAAGAGAACGGGGUUGAUGGAGUCGUACUCGUCGUGAUCCAAAUCACCGAUGAUCCUAGCGCCGAACGGACGGCACCUCUGCGUUCAACACACAUACGGAGCAGCGACGUCUCCUCCUUCUUGAUCCAGCAAGGGGGGAGGAGAGGUUGAUGGAGAUCCAGCAGCACGACGGCGUGGUGGUGGAAGUAGCGGGAUCCCGGCAGGGCUUCGCCAAGCGCAAGCGGGGAGGAAUAGGUGUCUCGGGAGGGAGAGGGAGGCGCCAGGGCUUAGAUCUUGCUGCCCUCCCUCCCCCCACUAUAUAUAGGUCCAAGGGAGAGGGGGGGCGCAGCCUUGGCCCUUCCUCCAAGGAAGGGUGCGGCCAGGGAGGAGUCCUUCCCCCCCAAGGCACCUCGGAGGUGCCUUCCCCCUUUAGGACUCUCCCCUUUCCUUAUCACUUGGCGCAUGGGCCUCUUGGGGCUGGUGCCCUUGGCCCAUAUAGUCCAAGGCACACCCCCUACAGCCCAUGUGCCCCCCUGGGGCUGGUGGACCCCCGGACCCCUUUCGGCACUCCCGGUACAAUACCGAUAAAGUGCGAAACUUUUCCGGCGACCAAAAUAGGACUUCCCAUAUAUAAAUCUUUACCUCCGGACCAUUCCGGAACUCCUCGUGACGUCCGGGAUCUCAUCCGGGACUCCGAAAAACUUUCGGGUUACCGCAUACUAAUAUCUCUACAACCCUAGCGUCACCGAACCUUAAGUGUGUAGACCCUACGGGUUCGGGAACCAUGCAGACAUGACCGAGACGUUCUCCGGCCAAUAACCAACAGCGGGAUCUAGAUACCCAUGUUGGCUCCCACAUGUUCCACGAUGAUCUCAUCGGAUGAACCAUGAUGUUGAGGAUUCAAUCAAUCCCGUAUCCAAUUCCCUUUGUCAAUCGGUAUGGUACUUGCCCGAGAUUCGAUCGUCGGUAUCCUGAUACCUUGUUCAAUCUCGUUACCGGCAAGUCUCUUUACUCGUUCCGUAACACAUCAUCCCGUGAUCAACUCCUUGGUCACAUUGUGCACAUUAUGAUGAUGUCCUACCGAGUGGGCCCAGAGAAACCUCUCCGUUUACACGGAGUGACAAAUCCCAGUCUCGAUUCGUGCCAACCCAACAGACACUUUCGGAGAUACCUGUAGUGCACCUUUAUAGCCACCCAGUUACGUUGUGACGUUUGGUACACCCAAAGCAUUCCUACGGUAUCCGGGAGUUGCACAAUCUCAUGGUCUAAGGAAAUGAUACUUGACAUUAGAAAAGCUCUUAGCAAACGAACUACACGAUCUUGUGCUAGGCUUAGGAUUGGGUCUUGUCCAUCACAUCAUUCUCCUAAUGAUGUGAUCCCGUUAUCAACGACAUCCAAUGUCCAUGGUCAGGAAACCGUAACCAUCUAUUGAUCAACGAGCUAGUCAACUAGAGGCUUACUAGGGACAUGGUGUUGUCUAUUUAUCCACACAUGCAUCUGAGUUUCCUAUCAAUACAAUUCUAGCAUGGAUAAUAAACAAUUAUCAUGAACAAGGAAAUAGAAUAAUAACCAAUUUAUUAUUGCCUCUAGGGCAUAUUUCCAACAGUCUCCCACUUGCACUAGAGUCAAUAAUCUAGUUCACAUCACCAUGUGAUUAACACUCACAGGUCACAUCACCAUGUGACCAACAUCUAAAGAGUUUACUAGAGUCAACAAUCUAGUUCACAUCACUAUGUGAUUAACACUCAAUGAGUUCUGGUUUGAUCAUGUUAUGCUUGUGAGAGAGGUUAUUAGUCAACGGGUCUGAACCUUUCAGAUCCGUGUGUGCUUUACGAAUAUCUAUGUCAUCUUGUGGAUGCUACCACGCGCUACUUGGAGCCAUUUCAAAUAACUGCCCUACUAUACGAAUCCGGUUUACUACUCAGAGUCAUCCGGAUUAGUGUCAAAGUUCGCAUCGACGUAACCCUUUACGACGAACUCCUUUUCACCUCCAUAAUCGAGAAAAUUCCUUAGUCCACUAGAUACUAAGGAUAAGUUCGACCGCUGUCAUGUGAUCCAUUCCCGGAUCACUAUUGUACCCCUUGACCAACUCAUGGCAAGGCACACUUCAUGUGCGGUACACAGCAUAGCAUACUGUAGAGCCUACGUCUAAAGCAUAGGGGACGACCUUCGUCCUUUCUCUCUCUUCUGCUGUGGUCAGGUCUUGAGUCUUACUCAAUACUCACACCUUGUAACAUAGCCAAGAACUCCUUCUUUGCUGAUCUAUUUUGAACUCUUUCAAAAUCAUGUCAAGGUGUUCGUUCUUUGAAAGUAUCAUCAGGCGUCUUGAUCUAUCUCUAUAGAUCUUGAUGCCCUAUAUGUAAGCAGCUUUAUCCAGGUCUUCCUUUGAAAAACUCCUUUCAAACAACCCUUUAUGCUUUCCAAAUUUUUUACAUCAUUUCGGAUCAACAAUAUGUCAUUCACAUAUACUUAUCAGAAAUGUUGUAGUGCUCCCACUCACUUUAUUGUAAAUACAAGUUUCUAACAAACUUUGUAUAAACCCAAAAACUUUGAUCACUCCAUCAAAGCGUAUAUUCUGACUCCAACAUGCUUGCUCUAAUCCAUGGAAGGAUCGCUGGAGCUAGCAUACCUUUUAGCAUCCUUAGGAUCGACAAAACCUUUUUGAUUGUAUCACAUACAACCUUUCCUUACGAAAACUGGUAAGGAAACUUGUUUUGACAUCCAUCUGCCAGAUUUCAUAAAUGCAGCUAAUGCUAACAUGAUUCCGACGGAAUUAAGCAUCGCUACGGAUGAGAAAAUCUCAUCGUAGUCAACUCCUUGAACUUGUGAAAAUACUCUUUGCCACAAGUCGAGCUUCAUAGACGGUAACAUUACCGUCCACGUCCGUCUUCUUCUUAAAGAUCCAUUUAUCUCGGAUUUCAUGGCUUUUAACCAUUCGUCAGAAUCCGGGCCCACUAUCGCUUCCCCAUAGCUCGUAGGUUCAUUGUUGUCUAGCAACAUGACUUCCAAGACAGGAUCACGUACUACUCUGAAGUAGUACGCAUCCUCGUCGUCCUACGAGGUUUGUUAGUGACUUGAUCCGAAGUUUCAUGAUCACUAUCAUAAGCUUCCACUUCAAUUGGUGUAGGUGCCACAGGAACAACUUCCUGUUCCCUGCUACACACUAGUUGAAGUGACGGUUCAAUAACCUUAUCAAGUCUCCACCAUCCUCCCACUCAAUUCUUUCGAGAGAAACUUUUCCUCGAGAAAGGACUCGUUUCUAGAAGCAAUUACUUUUGCUUCCAGAUCUGAAAUAGGAGGUAUACCCAACUGUUUUGGGUUUUCUAUGAAGAUGCAUUUAUCCGCUUUGGGUUCGAGCUUAUCAGCCUGAAACUUUUUCACAUAAGCAGCCCCAAACUUUUAAGAAACGACAACUUAGGUUUCUCUAAACGGUGUCGUCUCAACGGAGUUGCGUGGUGCCCCUUUUAAAGUGAAUGCGGUUAUCUCUAAUGCCUAACCCAUAAACGAUAGUGGUAAUUCGAUAAGAGACAUCAUGGUAUGCACCAUAUCCAAUAGGGUGCAGUUAUGAUGUUCGGACACACCAUCACACUAUGGUGUUCCAGGCGGUAUUAAUUGUGAAACACUUUCCACAAUGUCUUAAUUGUGUGCCAAACUCGUAACUCAGAUACUCAUCUCUAUGAUCAUAUCACAGACAUUUUAUCCUCUUGUCACGACGAUCUUCAACUUCACUCUGAAAUUACUUGAACCUUUCAAUAAUUCAGACUUGUGUUUCAUCAAGUAAAUACACUCAGCAUCUACUCAAAUCAUCUGUGAAGUAAGAACAUAACGAUAUCCACUGCAUGCCUCAGCACUCAUUGGACUGCAUACAUCAAAAUGUAUUUCUUCCAACAAGUUGCUCUCUUGUUCCAUCUUACUGAAAACGAGGCCUUUCAGUCAUCUUGCCCAUGUGGUAUGAUUUGCAUGUCUCAAGUGAUUCAAAAUCAAGUGAGUCCAAACGAUCCAUCUGCAUGGAGUUUCUUCAUGCAUAUAUACCAAUAGACAUGGUUUGCAUGUCUCAAUCUUUUCAAAAACGAGUGAGUCCAAAGAUCCAUCUACAUGGAGCUUCUUCAUGCGUUUUAUCCCAAUAUGACUCAAAUAGCAGUGCCACAAGUAUGUGGUACUAUCAUUACUUUUGGCAUGAACAUGUGUAUCACUACGAUCGAGAUUCAAUGAACCAUUUAUUUUUAGGUGCAAGACCAUUGAAGGUAUUAUUCAAAUAAAAAGAGUAACCAUUAUUCUCCUUAAAUGAAUGACCGUAUUGCGAUAAACAUAAUCCAAUCAUGUUUAUGCUCAACGCAAACACCAAUCUCGAUGGUAGAGGGAGCAUGCGAUGCUUGAUCACAUCAACCUUGGAAACACUUCCAACACACAUCGUCAUCUCACCUUUAGCUAGUCUCCGUUUAUUCCGCAGCUUUUAUUUCGAGUUACUAACACUUAGCAACCGAACCGGUAUCUAAUACCCUGGUGCUGCUAGGAGUAAAGUACACAUUCAUAUAAUGUAUAUCCAAUAUACUUUUGUCGACCUUGCCUGCCUUCUCAUCUACCAAGUAUCUAGGGUAGUACUGCUUCAGUGACCGUUCCCCUCAUUACAGAAGCACUUAGUCUCGGGUUUGGGUUCAACCUUGGGAUUCUUCACUAGAGCAGCAAAUGAUUUGUUGUUUCAUGAAGUAUCCCUUUUGCCCUUGCCCUUCUAGAAACUAGUGGUUUUACUAACCAUCAACAAUUGAUGCUCCUUCUUGAUUUCUACUUUCGCGGUGUCAAACAUCGCGAGUUGCUCAAGGAUCAUCAUCUAUCCUUGAUAUUUAUAGUUCAUCACGAAGCUCUAAUAGCUUGGUGGCAGUGACUAUGGAGAACCAUCACUAUCUCAUCUGGAAGAUUAACUCCCACUCGAUUCAAGUGAUUGUAGUACUCAGACAAUCUGAGCACAUGCUCAACGAUUGAGCUUUUCUCCCUUAGUUUGCAGGCUUAAGAAACUUGUCAGAGGUCUCAUACCUCUUGACGUGGGCACUAGUCUGAAAUCCCAAUUUCAGUCUUCGGAACAUCUCAUAUGUUCUGCGACGUUUCAAAACCGUCUUUGGUGCCACAAUUCUAAACCGUUAGCAAUACGCACUGAACUAUCACGUAGUCAUCAAAAACGUGUAUGUCAGAUGUUCCGCAACAUCUACAGACGACGCUGAGGUUCAGCACACCGAGCGGUGCAUUAAGGACAUAAGCCUUCUGUGCAGCAAUGAGGACAAUCCUCAGUUUACGGACCCAGUCCGCAUAAUGGCUACUACCAACUUUCAACUAAAUUUUCUCUAGGAACAUAUCUUAACCAGUAGAACUAAAGCGCAAGCUAUGACAUAAUUUGCAAAGACCUUUUGACUAUGUUCAUGAUAAUGAAGUUCAUCUGAUUAUUUAAUGAACUCCCACUCAGAUAGACAUCCCUCUAGUCAUCUAAGUGAUACAUGAUCCGAGUCAAACUAGGCCGUGUCCGAUCAUCACGUGAGACGGACUAGUCAUCAUCGGUGAACAUCUCCAUGUUGAUCGUAUCUACUAUACGACUCAUGUUCGACCUUUCGGUCUCUUGUGCUCCGAGGCCAUGUCUGUACAUGCUAGGCUCGUCAAGUCAACCUAAGUGUUUUGCAUGUGUUCCGAGGCCAUGUCUCUACAUGCUAGGCUCGUCAACACCCGUUGUAUUCGAAUGUUAGAAUCUAUCACACCCGAUCAUCACGUGGUGCUUCGAAACAACGAACCUUCGCAACGGUGCACAGUUAGGGGGAACACUUGUCUUGAAAUUUUAGUGAGGGAUCAUCUUAUUUAUGCUACCGUCGUUCUAAGCAAAUAAGAUGCAUAACAUGAUAAACAUCACAUGCAAUCAAAUAGUGACAUGAUAUGGCCAAUAUCAUUUUGCUCCUUUGAUCUCCAUCUUUGGGGCAACAUGAUCAUCUUCGUCACCGGCAUGACACCAUGAUCUCCAUCAUCAUGAUCUCCAUCAUUGUGUAUUUAUGAAGUUGUCUCGCCAACUAUUACUUCUACUACUAUGGCUAACGGUUAGCAAUAAAGUAAAGUAAUUACAUGGCGUUUUUCAUUGACACGCAGGUCAUACAAUAAAUUAAGACAACUUCUAUGGCUCCUGCCGGUUGUCAUUCUCAUCGACAUGCAAGUCGUGAUUCCUAUUACAAGAACAUGAUCAAUCUCAUACAUCACAUAUAUCAUUCAUCACAUCCUUUUUGGCCAUAUCACAUCACAUAGCAUACCCUGCAAAAACAAGUUAGACGUCCUCUAAUUGUUGUUGCAUGUUUUACGUGGCUGCUAUGGGUUUCUAGCAAGAACGUUUCUUACCUACGCAAAAGCCACAACGUGAUAUGCCAAUUUCUAUUUACCCUUCAUAAGGACCCUUUUCAUCGAAUCCGAUCCGACUAAAGUGGGAGAGACAGACACCCACUAGCCACCUUAUGCAACUAGUGCAUGUCAGUCGGUGGAACCUGUCUCACGUAAGAGUAUGUGUAAGGUCGGUCCGGGCCGCUUCAUCCCACGAUGCCGCCGAAUCAAGAUAAGACUAGUAACGGCAAGUAAAUUGACAAAAUCGACGCCCACAGCUACUUUGUGUUCUACUCAUGCAUAGAAACUACGCAUAGACCUAGCUCAUGAUGCCACUGUUGGGGAACGUAGCAGAAAUUCAAAAUUUUCUACGCAUCACCAAGAUCAAUCUAUGGAGUACUCUAGCAACGAGGGGAAGGGGAGUGCAUCUACAUACCCUUGUAGAUCGCGAGCGGAAGCGUUCAAGAGAACGGGGUUGAUGGAGUCGUACUCGUCGUGAUCCAAAUCACCGAUGAUCCUAGCGCCGAACGGACGGCACCUCCGCGUUCAACACACAUACGGAGCAGAGACGUCUCCUCCUUCUUGAUCCAGCAAGGGGGGAGGAGAGGUUGAUGGAGAUCCAGCAGCACGACGGCGUGGUGGUGGAAGUAGCGGGAUCCCGGCAGGGCUUCGCCAAGCGCAAGCGGGGAGGAAUAGGUGUCUCGGGAGGGAGAGGGAGGCGCCAGGGCUUAGAUCUUGCUGCCCUCCCUCCCCCACUAUAUAUAGGUCCAAGGGAGAGGGGGGGCGCAGCCUUGGCCCUUCCUCCAAGGAAGGGUGCGGCCAGGGAGGAGUCCUUCCCCCCCAAGGCACCUCGGAGGUGCCUUCCCCCUUUAGGACUCUCCCCUUUCCUUAUCUCUUGGCGCAUGGGCCUCUUGGGGCUGGUGCCCUUGGCCCAUAUAGGCCAAGGCGCACCCCCUACAGCCCAUGUGGCCCCCCGGGGCUGGUGGACCCCCUUGGUGGACCCCCGGACCCCUUUCGGCACUCCCGGUACAAUACCGAUAAAGUGCGAAACUUUUCCGGCGACCAAAACAGGACUUCCCAUAUAUAAAUCUUUACCUCCGGACCAUUCCGGAACUCCUCGUGACGUCCGGGAUCUCAUCCGGGACUCCGAAAAACUUUCGGGUUACCGCAUACUAAUAUCUCUACAACCCUAGCGUCACCGAACCUUAAGUGUGUAGACCCUACGGGUUCGGGAACCAUGCAGACAUGACCGAGACGUUCUCCAGCCAAUAACCAACAGCGGGAUCUGGAUACCCAUGUUGGCUCCCACAUGUUCCACAAUGAUCUCAUCGGAUGAACCACGAUGUCGAGGAUUCAAUCAAUCCCGUAUCCAAUUCCCUUUGUCAAUCGGUAUGGUACUUGCCCGAGAUUCGACCGUCGGUAUCCCGAUACCUUGUUCAAUGUUAUUACCGGCAAGUCUCUUUACUCGUUCCGUAACACAUCAUCCCGUGAUUAACUCCUUGGUCACAUUGUGCACAUUAUGAUGAUGUCCUACCGAUUGGGCCCAGAGAUACCUCUCCGUUUACACGGAGUGACAAAUCCCAGUCUCGAUUCGUGCCAACCCAACAAACACUUUCGGAGAUACCUGUAGUGCACCUUUAUAGCCACCCAAUUACGUUGUGACGUUUGGUAGCAUUCCUACGGUAUCCGGGAGUUGCACAAUCUCAUGGUCUAAGGAAAUGAUACUUGACAUUAGAAAAGCUCUUAGCAAACGAACUACACGAUCUUGUGCUAGGCUUAGGAUUGGGUCUUGUCCAUCACAUCAUUCUCCUAAUGAUGUGAUCCCGUUAUCAACGACAUCCAAUGUCCAUGGUCAGGAAACCGUAACCAUCUAUUGAUCAACGAGCUAGUCACUAGAGGCUUACUAGGGACAUGGUGUUGUCUAUUUAUCCACACAUGCAUCUGAGUUUCCUAUCAAUACAAUUCUAGCAUGGAUAAUAAACGAUUAUCAUGAACAAGGAAAUAUAAUAAUAACCAAUUUAUUAUUGCCUCUAGGGCAUAUUUCCAACAGUACACUUCUUGUGGUUUGACUUAAUCUCACCAUACUUCUUUGCAUCCUGUGAUCUUCCAAUUCUUGUGAACCAAACACCCAGAUUGGCAGAAAUCCUGUGUUUUUAAAUUCUCUGUUUUGCACGUGCAUUCCUAUCCUAUUCCUGUCUAUUUCCUAUCCCUGCAUUGUUAGAAUCCUCAAAUUCAAACAAGCCCUUACACAAUUACUUCUGUUACAGAUAUGUGUCAAAGAAAACCUUGUGUGGUUUGUCCUGCUCCUGCGGUGCUGUGUUCCACCCCAGCUCAGCUGCUCCAAUGACGGAAGGGUUCACCACAGUAGGGAUCCGCUCUCCAGACUGUCUUUCACCGCCUCAGAUCUUCUUCCCCGCCGCCAGCAGCCACGACAACUGCAUUACCAUCAUCAACUGAGCAGAUGACCUUGAGGACUACACGGGUCCGCAAGAGAGGUCGCACUCUUCCGUGUCUGCUUACGUUAUGCAUCGCUUAAUAUGAUGACAUGCUACUUUAUCAUCGUGUUCACCUAUUAGACUCUGACUCGGGUCCAAACUUAUGCUGAAACUUGAGUUUUUAAAUGGUUGUGGGGUACAUAUUGGGGCAGCAAUCAGUACUAUCUGUCUACUAUCUGGUUAAUCUCGGGUGUCUACUAUGAGUUUCAUGUUGGGUGCAAACAAACAUUAAAGGAGCCAUUAUCCGUAUUUUUUAACUAAAGCUAUUAUCUGCCUGCUAUCAUUGGUUUUGGGUCUAUCCACAGUUUGCUACCAUCACUCUGGAUUUGUGCAUGCACUCCUUACAUAAUCUCACUAUGUUUUAUUCCUAUGCAUGUCAGUUAUUGUACACAAUGGAACUGAACAUGUAGCUCAAAAGAGACGAGCCUUGCAUGGCAAUAAAAUUUCAUGCAGACGUCGCUCCAUGGUGGGCGCAAAGGCAGCCCCCCUCCACCCAUUUCGGAUCGUAAUCAAGAGGAAGAUAACUGUUCUGAGGGGGAUUCAGAAGUACAAGACCACUCCUAUUUACCCCAUGAGGUCUUCGCUCUAACUUGGCAUGCUGAUGUUGGUUAUAUCAUGCAUAUGGUGCCUUGCAUUGCUUACUUUAUACAUCAAAUAUGACAACUGCUUAGUUUAGACAUGCUUUGUGUGAAUGCCAUCUGUUUAGUUUAUUCAUCGUUUAUGUGAAUUAUGCAAUGCCAUCUUGUUUAGCCAGGCAUCAUAUAUGUGAAUUUUGCAAUGCCAUCCUGCUUAGCCAGUCAUCUUAUAUGUGAAUUAUACCAGGCCAUCCUUUUUUCGUUACGUAUUACAUUUGUCAACAAUGUUAGUACAUUCAACUACUCUUCGUGUGCAUCAGCCAUUUGACACGGUGAUGGAAAAUUCUGGAGUGAAAACAAGGUCUUCAGAGCAGACUAUGCUAUCUGACGAAGCGCAUAUCUCGCUGGUUACGGGUAGCUCCUCAGAGGAGGAUUCAGAGACAGNNNNNNNNNNNNNNNNNNNNNNNNNNNNNNNNNNNNNNNNNNNNNNNNNNNNNNNNNNNNNNNNNNNNNNNNNNNNNNNNNNNNNNNNNNNNNNNNNNNNNNNNNNNNNNNNNNNNNNNNNNNNNNNNNNNNNNNNNNNNNNNNNNNNNNNNNNNNNNNNNNNNNNNNNNNNNNNNNNNNNNNNNNNNNNNNNNNNNNNNNNNNNNNNNNNNNNNNNNNNNNNNNNNNNNNNNNNCUCUAACUUGGCAGGGUUAUAUUGCUCAUAUCGUGCGUAUGGUAUCUUGCAUUGCUAUGUCAUUUGCUUAGUUUAGACAUGAUUUGUGUGAAUGCCACUUGUUUAGUGUCUAAUUACCAUAUAUGUGAAUUAUGCAAUGCCAUCUUUUUGCAAGACAUUAUAUAUGUGAAUUAUGCAAUGCUAGCUUGUUGCAAGGCAUUAUAUAUGUGAAUUAUGCAAUGCCAUGUUGUUUAGCCAAUCGUCAUAUAUGUGAAUUAUAUCAUGCCGUCCUUUUUUGUAUUUCUCAUUGCUUUUGUCGACAAUGUUUGUAUAUUCAACUGCUCUUCCUGUGCAUCAGCCGUUUGAAUUGGUGAUGGAGAAAUCUGGAGUGAAAACAAGGUCUUCAGAGCAGACAAUGCUACCUGGUGAAGCAGAUAUGUUGCUGGUUACAAAUAGCUCUUCAGAGGAGGAUUCAGAGGCAGAUGACCAGUCCUAUUAUCCCCCUGAGGUGUAUGCUCAAACUUGGCAGGGUUAUAUUACUCAUAUCAUGCAUAUGUUGAAUGCCAUCUCCUUAGUUGACACAUCAUAUAUGCGAUUGCCCUCUGCUCACUUCCUUAGUAUAUAAAUCAUAUAUUUGAAUUAUAUCAUGCCAUGAUGUUUACAUAGACAGCAUGUAUCUGAAUUAUGGCAUGCCAACCCAUUUUCUAAAGACAUAAUAUAGUUAUAUCAUCUCAUCCUGUUCACAUAGUCAUCAUAUUUUGAAUUAUGUCAUUCUAUCCAUGAAUUAUAUCAUGCCAUCAUGUUUCCAUCGACGGCAUGUUUGUGAUUUAUGGCAUGCCAACCACUUUAAUAGACACAUCGUAUAGUUAUAUCAUGUCAUCCUGUUUACAUAUUCAUCAUAUUUUGAAGUAUGUCAUUCUAUCCUGUUUAGUUAGCCAUCAUACAUGUGAAAUUGUGUCAUGCUAUCCUGUUUAAUUAGCCAUCAUAUAUUUGAAACUAUGUCCUGCUAUUCUGUUUGGUUAGACAACAUAAAUGUGAAUUAUUUCAUGCCCUGUUUUCUUCCCUACUAUCCAUUGCACCUGUCUAUCUUACAAUGUCUGUACAUUCAAUUACUUUUCUUGUUUAUCAGCCAUUUCAAUUGGAGGGGGUGAUGGCAGUAUCUGUGGGAGUAAAAACACGGUCUUCAGAAAAGAUCGUGCUACCUGUCGAUGGAGAUAGAACCACGGUUGUACUUGCCCAAGAACCAGCCCUACCACACAUAACCCAGACUCACGCAGAUUGUACCCCUACCCAGUUGGACAGAGAACCAGCUACACCCCUUCUAACCCCAACCCCAGCAGAUAGUAAUCCAGUUCCCGUUGACACAACACCGUCUCCACCACAGAGCACCCAAACACGAGCAGUUAGUAAGGCAACUGCAGUGCCCAAAGCACGAGGACCACCACUCCGAACCCCAAGUCAACGCUUAAAGCAGAAGAAGAAUUGUUCUCAGGUCAGGUUCCGUAGCUAUGGUUCAUACUACUUUGCUCUUGCAUCACCGUAUUUACUCAUACCAACUAAUUUCAAACUUGAAGGAUGCAAUUGAAACUCCAAUGGCGCAAUAGGUAUGUUUUAAACCUGUUUCUUUAACGUGUUUGCUGUUGUAACUUGCUCUAUGUUGAUUUCAGUUUCAAUUGAAUAAACAGUUAUGUUCUCAUGCCAUGCACAUUACAAGUGUUGUUAUUGCUAUGUAGUUUCCCACACUUAUAUUCUGUCUAUGCUGCUUUGUCUUAAAUAGAUAUGAUUCGAACUGUAUCUAUCUUGAUUUGGCAACAUAAACUAGAAUGAUAUAGACCAUACAGUGACCAUACUACAUAUAUAUAUGUUUGUUUCAUGCUGUUAUCCUGUCCACCUUACUACUGGACUGGUUUACCAAAAUGAGUUUCAUAUACUACAUUGUAAACCUGUGAUGUGUUUGUUUGUUUCUCCUUUAGAACGCGGAUAAAAUAUUGGAGAAGAGUACCCCGUUAUGCAAUGGUAAAGGAAGUAAUGCAGAUCAGGUUCAAGAUAGUGAGACAUCCCUGUUGUUCUCCAAGAAAGCUGAUAAAAACUAUAUUGAAGACACUGAGACAACCCCAAAGUCCUGUCUUGAUGUAGUGUUCGAGUUACUGGCUACUACUGCUGGCACCAGCUCUUCGUACUCGCUGCCUGAAUCAGUUCGGCUUCUUGAGUCUCAACUUCAAGUUGAAAGACAUCGAUCAGAUGUUAUGCGACAGGAAGCCGAAGGACUGAGGAAGUCCCUGCAGAAUUCAGAUGCAUACUUUCUGGUGCAACAGCAAGUGCUGGAGGAUUUAAGCGCCAAACAAGAGAAAGUUAAUAAGCUUGCUAAGCAUCUUGCCAGCAUUAUGGGUACCCAGGAUAUUGUUUCUUGAGCUCUUCUGAAGUGGUUCAGUUCUGGACUUGUUUUGCUGCGGCGUUUAUAAGCUGCUUUGUUCCCUCUAUUUGCACUGGUGGCGAACUUUGAUGCCCAGUGGAUGUAAUAUGUGUAAUAGCCGUGAUAGCCUAGCGUAAGUUGCUUGCUUAUUUAUUUCCUUGUUGUCUUGUUUAUUUGUUUGCUUGUAGUCAGUGCUGUUCUUUUUCCACGGUUUGCUAGUGGCCGCAAUAACCUUUUUUUUAAACUAGGCCACAAUAACCAUGGGCUACAUAUUUACUGUAGUGACACUGGGCCUUCUACGGGCCGUAGAAACAAUGGGCCUUCUACGGGGCGUAGAAACAAUGGGCCUUCUACGGGUCGUAUCAUCAAUGGGCCUUCUACGGGCCGUAUGAUCGAUUGCCCAAACAUGGGCCAAUAACAUACCGCUUUAUGGCCGUAAACGGGCUAGAGUUGGAAUCGUCCAUUCAUGGGCCGACCAUAAUGGGUCGUUGUUAAUAGGCCGUAUUUGAUGACGCUAUUUAAACGGCCCAACGUAUUAACGGGCCACAAACGGGCCGACUGUAAGCACGGGCUGAAUUUGGCCCACAAGCAGAAAAUGACAGUAACGGGCCGUAAGUAACCGAAUGCUGGAAAUGAGCCCAAGAAUAAAUGGGCCCUGAGAAGGACGAAAGAUAACAUGGGCUGGAAAUGGCCCAAUGGAAUAAUGGGCCGUUAAUGGGUAUAAACUGAUACACUGUUCAUUACGGGCCAGUUUUACCACGGGCUGUUAACGGGCCGAGGGUUACUAAGGGCCUCAGAUGGGCCAAAAGACGUCAUGGGCCAUACAUGGGUCGGAAGUUAAAACGGGCUGGAAUUAUAUUGGACGGCCCAGAUGACGCUACUGGGCCUAAUUCGGAUAGGUCGUAAACGGGCCCUGGGUUAGCGGGCUGUAAAUGGGCUAUAUGCGAACAGGCCAUUAACAGGCUUGCCGUGGGUCGGCCCACCACCUUUUGACCAAGUCAAACGGGCCGGCCUUUUCACAGGAAUGGGCCUCUGUUGGGCCGUGCCACGUGUCGACGUAUCAUAGGCGCUUUGGGUCCAAUGAGUGGAUGACAUUUGUCCCAACGGUGAGCCGACACGUGUUUCCUCCAGCCAAUGAUGAUUUUACACGUGGAAAAUCCCCAUUGGUCGGGGCUGUUAACGGGUUAUCGGAUCCAAAACCGGACCCGAUAGCUUAACGGUGUUCCGUUACGGUGGAUGCCACGUGUCGGUCACCCUUGACGAAAGCACUUCUGUGACGCGCGAUUUAUCGUCAUGGAAGUGGACACUUCCGUGAUGAUAAUUUUGGUAAUGUCAUGGAACACUUCUACGACAGCACAGGUAUGACUAUCUUGAUUCUGUCAUAAAUUUGUCAUGGAUGUACAUGCAUGACAAAAAACGCGACCUAUUGUGACAAACACGUAUCAUCACGGAAGUGUAUUUUUUUGUAGUGACGUAAUAGCGGGCUGGGGCCCGCCACACCGCGCCCUCGGCCCUCGCGCGAGGAUUUAUUAUGGCCGCCGCGGACGGUUGCACUUCUCGGGGUAGUUAAUUCAUUGGGGAAACGUGCUCACAUAAUGCAGGGAAGUGGAAAAGCGGGCGCAGCCGAUCCCACUUCCCCACGCUUGGUGUCGUGGUGGGCGCACGGCAGAUGCCAAGGGAUGGCUAAAGAUAGGAGUAGGCUCGAGGGCACUGGUGGGCUCCAGAGGCGAGAUCGGCAUGAGCGAGCGCGGGACGCAAGACAUACCCAGGUUCGGGGCUCUCCGGAGAGAUAACACCCCUAGUCCCGCCGAGUGUAGUUGAUAUGUAUCAGUACAGAGUUGCUCCUUGAGCUGUAUGGAGGAAGGAGGAAGACAGGCCAAGGCUCAGGCUGCUUCUCCUUGUGGUGUGUGAGUUCAUGGAUGGAUGGAUGUGUGAGCGUGGCCAAAUGAGGCUGGGUGUGUGAGGCCUUCCCUGGGUCACUUUAUAUACUAGUGCCCAGAGACAAGGGGUGGCCCACACACCCACUACACUAUUGAGAUGUCAUAUGAUGAUGCACGCUACAGUGCACCACUAUUGGAGCGCAGUGAAGUGUCACAUGAUGCAGGAGCAAUGUUGGCUGCUCAUCUAUAGUGCUCCACUGUAGAGUAUGGCCGUCAUGUCUGCGCAGGUCCGACGGGACGACUUAGUUGACUUGGCCAGAUUCCAGCGAGAUGGGCUCAACUCGGACGGGCCUUAACCCGGACGGGGCUCAACCCGGACAGCUGAACCCGGACAGGCGGAACCCAGCCAAGGAGAACCCGGACAGGGAGAACCCGGCCAGGGAGAACCUAGACAGGGUCAACCUGGAUGGGCUCAACCCGGCCAGCUCAACCCGGCCAGGGUCAACCCGGACAGCUCAACCCGGCCGGGGUCAACCUGGCUAGGGUCAACCCGGACAGCUCAACCCGGCCAAGUUCAACCCGGCCAAGGUCACCUCGGACAGGUCAACCCGGCCAAAGUCAACCCGGACAGGUCAACCCGGCCAAGUGUCAGGCUUCGACUCACCGGUGAACUUGCUCACUCUCGUUGCCAAUCUAAAAUUGGGAGGAAUCUCAGCGGCUCUGAUAGCUCUGCUGAAACACUUAGGUCCGCAGACAUGAACUCUGCUGCCAGUCGGGCGGUCUCUGUCGAGUCCUUCCCUGUGUGCUCUGUUCCUGUCGACCAGACCUUGAACAAGGAUCGACCUCGCAUCAAACCCUGGCUCUCUUGGGUCGACUGGAACCCUCCGCUCAUCGCUGUACGGGUGCAUGUCAUCAUAUUGCCGGGGCACAUACGGUCCGCCCCUCGGAGGGGGCGUAGGCACUCUACGGCGGUCAUCACGGCCGAGUCGAUGAUCGUACUGCUUGUGAUUCCGUCCCAAAUACUGCUCUUGGCGAUGCCCACAUCCCUCACGCCGCGGGGGCGAUCUUGGGCUGUGAGCCCAGGGACAAGGGGUGGCCCACACACCCACUACACUAUUGAGAUGUCAUAUGAUGAUGCAGGCUACAGUGCACCACUAUUGGAGCGCAGUGAAGUGUCACAUGAUGCAGGAACAGUGUUGGCUGCUCAUCUACACUGCUCCACUGUAGAGUAUGGCCGUCACGUCUGCGCAGGUCCAACGGGACGUCUUAGUUGACUUGGCCAGAUUCCAGCCAGAUGGGCUCAACCCGGACUGGCCUUAACCCGGACGGGGCUCAACCCGGACAGCUGAACCCAGACAGGCAGAACUCGGCCAGGGAGAACCCAGACAGGGUCAACCUGGAUGGGCUCAACCAGGCCAGCUCAACCCGGCCAGGGUCAACCCGGACAGCUCAACCCUGCCAGGGUCAACCCGGACAGCUCAACCCGGCCAAGUUCAACCCGGCGAAGGUCAACCCGGACAGGUCAACCCGGCCAAGUGUCAGGCUUCGACUCACCGGUGAACUUGCUCAUUCCCGUUGCCAAUCUGAAAUUGGGAGGAAUCUCAGCGGCUCUGAUAGCUCUGCUAAAACACUCCGGUCUGGAGACAUGAACUCUCCUGCCAGUCGGGCGGUCUCUGUCGAGCCCUUCCCUGGGUGCUCUGUUCCUGUCGACCAGACCUUGAACAAGGAUCGACCUCGCAUCAAACCCUGUCUCUCUUGGGUCGACUGGAACCCUCCGCUCAUCGCUGUACGGGCGCAUGUCAUCAUAUUGCCGGGGCACAUACGAUCCGCCCCUCGGAGGGGGCGUAGGCACUCGACGGCGGUCAUCACGGCCGAGUCGAUGAUCGUACUGCUUGUGAUUCCGUCCCAAAUACUGCUCUUGGCGAUGCCCACGUCCCUCACGCCGCGGGGGCGAUCUUGGGCUGUGAGCCGACUGAACCGUGUCAGUCACCAUAGAUCUUCUAUGGAUCCUGUUGCGAGACUGAGAAACGGUUGUGUUCUGCUCUCCUGCUGCCCGGAGCAGUGCCCUGAUCUGCACCAAACCUCUUCCAGCCUCUGAUUGGGACGGCUGAAUCGACUCUGCUAUUCGGGCUGCAUCUGUAAGGUUCUGAAUCGGAGUGCGGUAUACCUGAGGUUCAGGCGGGAACAACUGUCUCCGUCGACUAGAUUCGGGAAUCUGUUGCCGAGCGCGUUCAUCGAGUGAAUAUUGAAGGUUCUCCAGCUGUGCGCGCUCAGCCAAAGUGGCCAGGCGCGCGGCCUCCAAGGCUCGGGCCUCGGCGGUCUCCCUGAUGAUGGGAGUGUGGAGGGCCUCCAUGCUGCGGCGGUGCAGCUCCUCCCUCUGCUGCGAAGUGAGGGCUUCGGGAUGAUACUCCUCAUGAACACGCGAUGGAUCGCCGCCGCCAUCGCCGCCGUCACUGCGAUGGAAACCAGGCGGGCUGCGCGGCAUGUCGACCAUCAGGACUUCCACCGCGGGGUCGCUGCUGUUGCACUCGGACAGAGUCUCGACGGAGCCAGUCGACAGGUCGAACAACCCAUAGAGAGAUUCAUCGGGCUCGAUUGCCGCGACUUGAGGGGUGGCCGACUGACGGGCCACCGCGUGCUUCACCCACCGCUGAAGCCGCGGUCGACCAGAUCGCUUGCGGUGACGAGCAGCGGGAAGCGAAGACGUUGCGGGAGCCGGCCGAUAAAGAGUCGACGGCUAUCGUAGAAGAACACCGCGGACACAUGCGCGAAAGUGCGUCGCCCCAUGGACGGGGAGCGCCUCGACAUCGAGGGGAGCCUCCUGGAGCCAGGCGGAGUCGUCGGCGACGAAAACGAGCGCGCCGAGACGGAUCUCAUGGCCCUCAGCCAAACCAUCGCCAGAAACCAUGAUGAUGGGAAUCGGAGAAAUUGCAACCUCACCGGAAAGUCGCUAAGACACCCGCCCCAUGGUGGGCGCCAACUGUCGUGGUUCUAAGUCUGACAGUAGAAUAGGGGGUACGUAGGAGGAGGCAAGAUCCUAGCUACGAUGAGGUUGUGCAGCACGAUUUACGAGUUCAGGCCCUUCUCGGAGGAAGUAACAACCCUACGUCUCGGUGCCCAGAGGCGGUCGAUUAGAUUAUGCGUGAAGUUACAGGGGGUGUGAACCCUUGUACCAGUGGAGGGGGUGGCUUAUAUAGAGUGCGCCAGGACCUCAGCCAGCCCACGUUACAAAGGGUUCAAUGUACAUAAAGGUGGGGCGUUACUGGUAACGCCAACAAUAAAGGCAUAUAAAUGAUCAUUAUGACUAUGGAGUGAACGCCUGACCGUUGCCAUCCUGAGUGACUUUAGAUCUUCUGUACUCCGAGUGAUUUCUGAUGUGGUCGAGUGAGUAUAUCCUGGUCGAAUGGAAUUGGGUUAUCCGAGUUGGUCGAGUGGGUUGCACCAUGAGGUGAUUUCAGUCGGUGAAUGUUGUUGUUCUUUGAAUGCCUUUGACUGUAGGGCAGUGUCCUUGGGAAGGGUGUCCAGGUCAGGCCUAUUACCCUACCCUAGGUACAUGUCAUCGUCAGUCGGCAUGAGCGAGCGCGGGACGCAAGACAUACCCAGGUUCGGGGCUCUCCGCAGAGAUAACACCCGUAGUCCUGCCGAGUGUAGUUGAUAUGUAUCAGUAUAGAGUUGCUCCUUGAGCUGUAUGGAGGAAGGAGGAAGUCAUGCCAAGGCUCAGGCUGCUUCUCCUUGUGGUGUGUGAGUCCAUGGAUGGAUGGAUGUGUGAGCGUGGCCAAAUGAGGCUGGGUGUGUGAGGCCUUCCCCGGGGCAGUUUAUAUACUAGUGCCCAGGGACAAGGGGUGACCCACACACCCACUACACUAUUGAGAUGUCAUAUGAUGAUGCAGGCUACAGUGCACCACUAUUGGAGCGCAGUGAAGUGUCACAUGAUGCAGGAAUAAUGUUGGCUGCUCAUCUACAGUGCUCCACUGUAGAGUAUGGUCGUCACGUCUGCGCAGGUCCGACGGGACGUCUUAGUUGACCUGGCCAGAUUCCAGCCAGAUGGGCUCAACCCGGACGGGCCUCAACCCGGAUGGGGCUCAACCCGGACAGGCAGAACCCGGCCAAGGAGAACCCAGAUAGGGUCAACCCGGAUGGGCUCAACCCGGCCAGGGUCAACCCAGACAGCUCAACCCGGCCAGGGUCAACCCGGAGAGCUCAACCCGACCAGGGUCAACCCGGACAUGUCAACCCGUCCAAGGUCAACCCGGACAGGUCAACCUGGCCAAGGUCAACCCGGACAGGUCAACCCGGCCAAAGUCAACCUGGCCAGAUUCCGGCCAGCCAAGUUCUAGCCAGCCAGGGGGCACUCCCCUGGUAAUGUUUUGAAGCGUCGUUUCGCCGUCUUGGGCAUACCCGGGGGUCAUCCCCCCGACACUUGGCCACGGUUGUAAAAUCGGAGGGAGGGGUGGCAGAAAUAUUCACGCACGCGCGCCCUCGCCUCAUCCUUCUUCUCUCCGCCCAACCUCUCGAGCUCGCCAUCCACCGGAGCGUCGGGCGCCGCCCGAACCGCCCUCCGGCCGCGCUAGCUUCUUCUCGCCUCCGCGCUUCGCACCCUCGCCCAGCCCCACAGAUGGCGCCGCCAAAGGGCUCAUGGGAGGGGUCCAUUAUUACCAACGCCGACAUCCAGCACCUCCGCGACACCCGCCGACUGCCGCCGACGGGGGAGGUGGCUGCGCGCGCCCGGAGGGGAGGUGGAGCCGCAGCCGCAAAAUGGCGAGUGCGUGGUCUUCUACAACCACUUCUAUCGUGGGCUCCGCCUCCCUGUGAGCGCCUUCUUCCGCGCCUUCCUCUCUUUCUUCGGGCUGCAGCCGCACCACCUAGGUGCGAACACCGUGCUGCAGCUCUCUGGUUUCGUCACCCUCCGUGAGGGUUACUUGGGGGUGGAGCCAGACGUGGAGCUCUGGAGCCGCCUCUUCUUCCUUAAGCAGCAGGGGCAGGAGGCUAGGGCUAUGUCCGACUACGGGGCCGUUGUCGUCUCGGUCCGGCCGAACGGGGUGUUCCCCAAAAUGCCCAUCGAGGAUUCUGCCAAAAAGUGGCAGAAUACUUUCUUCUACGUCUGCAACGCCGGCGAAGGAGCCGACGCCAUCAACCUGCCCCCGUUCAUCAAUAUGAAGCCGCUCGCCAAGAUGAACUGGGGGUACAUGCCCAAGAACCCGCGGCAGGGGAUGCUGAACUUGUGCAGCCGGAUCGAGGAGAUGACGGCGCGGGAGGGGCUCAAGGGGACGGAUCUCGUCGCCGCCUUCAUCGUGCGUCGGGUGCUGCCGCUGCAACGCCGGGCGCACAUCAUUGGUCAGAUGGGUGACCGCCGGGAUGCUACAUGGAUGUAGUCCGGGAGGCUGCUGCUGGAGCAGGUCUCCGACCAGGUGAACACCAUCUCCAAGGCCGGGUUGGCCCCUGACUGGCACUUCAAGAAAGCGCCCUGCAACGCAGAGUACCCGGCGCCGGCAGUGAGUCCUUGGUCCUCAUUAUUUGCAAUGUCUCAACUUCUUCUUCACCCUGAUGCGACGCGGAGGUGCUGUUGAGCGCUAUCCAACAGACACAUGACAGGACGAGGGCGCAGGUAGCGGCCAUCGAGCAUGCCCGCUCGGAGGGUGUGGAAUCCUUUGCUGAGAACCUGGAGCCGGCCGACGCUGAAGCCGGCGGGGUGCACCGUGCGGGUAAGUCUCCGCACCCAGACCUGUUGCGAUACUGGUCGGACGAUGACGUGGAGGUCCUGACUCACACUGGUGGUGCAGCGCCAUCAAGGGGAGGGGACGACACCGUCGAGCCCCCAAGAAGGCUGAGGAAGACGGCCGAUGCCUGGUCAUCCCGUGCGCCGGCCGCGCCAAGCCGGACGCACGGGAAGGAUGACGCGGCACCGAAGCCGGCCACGAAGCGCGUGGCGGAAGGACCGGCGGCGCGCGGCAAGACAGUCGCCAAGAGGGGGCGCCAGGUCGUCCCGACGCCGCCAACGAGCCAGGCCAUCCCGACGGCGAUCAAGUACGCUUCCUUGCUGACUUCAGUGUGCUGCCAAGUUGCACUUUUCUUACGUUUUCUUGGUGCGAGCCAGGACGCCACUGGACUUGGCAUUGGCGGCGAUGGACGUUGUGUUCGGGGGUGGCUUCUCGUUCCAGAGGACCCGGAGCAGCGUCAUCGACCUGCCCGAGGGCUCGACCGAGGAGGACCUUGGUGCUGAUGCGCCGGUUCGUCAAUUGGCGCCUGCAUGCGCUUCUAAUUGGGCCGGUCCGUUCCGUUAUUUUUUCCAGGUUUUCAAACACAAAAAGUGUGAGGCGAUGGAGAGUCGAAGCUGCGACCUCUUUGUCGCAAGCGCACGGCUGUAACCACCAGGGCAUCGCCCGGAAUGGACUAGUUAGUUCUUUCUUCGCUUUUUACUCGUUCUUCAGUUCGGUUUCUUUUUUUUCUCAUCUUUCUUUGUUUUCUUCAGUGCGUGUUUUUUUAUUCGUGAACCUAUUUUUCAAAUUCGAUGAACUUCUUUUAAAAUUUGAUGAACUUUUUUCAAAUUCGAUGAACUCUUUUCAAAAUCUAUGAACGUUUUUCAAAUUUGAUGAACUUAUUUUCUGAUUUAAUGAACUUUUGUUCAAGCUAUAAAGUAAAACGUAUAAUAUUUAAGAUAUUCGAAAAUCCAAGUUAUAAAGUAAACUGUAUUUUUCUGUGCAAUAAAUAGCGCAACUCUUAUGGUUCCUAUAGAGUUCGCGUUUGAUUUCAAUCACUAGUCUUCUGAUGGUGUAGUGGUUAGCUGAAACAUUCCGCUGUGUAGCGUCGUGAGUACUAGGGCGUGUUUGGUUGCCCGCACCGAGCCAAACCAGGCCCGCGCGGGAAGGGAGAGGCCUGUUUGGUUGCCUGGUUUUCCUGUUGGGCCUGCAUCGCACGCUUCUCAAAGCAGCCCAGAGCUUGGCUCGCUGGAAACCCUCGGAUCGGUUGUUUCUCGCGAGCCAGGCUGAGUGCGACGCGAGGCCGCUGGGCGGGAGCGAGGCGCGGGCGAGGGGGAUGGCGGGAGAUGGAAAUCUGGCGCGCCGCCCCGGCGCCAAAUUCGCCUCACCCCCCUUUCACUCGCUCACCCAUAGCCACUGCCCCCCUUCUUCUCCACUGCCUCACCACCGGCGGUGGCUGCGAUUUUAGAUCUGCGCUAUAGGCGGCAGCGGCGGAAGAGGCGGCGGCGUUUAUGGCUGAUCUGGUGCUCCCCUUGCUGUUGGCCACCGUCUGGUCGACCUACUCUGUGCCAUGGCUCCCCCUACGUCGUCCUCAUCUCCGAUGCCGGUAAGCAGCACCCCCUCCCCCUUUGUUAGCUCAGUGGUUAGGCCUUUAAGCUAGGUGUAGGAUCGAUUUCCCACUGAACGAACCGUCGAUGUCGACUAGGUUAUGGACGCACGGAUGAGGCUGAUAAUCCAGGCAGCAACACUGAUUAGUGUGAUUCAGGCAUGGGUAAUGUUCAUGCACCAGAGAGCUGUUCGUCGUGCUGGGAGACCGUUGAUCCGCUAUGGUCCAUUGUUUCCCCGGGAACAAGAGAGGAUCCAAAAUCUGAACUACAUCUACAACUGCAAUGACGUCGAGGCUCUGUGGAUGCUUAGAAUGAAAAGAGCGCCAUUUGCCAGGAUUGUCGAGACCUUCAAGAGCAGGGGCCUGUUACAAGAUAGCAUCAACACCAGUGUCGAAGAGCAAGUGGCCAUGUUCCUCCAUGUUGUUGGCCAUAACCAGAGGUUCAGGGUCAUUCACAACACGUUCAGGAGGUCAAUGGAGACCAUCUCUAGGUACUUCAAGCAGGUGAAGGAAAUAUGCCCUAGAGGCAAUAAUAAAGUUAUUAUUUAUUUCCUUAUAUCAUGAUAAAUGUUUAUUAUUCAUGCUAGAAUUGUAUUAACCGGAAACAUAAUACUUGUGUGAAUACAUAGACAAACAGAGUGUCACUAGUAUGCCUCUACUUGACUAGCUCGUUGAUCAAAGAUGGUUAUGUUUCCUAGCCAUAGACAUGAGUUGUCAUUUGAUUAACGGGAUCACAUCAUUAGGAGAAUGAUGUGAUUGACUUGACCCAUUCCGUUAGCUUAGCACUCGAUCGUUUAGUAUGAUGUUAUUGCUUUCUUCAUGACUUAUACAUGUUCCUAUGACUAUGAGAUUAUGCAACUCCCGUUUACCGGAGGAACACUUUGUGUGCUACCAAACGUCACAAUGUAACUGGGUGAUUAUAAAGGUGCUCUACAGGUGUCUCCAAAGGUACUUGUUGGGUUGGCUGUAGGGGAACGCAGCAGAAAACAAAAAAAUUCUGACCUACGCACCAGCCCAGGACCACUAUGGAGACUGCAUACAUGGUUUGAUCUUUUUCGUUACCGACUCGUAGCGCAGCGGGAAGUAGAGUCGAUGACGAUCGGCGGUGCAGAUCCCCGCAGCUAGGAUUUACAACCUCCCAACCGCGAGGAUGUAUACCCUCAUCUGCUCCUCAGACAGCCCUCCAGGAGGCGGUCGAACAGCCCCCCGGACGGUGUCGCGGACAGCCCUUCGGGAGGACCUUCGAAACUCGAACGGUCACUCGGACAGCCCUUCGGGAGGACCUUCGAAACUCGGACGGUCACACGGACAGCCCUUCGGGAGGCACUCACGAACUAAGACCAAAACUACAAUAUCUCUACAGAGUUGCACACAUACGGUGUCAUCUAUCCGGCAGGGCUUCGCCGUCCAGAACUAGUUCCUGCCGGAACCCAGACAGCCUUACGGCUCUACGAAACUCUUUUCGUGGGAGGGAGAGAAGAAGCCAGAUAAUGCAUGGCAUGUGUAUGAGAGCAAGGGAUGAGUGUGGAGGGCUGCCCCUCCACCUCUAUUUAUAGGAAAUCCCAAGGGGGUAGGGUAGUUUCACAAAAAACCCAAAAUGCACAUGAAUGAAGUCCUUCCACAAGGACCUAGGAGUGAAACCAAGGAACAAGAGGGUCCCCAAGGGGGGAUACCCCAUGUGGCCGGCCACACCCCCAUGAGGGGCCCAAAAAAUGGCUCCUAUUCAUCCAUGUCAUCCCCAAGAUCUUUUGGAGCAAAGCCCCAAAAGGUGGCUUUCCAUAAAGUAACCAUAAAGCUGAUUUUCACUAUUCACGACGACAUUUUUCAGCGUCUGAUCGAACUGAAAAUAUUUAUGUGGGCUAAGAACAUUUCUAGUACCCACUAAAAUGAUUUUCAACGCGUUCCGAAACAAUUCCGGUUUUAGUGAUUUUCAUCUGCGAAACGCAUCUGAAGUGGCUCCGGCAGCUCCGGAACAUUUCCGGUUUUUAUCUCAGAAAAUUCCAAAAAGCUUCCAGAAUGAUUCUGGCAUCCUCCAAGAAUUAUCAGGCAUGUGCCGAAACCAAUUUGACUUAAUGGUGUAUCCCGAAACAACUUUUCGGUGUCAUCGAAACUUAUCCGAUGACCUCUCUCUGCGGUACGAUUCCGCUGUCCGAAACUUUUCGGUGUCCGAAACUUUUUCGGUGAUUUUCUCUCAGACUCCCUGUCUAGUAUUCAGCAGAUAGAUGACCCUUAAGCGUGUGACCCUAUAGGUUCGGUGAAGUAUAGACAUGACCCGGAACCCCUUCCGAUCAAUGAUCAACAUCGGAGCCGUGGACACCCAUAUUGACCCCUAUACCCACACGAAUAAAUAUCCGAGUGAACCUCCAGUUGCCGUGUGCUAUUCCUGUUGCUUCGCGAUAUGUUACAAAUACCCGAGGUGAGACAUGUUGGCAUUCCCGUGGAUCAACAACUUGUCCACUAUGCUAGUUACCUCGUUACCGGUAUUGUUCUCUUUUCUCGUUAUCGUGUUCUGGCAUCCCCGUGAUCAAAUCACAAAGUGUCUGGCCAGACGAUGAUGGAUACCGUAACACCGAGAGGGCCCAGAGAUAUCUCUCCAUCGUCGGAGGAGCAAAUCCCAAUCUUGAGCUAUCAAGUUACUUGACACACUUUUCCAUGAACCCGUAAGCCGCCGUAAUAGCCACCCAUUUACGGAUGACGUUUAACAAACCCCAAAGUUCAUGAAGCAAGCAUGAAGAAACUCGAUACUCUCAUGGUCUAAGGAAUCAUGCAAACGUUAACCAUCUCUGUGUUAUGUACCAAUAAACUUGUGACGAAUGAAUCUCAUAGCAUAACAUCAUGCCGGGUCGAUUCAACACAAAUGUUCUCUUAACAUUAUGCCCUCAAGGUUGCUGACAUAGACAUGCCCAUGAUCAGGAAAACAUAACCAUCAUGCAACACUUGAGCUAGUCUUAGAGGCCAGACUAGGAAUACAUUUUACCGUUUAUUAUUCCACACGUGCAUAUGAGUCUUCCUCCGAGCCUCGUGGUUAUUGUAGACUCAAGAACCAUAGCAGUUAUAGCAUGGAACAUAAACAUAAUUAUGAACUCGGAGAUAAAUAAUAUCAUUUAUUAUUGCCUCUAGGGCAUAUCUCCUACAGACUCCCACUUGCACUAGAGUCAAUAAUCUAGUUAAUGCUAAUGCACUUUACACCUGUGGCACAUCGGUGUAAAUAUGCUUCGCUUGUGGUAUAGCCUGAUGUCCAACGGAUCUGACGACUUCAGUUCCGUGUGUAUCUUUGCAUGUCCUCGCGUUUUCACGUUUUCACAAAAUUCAUAUUUUGUGUGGACUUGGCUUUGUAUGUAUGUGAAUCAAAGGUCGAACCUGGAUUCCUCAGACUAAGUUAUGGAGCAACUACCUGCAGUAGUGUCCCAUUGUCAAAAGCCAUCUUGGAACUAUACUAAGUUCAUGAAUGAACUAUAUGAUUCAACAUCUUCUUUGUCGCUUCUAAAGCGUCAACAUACUUAGCCCUUGUUAUAGAAUUCGCCACAGUAACUAGUUUGAACAAAUUCCAACUAACUGUGCCACCACAUUGUGUGUUACACAAAACCCUUAACUUAAAUCGAAAAUCGCACGGUGAAAAGAUGAAGACUACCGAUGUAACAUUUUACAACGAACUCUUCAUGAUCUCCGCUUGCAAGAAAACAUAUCAUCAGUACUUACUCUAGUACUCAAUGACAUCUUUCACUGUUGUCCCACGUUCAGUACUUUGAUCACUUUAGUAUCCAUACUCGCAACACCUUGGGAGUAUCGGACAUAUCUGGUUGUUUUACAUACCAUGGAAUACAUGAUUAAUCCAAACACAAAAGUGUGUGGAAUCUGCAUCAUGUAUUUUACUCAUCAGUGUUUUGGGACACCGAGUCUUGCAAAAACUCCUUCCAUGUGACUUUGGCAAGAAUCACUCCUUGGCGUUUUAAAUGCUAAAAGGUUUUAGCAUCUUGUCAAUAUGUAUUCAUUGCUUAGCCCCAUUAGGUAAAUCUAUCUCCAUAGAUGAUCAUGCCUAAUAUUGAGGCUAUUUAGCCUAAGCACUUCAUCGAAAAACUAUUUUCAAAUGAAGUCCUAAUUCGUGUCAAGAAAUUUAUUUCCAAUUACCAAUGUGCCAAGCACAUAAGGUUUUUAGAAAUAUUAUUACGCUCCCACUUACUUUCUUGAAUUACAAGCAUCUUCGUUACCCAUUGAUGAAGUCAAAACCCCUUUGACCAUUUCAUCAAAACACGAAGAUUCCAACUCCAUUUUGCUCUCUUCUGUCCAUUGCUGGAACUCUGAAGUUUGCAUACCUACUAGCAUCCUCUGGAUCGACAAAUUACUUUGGACUGUAUCAUAUACAAGUCCUAGCUUUCAUUUCCAUCAGAUAGAAAUCCUUUUAUCAUCCAUGUUUCAUAUCUCAUGAUUGAGAUAUGUAUUAAUUGCUAGUUCAACCCGAACCGAGUUUAAGCAUCGCUAUGAUGAAAACAACCUCAUCGUAGUCAACUCUUGAACUUGUUAUUUCAACAAGUCGAGCUUUAUGGAUAAAACAUUUUUAUCCAUAUCAGUUUUAAGUUCCAUAAAUAUUCGUUAGACUCUAAGUCUUUCGAAAGGUGUAUCAAGGUUUUAAUCUUGAAUCACUUAUAUGGAAACUAACUUGGGUUGUAUUGGCAUUUAGCCAAUUCCGGAGUCAGGGCCCAUCAACGCUUCCUUGUGUAUCGUAGGUAUAAUGUUGUCUAACAACAAUAUCUCGUUUGCGCACCUGAGAGGUUUGCACGAGCCUUGCCUACGUGGUUCAGCUGCAAGUUCGACCGAAGUUCAUACAUUUUAUUGUAGAGACUUCCGUAUCAGUCGCAGUAGGAAACUCUGGAAUUACUUCCAAGGUCUCUUUCCUUUGAUCUGAUGACUUAGAUACUGUUUAUCUCGUCGAGUUGCACUAUUCUCCCACUCACCUUUUUGAAAGAACCAUUCUCUUUAAAAGCACACCGUUUCGCGGCAAAACUAUUUGCCUCGGUAUAGUGAGGGAGGAAUACCCAACAUUUUGGUAUAACCUACAAAGUAGCACUUGUAUGAUUUGGAAUAGGUUUGUAACCUUUUACACAAGCCCCAUAUUCCAAAUGUUAAGAAAAGAUAUAACAUGGUUGGGCGUACCAUACCAUGGCUUCAUUUCAACAGACCCGAUGUAGCUCUUUUCAGUGUAAAAGCCGCAGUCUCUAAAGCAUCACUUUAAAAAGGAUAAUGGCAAAUUUAUUUAUGUCAUCUUUGACCUUACCAUGUCAUGAAUGGUUAGAUUACAUCUCCACGGACUUUUCACUUGCAGUGGUGUUCCGGGAGGUGCAAGUUAUGAAACCCCUUUCACAACUCAUCAGACAUUCGCUAAACAUGUAACUCAAAUAUUCCUUUGUGCUAUCAAAUUGCAGAAACAUAAUUUUCUUGUUACAAUAACUUCUAAUUCAUUUUUGAAAACCUUUCGAAUGAUUUCAAAAGAUCCAGACUUACGUCUCAUCAAGUAAAUAUCCAUAUAUCUACUUGAGUCAUUUCUGAAGAUAAAUAAAUCCACCACUAACAACACUUAUCGGACUACACACAUCAAAUGUAUGAUCACUAAUAAGUUUGUUGUUCGUUCCUUAUUGCCUGUGAACGGUAUUUUAGUCACUUCACUUUUCGGAGGAAAGUUGCAAGUGUCAGAUGAUUCAAAAUCAAAAAGACUUAAAAAUCCAUCAUAAUGGAAUUUUCCAUGCGGGUUUCUCCAAUGUGACCAAAUGUAGUGCCACACUUGUGUGGUAUUCUUUUAGUCUUGCGACAUUUAGCGUCAGUGUUAUGGAUGUAUCAUAUUACCCUCAAUAUUCAUAACAUACGUCCCAUCUUGGAUGGAAGCAUGGCCCUUCAUGUUAUUCAUAAUACUUAACAACAAUUGUUGGUUUUAUGAACAACUCUUUUGCAACAAACAUUGUGCAAUGGGCUAGAGUGUAUGAAACUCUAAAAUGAAUUAUGAAAGUAAACCCAGAGGUAUUGUAUUAUUAUCAAUAUUCAUAACAUACAUCUCAUUCAUAAUGAAAGUAUGGCCCUUGUGUUAUUCAUAACAUCGAAAUAAAAGGCUUCUCUUAUGAACAACCUUCUUGCAAGAUACCUUAUGCAAUGGGCUAGAGUUUGUAAAACUCUAAAUGAAUUAUGAAAAUAAAUACAGGCGGCAAUACACCGAUGGAAGGUACAGUAACAUUUACUAUGUUCCCUGUGUAUACCUUAACCUCAUUUCUGGCUAGUCUUUUUAGGCCACAGUAGCUCUUACAGUGAUUCGCAAUUGAAUGCAAUCGAGCGGGUAUCUUUGUGAUUAACUCACAAUACCCAAGAAUUAGUGAUUAACAUGUUUAACCAGAAUUCCCAAGAACUAUAUCUUUGACCAGCCUACUAUACAACAAAAACUUGUAUGACAUUCAUACAUGAGCUGGAUAUUCCAGUCAUCUUUCUUUCUGCCUUUUUACUUCUAACAGUUUAACUUUUAGUAUUUCUCCUACUCGCAAAAGAAGCACCCAACUUAAGAGUGGCGUUAGCCCCGGACUUCCUAGGCGUGUAAGUCAUACUAACACCCUUUGGACACUUCCUUUCUCUUUAAGUUGUUGUUUUAUUCACCUUUCAUUAUAUGACAGGCGUUCUUCUGGAUCCCUUUCCCAACAGUCAAAUGCAUAGUAAACACUUUUACUAAUACUUGCAAACAAACAUUGCUUUGUUUGUAUCUAAAAAUAAUUUUCAGUUCCAUGAAUAUCAUAUAACUAUCCCAACUUUCGAAGUUUGGGUUUCAUGGAAGCAAACAUAUUGCACUUGACUGAAACGGAAUUAUAGCUUUUGGAUCGAAGGACGAGAGUCACAUGAUCCAUAGCUUUAGCGGGAGGAUACGGAAAGCAUGCGAUAGGACAAAGUCCUUCUCGGCACUUUUGAGGACAAUCCUCAUAUUACGUUACCAAUCGUAAAGUUUUAACCAGAUAUUUAACAGUUAUUCAAUUUUAAUAGGGAAGGUGGAAACGCGAGCCAUUAUUCUACAACUAUUUUGCAAGAAACACUUAGACAGUGUUCAUAAUUAAUUGCACUGAGAAUUAAACAUGUUAAUUCAACAGUGCGCUCCCACUCAAAUCAAUAUCUCUCACAAUUAAUUUUGAGUGAUACAAGAUCCAGACUUCAAUUCAUCGCCAUAGAAUCAUCAUCUCAUAACGGGAAUUUAAUCGGUAGGCCAACUUGCCGAUCACAUCUCUAUGUGACUCUUGCUCAUCUUUCGAUGUGUGUGUUCCGAGCUCAGGACGAUCCUGCCAUGAACGUCAAGACAACCAAGUGAUCUUGCUGCGAGGUCUGACCUCACCCGCCUCACACUUCUCUAAUCGUUCGUACCCAUGCAUCCAUGGCGCACCCCGAAAAGAUAGGUGCCGUGACGGUGCUACACUUGGGAGAACACUAACUACUUGAUAUUUUAAGCGAGAGAUCACCCUAAUAAAAGCGACUACCGCGCAAUCAAGAAGGGUGCAUCAUAAGGGAUAAACAUCUCAGGCAAUUCAUAAUAGCAUGAUAUGGUAUAGCCCUUUCUGACGGAGAAGUAUUUCAUUUCUUCGUCUUCGGCAUUCGCAUCGGUGGUCACCUUCACGAAGAUUGCCACCACCUUGUCAAUGCACCAGAUAAUAUUGCUAUCUCUAUAGCUAACAAAAUAAUGCAUUACAACAAGGUAGACACGCAGGUCAUUAAAAUGCAAUCAUAUGGCUCCAGCCAUCAUGUCGAAUCAUGACACGUAGGUCAUGUUAAUCAAAUUACAUCAUAUAGUCAUCUCAUACAUAAUCGAAUUAGUAUGAGCACUGCUAUACCACAUCACAUGCACAUCCUGCAAAACCAAGUUAGACGCCUCUAAUAGGUUUAUGCAAAAUUUUAGUUUACGUGGCUUCUAAGGUUUUGACUUAAACCGCAGCUACCAACGUUUUAUCAUCAAGUAUGAUUAUUCAGGUUUCUAGAUUCACAUCUCGGGGUGUAUGAAACACGGGAUAAUUAAAUCUCGAGCCCCAUACUAAACUUCGUCAUACGCAUGACCCCCGUGCAGAUCAUAUCUGCAAUGCCCUUUCAUCUGCGAAUUUCAUCUUUCUUUUGACUACGGCAGAACCCAAAGAACUGAUAGCACUUCCAUGAUCAAUCAGGAUCACGGAUUGCCAGAACUUUGUCAAAUUCCACCAUGCUGUCUCAAGAUUGAGCAAACGCAAAUUCUAGGGAAGCAACAAGAACCUCGGGUAACAGAUUUCAUCUGUCACCCGCAUAAAUAAUUUUCAGCAAUAGAUCUCAUCUACUACCUAAUUAUAUUAUGCAAUACCCAUACAUCUCCAUGUAUUCUAGAUCGAAACCUGCAUCUACGCAUAGCACGGCUCUUGAUGCCACUUUAGGGGAACGCAGCAGAAAACAAAAAUUUUCUGACCUACGCACCAGCCCAGGACCACUAUGGAGACUGCAUACAUGGUUUGAUCUUUUUCGUUACCGACUCGUAGCGCAGCGGGAAGUAGAGUCGAUGACGAUCGGCGGUGCAGAUCCCCGCAGCUAGGAUUUACAACCUCCCAACCGCGAGGAUGUAUACCCUCAUCUGCUCCUCAGACAGCCCUCCAGGAGGCGGUCGAACAGCCCCCCGGACGGUGUCGCGGACAGCCCUUCGGGAGGACCUUCGAAACUCGAACGGUCACUCGGACAGCCCUUCGGGAGGACCUUCGAAACUCGGACGGUCACACGGACAGCCCUUCGGGAGGCACUCACGAACUAAGACCAAAACUAAAAUAUCUCUACAGAGUUGCACACAUACGGUGUCAUCUAUCCGGCAGGGCUUCGCCGUCCAGAACUAGUUCCUGCCGGAACCCAGACAGCCUUACGGCUCUACGAAACUCUUUUCGUGGGAGGGAGAGAAGAAGCCAGAUAAUGCAUGGCAUGUGUAUGAGAGCAAGGGAUGAGUGUGGAGGGCUGCCCCUCCACCUCUAUUUAUAGGAAAUCCCAAGGGGGUAGGGUAGUUUCACAAAAAACCCAAAAUGCACAUGAAUGAAGUCCUUCCACAAGGACCUAGGAGUGAAACCAAGGAACAAGAGGGUCCCCAAGGGGGGAUACCCCAUGUGGCCGGCCACACCCCCAUGAGGGGCCAAAAAAUGGCUCCUAUCCAUCCAUGUCAUCCCCAAGAUCUUUUGGAGCAAAGCCCCAAAAGGUGGCUUUCCAUAAAGUAACCAUAAAGCUGAUUUUCACUAUUCACGACGACAUUUUUCAGCGUCUGAUCGAACUGAAAAUAUUUAUGUGGGCUAAGAACAUUUCUACACCCACUAAAAUGAUUUUCAACGCGUUCCGAAACAAUUCCGGUUUUAGUGAUUUUCAUCUGCGAAACGCAUCUGAAGUGGCUCCGGCAGCUCCGGAACAUUUCCGGUUUUUAUCUCAGAAAAUUCCAAAAAGCUUCCAGAAUGAUUCUGGCAUCCUCCAAGAAUUAUCAGGCAUGUGCCGAAACCAAUUUGACUUAAUGGUGUAUCCCGAAACAACUUUUCGGUAUCAUCGAAACUUAUCCGAUGACCUCUCUCUGCGGUACGAUUCCGCUGUCCGAAACUUUUCGGUGUCCGAAACUUUUUCGGUGAUUUUCUCUCAGACUCCCUGUCUAGUAUUCAGCAGAUAGAUGACCCUUAAGCGUGUGACCCUAUAGGUUCGGUGAAGUAUAGACAUGACCCGGAACCUCUUCCGAUCAAUGAUCAACAUCGGAGCCGUGGACACCCAUAUUGACCCCUAUACCCACACGAAUAAAUAUUCGAGUGAACCUCCAGUUGCCGUGUGCUAUUCUUGUUGCUUCGCGAUAUGUUACAAAUACCCGAGGUGAGACAUGUUGGCAUUCCCGUGGAUCAACAACUUGUCCACUAUGCUAGUUACCUCGUUACCGGUAUUGUUCUCUUUUCUCGUUAUCGUGUUCCGGCAUCCCCGUGAUCAAAUCACAAAGUGUCUGGCCAGACGAUGAUGGAUACCGUAACACCGAGAGGGCCCAGAGAUAUCUCUCCAUCGUCGGAGGAGCAAAUCCCAAUCUUGAGCUAUCAAGUUACUUGACACACUUUUCCAUGAACCCGUAAGCCGCCGUAAUAGCCACCCAUUUACGGAUGACGUUUAACAAACCCCAAAGUUCAUGAAGCAAGCACGAAGAAACUCGAUACUCUCAUGGUCUAAGGAAUCAUGCAAACGUUAACCAUCUCUUUGUUAUGUACCAAUAAACUUGUGACGAAUGAAUCUCAUAGCAUAACAUCAUGCCGGGUCGAUUCAACACAAAUGUUCUCUUAACAUUAUGCCCUCAAGGUUGCUGACAUAGACAUGCCCAUGAUCAGGAAAACAUAACCAUCAUGCAACACUUGAGCUAGUCUUAGAGGCCAGACUAGGAAUACAUUUUACCGUUUAUUAUUCCACACGUGCAUAUGAGUCUUCCUCCGAGCCUCGUGGUUAUUGCAGACUCGAGAACCAUAGCAGUUAUAGCAUGGAACAUAAACAUAAUUAUGAACUCGGAGCCGUGGACACCCAUAUUGACCCCUAUACCCACACGAAUAAAUAUUCGAGUGAACCUCCAGUUGCCGUGUGCUAUUCCUGUUGCUUCGCGAUAUGUUACAAAUACCCGAGGUGAGACAUGUUGGCAUUCCCGUGGAUCAACAACUUGUCCACUAUGCUAGUUACCUCGUUACCGGUAUUGUUCUCUUUUCUCGUUAUCGUGUUCCGGCAUCCCCGUGAUCAAAUCACAAAGUGUCUGGCCAGACGAUGAUGGAUACCGUAACACCGAGAGGGCCCAGAGAUAUCUCUCCAUCGUCGAAGGAGCAAAUCCCAAUCUUGAGCUAUCAAGUUACUUGACACACUUUUCCAUGAACCCGUAAGCCGCCGUAAUAGCCACCCAUUUACGGAUGACGUUUAACAAACCCCAAAGUUCAUGAAGCAAGCAUGAAGAAACUCGAUACUCUCAUGGUCUAAGGAAUCAUGCAAACGUUAACCAUCUCUGUGUUAUGUACCAAUAAACUUGUGACGAAUGAAUCUCAUAGCAUAACAUCAUGCCGGGUCGAUUCAACACAAAUGUUCUCUUAACAUUAUGCCCUCAAGGUUGCUGACAUAGACAUGCCCAUGAUUAGGAAAACAUAACCAUCAUGCAACACUUGAGCUAGUCUUAGAGGCCAGACUAGGAAUACAUUUUACCGUUUAUUAUUCCACACGUGCAUAUGAGUCUUCCUCCGAGCCUCGUGGUUAUUGCAGACUCGAGAACCAUAGCAGUUAUAGCAUGGAACAUAAACAUAAUUAUGAACUCGGAGAUAAAUAAUAUCAUUUAUUAUUGCCUCUAGGGCAUAUCUCCUACAUUGGCGUAUUUCGAGAUUAUGAUUUGUCACUCUGAUUGUCGGAGAGGUAUCUCUGGGCCCUCUCGGUAAUGCACAUCACUUAAGCCUUGCAAGCAUUGCAACUAAUGAGUUAGUUGUGGGAUGAUGUAUUACGGAACGAGUAAAGAGACUUGCCGGUAACGAGAUUGAACUAGGUAUUGAGAUACCGACGAUCGAAUCUCGGGCAAGUAACAUACCGAUGACAAAGGGAACAACGUAUGUUGUUAUGCAGUUUGACCGAUAAAGAUCUUCGUAGAAUAUGUGGGAGCCAAUAUGAGCAUCAGGGUUCCACUAUUGGUUAUUGACCGGAGACGUGUCUCGGUCAUGUCUACAUAGUUCUCAAACCCGUAGGGUCCGCACGCUUAACGUUUCGAUGACAGUUAUAUUAUGAGUUUAUAUGUUUUGAUGUACCGAAGGUUGUUCGGAGUCCCGGAUGUGAUCACGGACAUGACGAGGAGUCUCGAAAUGGUCGAGACAUGAAGAUCGAUAUAUUGGAAGCCUAUAUUUGGAUAUCGGAAGUGUUCCGGGUGAAAUCGCGAUUUUACCGGAGUACCGGAGGGGUUACCGGAACCCCCCGGGGGUUAAUGGGCCAUAGUGGGGCUUAGUGGAGAUGAGGAGAGGCGGCCAGGGCAAGGGCCGCGCGCCCCUCCCCCUAGUCCUAAUAGGACAAGGAGAGGGGGGCGGCGCCCCCUUUCCUUCCUCUCCUCCACCUCUUUCCCCCUUCUCCUAUUCCAACAAGGAAGGGAGGGAGUCCUACUCCCGGUGGGAGUAGGACUCCUCCUGGCGCGCCUCCUCCCUGGCCGGCCGCACCUCCCCCUUGCUCCUUUAUAUACGGGGGCAGGGGGCACCCCAAGGACACAACAAUUGAUCGUUUGAUCUUUUAGCCGUGUGCGGUGCCCCCCUCCACCAUAGUCCACCUCGAUAAUACUGUAGCGGUGCUUAGGCGAAGCCCUGCAUCGGUAGAACAUCAUCAUCGUCACCACGCCGUCGUGCUGACGAAACUCUCCCUCAACACUCGGCUGGAUCGGAGUUCGAGGGACAUCAUCGGGCUGAACGUGUGCUGAACUCGGAGGUGUCGUGCGUUCGGUACUUGAUCGGUCGGAUCGUGAAGACGUACGACUACAUCAACCGCGUUGUGCUAACGCUUCCGCUUUCGGUCUACGAGGGUACGUGGACAACACUCUCCCCUCUCGUUGCUAUGCAUCACCAUGAUCUUGCGUGUGCGUAGGAAUUUUUUUGAAAUUACUACGUUCCCCAACAGUGGCAUCCGAGCCAGGUUCUAUGCGUUGAUGUUAUAUGCACGAGUAGAACACAAGUGAGUUGUGGGCGAUAUAAGUCAUACUGCUUACCAGCAUGUCAUGCCUUGGUUCGGCGGUAUUGUUGGAUGAAGCGGCCCGGGCCGACAUUACGCGUACGCUUACGCGAGACUGGUUCUACCGACGUGCUUUGCACACAGGUGGCUGGCGGGUGUCAGUUUCUCCAACUUUAGUUGAACCGAGUGUGGCUACACCCGGUCCUUGCGAAGGUUAAAACAGCACCAACUUGACAAACUAUCGUUGUGGUUUUGAUGCGUAGGUAAGAACGGUUCUUGCUAAGCCCGUAGCAGCCACGUAAAAUUUGCAACAACAAAGUAGAGGACGUCUAACUUGUUUUUGCAGGGCAUGUUGUGAUGUGAUAUGGUCAAGACAUGAUGCUAAAUUCUAUUGUAUGAGAUGAUCAUGUUUUGUAACCGAGUUAUCGGCAACUGGCAGAAGCCAUAUGGUUGUCGCUUUAUUGUAUGCAAUGCAAUCGCCCUGUAAUGCUUUACUUUAUCACUAAGCGGUAGCGAUAGUCGUAGAAGCAUAAGAUUGGCGAGACGACAACGAUGCUACGAUGAAGAUCAAGGUGUCGCGCCGGUGACGAUGGUGAUCAUGACGGUGCUUCGGAGAUGGAGAUCACAAGCACAAGAUGAUGAUGGCCAUAUCAUAUCACUUAUAUUGAUUGCAUGUGAUGUUUAUUUUUUAUGCAUCUUAUCUUGCUUUGGUUGACGGUAGCAUUAUAAGAUGAUCCCUCACUAAAUUAUCAAAGUAUAAGUGUUCUCCCUGAGUAUGCACCGUUGCGAAAGUUCUUCGUGCUGAGACACCACGUGAUGAUCGGGUGUGAUAGGCUCUAUGUUCAAAUACAACGGGUGCAAAACAGUUGCACACGCGGAAUACUCAGGUUAAGCUUGACGAGCCUAGCAUAUAACAGAUAUGGCCUCGGAACACGGAGACUGAAAGGUCGAGCGUGAAUCAUAUACACUAGUAGAAAAAGGGCCUAUUGUCCCGGUUCGUGAGGGCCUUCUGUCCCGGUUUGUGAACCGGGACUAAAAAGUCGUUACUAAUGCCCUUGGCCUUUAGUUCCGGUUCUUACACGAACCGGGACAGAAGGUCCUCCACGUGGCCGAUGCGGCCAGCCCAGGACGGGGGCCUUAGGUCCCGGUUGGUGACACCAACCGGGACCAAUAGGCAUCCACGUGUCAGCAUCUGGCUGGAGCUGAGGUUUUUUCUGAAAGGGGCUGAUUUAGGGGUUUUGGGGGUUAAUUUAGGAUGUGCUUGCUGCCACUACUAGGAAAAGGCCUACUAGUGGCGCACCAGUUUUGCCUACUAAUGGCGCACUACUAGUGCGCCACUAGUACCAUGCCACUAGUAUUAAAUACUAAUGGCGCACCACUGGUGCGCCAUUAGUAUCUGGUAUACUAAUGGCACAUCACGCCGUGCGCCAUUAGUAUAGACCAACAUGCGCCAUUAGUGUGCCUCCCAGGGGGCGAUAUUUACACAUGUGCUUUGCCAUACUAAUGGCGCACUGUGGGAUGAUGCGCCAUUGCUAUUUUUGAAUUUUGAAUUUGGAUCUGGAUCGCGAUUUUUUUGCCCAUUUUUUGCUCUUUUUUUGCACGAUAUUUUUUCAAAUUUUGUUCUCGUUUUUGGAUCUUGUACGUUCUUUUGCCGUGUUCUUUUGCCAGGGAGGAGUUCGCCGGAGAGGAGGGCUGAGGUCACCGGAGAGGAGGAGGAGGAGGUCACCGGAGAGGCGCUCGCCUACAUCGCCGGAGAGGAGGAGGAGGUCGCCGGAGAGGAGUUCAUCGGAGCAUCGGAGGGGAGGAAGGAGAAACCAUGAGGGGAGGGGAGGAGAGGAGAGGAGGAGCUCACCGGAGAGGAGAGGAGGAGCUCACCGGAGAGGAGGGAGGANNNNNNNNNNNNNNNNNNNNNNNNNNNNNNNNNNNNNNNNNNNNNNNNNNNNNNNNNNNNNNNNNNNNNNNNNNNNNNNNNNNNNNNNNNNNNNNNNNNNNNNNNNNNNNNNNNNNNNNNNNNNNNNNNNNNNNNNNNNNNNNNNNNNNNNNNNNNNNNNNNNNNNNNNNNNNNNNNNNNNNNNNNNNNNNNNNNNNNNNNNNNNNNNNNNNNNNNNNNNNNNNNNNNNNNNNNNNNNNNNNNNNNNNNNNNNNNNNNNNNNNNNNNNNNNNNNNNNNNNNNNNNNNNNNNNNNNNNNNNNNNNNNNNNNNNNNNNNNNNNNNNNNNNNNNNNNNNNNNNNNNNNNNNNNNNNNNNNNNNNNNNNNNNNNNNNGGAGAAACCGUGAGGUGAGGGGAGGAGGGAGGAGGAGGUCGCCGGAGAGGAGGAGGAGGAGGUUGCCGGAGAGGAGGAGGAGGUCGCCGGAGAGGAGGAGGGGAGUAUGGUGGAGGAGAGAAGGGAAGAUGGAGUGGAGGAGAGGUGGAGUGGAGCGGAGGAGAACAAUGAAGAGGUAAGGAGGAGAGGACCCCGCCCAGCCAUAUAUACGGCAUAGUAAUGGCGCAUCAUGGGCAGGUGCGCCAUUACUAACUUUUUUUUUUGAUUUAUUUUGAAUUUUGAAGGCGGGAAGAUAGUAAUGGCGCACCGUGGGCAGGUGCGCCAUUACUAACUUUAUUUUUAUUUUUUUGAUAUAGUUUGAAUUUUGAAGGCGGGAAGAUAGUAAUGGCGCACCAUGGGCAGGUGCGCCAUUACUGAGUUUUUUUUUUUGAUUUUUUUGCCUCUCCAGAUCUUAAAAGCCCCGUAACUUUUUUUCUGUUAGGUUUUUGAGGAUUCUGAAAAUGUUUAACGGGGUUCCCCCGUUAAAUUCGGAUGUAUCUUUUCGCAUAGAUGAUUUUUCAUAUAAAAAACUUUUUAAUCCGAGUUCGUAUGCAAAAGUUAUGCCCAUUUUACAAAUCCAGAGAGAUUUUGCAAAUAAAGUCGAAAUUCAUAUUUGUAAAUUUUCCCAACAAGUAGACCACAUAUCACAUGGGAAACUUAUUUUCUUUUAUUUUUUUGACAUUUCCAUCAUUUUCUUUUAUUUUUUCUAAAACUGAAAAGGCGGUCCGGGGGGUGUGCAUUCGGUGGAUUUUUUGGGGGCAAGUUACUAAUGGCGCACCGUGGGAGUGGUGCGCCAUUACUAGUUCAACUAGUAAUGGCGCACCACACACACGGUGCGCCAUUAGUAGUUUUGAAAAAAAAAUUGAAUUUUUUUUACUAGUGGCGCACCGUGGAUGUGAUGCGCCAUUAGUAUUUGGACACUAAUGGCGCACCAACACAUGAUGCGCCACUGCUAUAUAGUAGUGGCGCACCACAUGUCUGGUGCGCCAUUAGUGUCCAUAUCAUCUAUAGCCCUUUUCCUAGUAGUGUGCUGUUGACUUUGAUCUGAGGUUCACAUAUGUGCUGGCUGGCUGGGAGGGGUCAGCGCAUGAUGCAAACAUUCUCACUGACAGCAUGAGUCGACCUGAUGGGAUCAACAUCCCCGACGACAAGUUCUACCUUGGAGAUGCUGGCUAUGCAUGUCGGCCGGGUGUUCUUCCACCCUUCAGGAAAACCAGAUACCAUCUCAACGAGUUAUCUGGUAGGAACUUUCCUAGGACUGCACAGGAGCUGCUUAAUCUCAGACACUCCAGCCUUAGAGUAACUGUUGAGAGGGCAUUUGGAGCUCUGAAGAAUAGGUUUAAGAUCCUGGAUCAGAAGCCAUUCCACCCAUACCCCAUUCAGGUUAAGCUAGUUCUUGCUUGUUGCAUUCUGCAUAACUGGAUCCUUCAGUGGGGCUUUGAUGAACACGUGCCUGAGGAGGAAGAGGUCGAGCCUGACGAUGUUGUUAGCUCUGGCCAUGGUGUGGAUGCAUUUGACAAUGACGGUUGGAAGAACAAAAGGUUGGAGUGGACAGAGGCAAUGUGGCUUAACAGAGGUCAGUGCAGGAUUUGAAGAAGAGGAAGAAGAAACAGCAGCAGCAGAAGCACAGAAGAAGAGGAAGAAGAAGCAACAGCAGAAGCAGAAGAGGAAGAUGAAGCAGCAACACCGAUGAACUAUCCCCUAUUUAGCCAAUGGCUCUUAAUAAUUUGAUCUGUCAUUUGAUUGUAGUUAGGAUGAACUGUCAUUUGUUUAACUAGCUGGCACUAUGUUCAGAUUGUGUGUGGUAAGGUCACCAUUAGAUAGAAGUGGUGACAACAUCUUAUGCAGGUUGCAACCAAACACCAUAUCAUAUGUGCACCUAAUGCAAUGCGGGCAACCAAACGCCGGGUCAAAAAUGUUUGUCUCAUGUAACUAGGAGCAUGCAGGCAACCAAACUAUAUGCAUCUGGGUUUUUUUGGCCUGCAUCCCCUCAAACCGGCUCAAUAGAGCCAGGCUCGCCGGGCCAGGCUGAAUCGGCAAUGUAACCAAACACGCACCGGUCGUCGUUCUACCAGAUUUCCGCAAGACAGUUUACUGCUCGCUCCGUCUGUGGGCCGGCCCACUUGGCGUUGCCAGUAGGCGCCGGUUCGCUUCCGCGGUGCCAAACGCGCCGAAUAGGAGCCCCCUGUUGGCGGCAAAAGCAAGCAUAUCGCGCCUUUGCUCCCACGACCAUUUCGUUCCAUCUCGGGCCAACAGCCCAACACCACAUGCAGAUCAGCAGCACUAGUCCCCUAAUGAAAAAAUAAAAUCAGCAGCACCAGCACUCUAGCAGGAACGCACGCCUCCACGAUCCGCCUCGCUCGUAGCGAACCAAUCACAGCAGGCGAACCACCACCCCACGGAUCGCUACCUCGACACCAGAUCUCGACCGUCCACGCACCAAAAAUCCAACGCUCCACUCCCACCUUCCCUUCCCUCCCGAAAAAGCGAAGCUCACGAAAAUUACCCCGCCCACUCGGCGCGCGCCGCCUAUUUAGCACCGGUCCCUCCCCUCCGUCCUCCUCACCCCAAUCCCUCCUCCUCAAGCACCAGAACCCCCUCCCCCUCCCUCCUCAGCCUCCCGGCGCAUCGAGCCAUGGCCCGCACCAAGCAGACGGCGAGGAAGUCCACCGGCGGCAAGGCGCCGAGGAAGCAGCUGGCCACCAAGGCCGCCCGCAAGUCCGCCCCGGCCACCGGCGGCGUCAAGAAGCCCCACCGCUUCCGCCCCGGCACCGUCGCGCUCCGCGAGAUCCGCAAGUACCAGAAGAGCACGGAGCUGCUCAUCCGCAAGCUCCCCUUCCAGCGCCUCGUCCGCGAGAUCGCCCAGGACUUCAAGACCGACCUCCGCUUCCAGUCCUCCGCCGUCUCCGCACUGCAGGAGGCCGCCGAGGCCUACCUCGUCGGCCUCUUCGAGGACACCAACCUCUGCGCCAUCCACGCCAAGCGCGUCACCAUCAUGCCCAAGGACAUCCAGCUCGCCCGCCGCAUCCGUGGCGAGAGGGCCUAGGCUGCUCCGUGCGCGUCGUCGUGUGUUAGAUCCACCUUAGCCGUUGUUCAGCGGUCGAGAUGUGCGUGCUCGUAGUGUUUGUUUGUGCCAUGGUGGAUGUAGUGUGCCUGAUCUGAUGUCACCAUCUUGCUGUCAUCAGUAAUUUAAAUGAAAAUGUUGGCGGUCUGUUCUAAGAUCUGUUCAUUUUGAUGCCUGUUUUUGCUUGUUUGUGAGCCUGUCAGUGAAUGUGAUUCACCAAAUUGUGCAUUAUAUUAUUCCAACUCGUGAAAUUUUCUGCCAGUUUAAUCUACUGUGUCUUAAAUUGCUUCAAGUUUUUAGCUUAAUUGAUGCCUUUGACUAUUAAAUUUCGUCAUCAGUAGUAAUUUUGUUGACUGCCUCUGAACCUGAAUGAACAGCCGCAGCUGUUUUAUCAUGUUAUUACUUUUUACUCCCUGUGACUGUAAAUAACCCUCACCUGUACCAUGAUGCUAACAACGGGUAAAAUAGGAUAUAGACAAGAGAUUUUUAUAUUUUGCACUGCUCAUAGAGUACAUACUGUUUUUGAUACAACUGUAUCAAAUUUGAUGUCGCAUGCCAUGAUCCAUCUGAUGGAUUUCUUGCACCUGCAAAUGACCGCGUCAUGAUAUUGUCAACAGUGUGGUCGAAGUAGAAGGUGCAAUUAGAGAUGAUGCAGUGAAACUGCUGCAGAUCAGUAAGGUGAACAUAUGUUGGGCGAUAUUUUCAGUAAUUUAAUGCUGGAAUGAUAUCCUGUAGCGAAAGAGGAUUAUAGUCUGUCUAUAACUGCUUUGAUCUUGUCCAUAAUGCUUCCCCUGCAGAGCAAAAAGGUGUGCCAGAUUUCUUGUUGAAUGCAACGAAGAACUAUGAAAUACUAGCAAAGGUGAGAGAGAGACCGCAUGUUUUUGCAAUUGAAAUUCCUUCUUUGAACUGCAGAACGUGUUUUUGUUCUAACCUGUCUUAAGAUCCAUUUGCCUAUGAUUCUGUUGGCAUCUAGUUUAUGGUUUACAUGUAUCCACAGACCCGAGAGGGAUGAUGAAGCUCUUGAUAUCAGAUGGUACAUAAUUAAUGUUAUCAAAUGGUCACUGCAAAAUUGAGCUAAUGGGUUCUAAAAUGCUUUGAUUUAUAUUUUAGCUUAAAUGUUGCCCUGGCUGCUUCAAACCACGUAUUCAGUAAUCUGGUUUGCUGCCUCUGAACCUGAACGAACAGCAUGCUAAUAUUCUCGUCUUAACAGUAUCAGUACUUUUUAUGUUUGGUGCACAGAUUCAUGUUGAAGUCAUCCCUCUUUUCUAAUGAUACAACAAUUGUCUUAACCCUAUUGCAAUAUCUGCUGCUCAUGCAUUACAUACUGUUUUUAAUACUUCCAUGGACGCCUGCCAUUUCGCUAAUCGUAGCAUGCAGCAUUACUAGCCCUUUUAUCAUAGGAAAAUAGUGGAGUGACUUGUGAAUUUUGUGAUGAAUCGCUGUUUCAUUGGCAUCUUGUCUGGCACUUCGACUCGAUCCCCUGCUUAUUCGGCUUUGGGGAGGAGUUCCCUUAACUUCUGCUGCCGGUAUUGCUUUCUCCUUUGCGUUUCCUUGGUUUUGUUAUGAUAGUGUGCUGUUCCUUUUCGAGACUAGGGUAACACAUCACCAUUGGCAACGUCUCGAGUCUCUUGGCUAGAUGGCAGCGGGCAGUGCCAGGUGAGUGUAUUUAUUACUCCUGGCCCUUCACUUGUGCUGUGUGAUGUUUGACUGAACUAGAAUGGGCUUGCUUGUUUACUGAUUCUUAUACCUUGAGUUGAGUAUCACGUACACGAAGCUGACUGCUGCUGCUUCUUUUUAUUCAGGAGUUCAGGGUGUAUUUCUGAGGGGGUCGUAUUACGUACUUCUGAUUGAGUUGAGUUUCUUCUGCUGUAUUAUUGAUGUAACUUCAAGUCCCUGCUUGAGAUGUAUGUUUGUAGAACUUUUGAUUGAUCAUUUACAUCCAAGUAUGAUUAAACUUUACAAAGUUCUGUAAUGGCAUGGAAUUAGCUUGUUACAAGGAUAUAAAUCAAAAAAUCAUGUAAGUAUCAUCAUAAAUAAGAAACAUGUUAUAUAGAUGGUACAUUCCUAAAUCUAGUAGACCGACGAACGCCCCAUCUUAUAGCUAAUACUUCACCCAAGGUGCUCAAAACCCUCAUGAAUUCACCCCAACAAGAAGUCAAAUAGGGAAUUCCGUUAAACAAGAUGGCAUAUCGUUGAAAGAAAUCCAUCUCACAAACCGCAGUAGAAACCUUUUGUACUUAGUGCGAGUCUAAGCUUUUCCUCUCAUUGCCACUGAGAGCUUGUCAUAAAUCAGGGACCUACUCCAUCUACUGACCUAUCAUCUAACCAAGUCAACGAAUAUUCUAACGAAUAUGAUAACAAUAUGCAUCUAUAAAUUAUUCAAUAAAACAUCAUUGAUCUGAUCAUAAAUUAAUUAUUCAUCACAUAGUAAUAAGGAUUUUUAAGUGGGAAAUCACUUGUGGAAAAAAUCCACUCAUGUGAUAUUUGUAUUGAAGGAUGGAGAGACGAUAUGCUAGAUAACAGCAACUACGAACGGGGGGAGCAUUGGAGGAUUAUAUUUUAGUAAGAUGGAGGUGAAUUGCCCCUCAGCUAGUGUAAAUGCGCAGGGUUGCAGAUGAGUUUCACCUCGGAUCACGAAAUGGCGACGGUGGGAAAUUGGAAGAUAAAUCAUGGAAGGGUUUUAGUGUUGGGAAUCGUUGCAUGGAAAACAAAUUUUUUUCUACGCACACGCAAUGACCUAUCCAUGGAGAUGCAUAGCAACGAGGAGGAGAGUAUGUCUACGUACCCUCAUAGACCGUAAGCGGAAGCGUUUGACAACGCGGUUGAUGUAGUCGAACUUUCUUCACAAUCCAACCGAUCGAGUACCGAACGUACGGCACCUCCGCGUUCAGCACACGUUCAGCUCGGUGACGUCCGCGCCUUCUUGAUCCAGCAAGAUGGCGAGGUAGUGGAUGAGUUCCGGCAGCACGACGGCGUGGUGACGGUGAUGGUGAAGUUAUCUCCGCAGGGCUUCGCACUACGAAAAUAUGACCGGGGGUGUAAACGGUGGAGGAGGGCGCUACACACGGCUAGGCAAUUGUCUGUUGUGUGCUAGGCGCCCCCCUCCCACAUAUACAUAGGUGGGAGGGAGGGAGGAGCAGCCAAAGGAGGCGCCCAAGUAGGAGGAAUCCUACUUGGGGUCCCUCCCAAGCCGCCCCCUGCCAUAUAUAAACAAGGGGGAAGGAAAGAGGGGGGGGGGGAGGGAAGGAAGGGGGAGUCCUACUCCACACUUUUCUUUCCCUCCCCUCUUUCCUUCUCCUACUCAUACAGCCGGCCUCUAUAGGGGCGCACCAGCCCCUUGUGGGUUGGUGUGUUCCCUCACUGGGCCCAUAAGGCCCAUAUCUUUGCCGGGGGUGCCCGAAACUCCUUUUCGGUGACUCGAUAAGUACCCGGUACCCCCGAAACACUUCCGGUGUCCGAAUACCACGUUCUAUAUAUCAAUCUUUACCUCUCGACCAUUUAGAGACUCCUCGUCCGGGACUCCGAACAACAUUCGGUCACCAAAACAUAUAACUCAUAUAAUACUAUAUCGUCAACGAACGUUAAGCGUGCGGACCCUACGGGUUCGAGAACUAUGUAGACAUGACCGAGACACCUCUCUGGUCAAUAACCAGUAGCGGAACCUGGAUGCCCAUAUUGGCUCCUACAUAUUCUACGUAGAUCUUUAUCGGUCAAACCGUUAUGACAACAUGCGUAAUUCCCUUUGUCUAUCGGUAUGUUACUUGCCCGAGAUUCGAUCGUCGGUAUCUUCAUACCUAGUUCAAUCUCGUUACCGGCAAGUCUCUUUACUCGUUCCGUAAUACAUCACCUCGCGACUAACUCCUUAGUCAUUUGCUUGCAAGCUUAUGAUGUGUAUUACCGAGAGGGCCGAGAGAUACCUCUCCGAUACUCGGAGUGACAAAUCCUAAUCUCGAUCUAUGCUAACUCAACAAACACCUUCAGAGAUACCAGUAGAGCAUCUUUAUGAUAUCCCAAUUACGUUGUGACGUUUGAUAGCACACAAGGUAUUCCUCCGGUAUCCGGGAGUUGCAUAUGUUGGAGAUCGUUGCAGAAAUUAAAAAAAUUUCUACGCAUCACCAAGAACAAUCUAUGGAGUCUUCUAGCAACGAGAGGGAAAAGAGUGCAUCUACAUACCCUUGUAGAUCGCGCGCGGAAGCGUUCAAGAGAACGAGGUUGAUGGAGUCGUACUCGUCGUGAUCCAAAUCACCGAUGAUCCUAGCGCCGAACGGACGGCACCUCCGCGUUCAACACACGUACGGAGCGGGGACGUCUCCUCCUUCUUGAUCCAGCAAAGGGGAAGGAGAAGUUGAUGGAGAUCCAGCAGCACGACGGCGUGGUGGUGGAAGUAGCGGGAUCCCGGCAGGGCUUCGCCAAGCGCAAGCGGGGAGGAAGAGGUGUCACGGGAGGGAGGGAGGCGCCAGGGCUUGGGGUGCUGCUCCCAUGCGCCUCCCCACUAUAUAUAGGGGUGGAGUGUUGGGAAUCGUAGCAUAAUUUUAAAAUUUUCCUACGCUCACCAAGAUGCAUCUAUGGAGUCUACUAGCAACGAGGGGAAGGGAGUGCAUCUACAUACCGUUGUAGAUCGCGAGCGGAAGCGUUCCAAUGAACGUGGAUGACGGAGUCGUACUCGCCGUGAUCCAAAUCACCGAUGACCGAGUGCCGAACGUACGGCACCUCCGCGUUCAACACACGUACGGUGCAGCGACGUCUCCUCCUUUCUUGAUCCAGCAAGGGGGGAGGAGAGGUUGAUGGAGAUCCAACAGCACGACGGCGUGGUGGUGGAUGUAGCGGCUCUCUGGCAGGGCUUCGCCGAGCUUCUGCGCGCGAGAGAGAGGUGUUGCAGGGGAGGAGGGAGGCGCCAAAGGCUGUAGUGUCCUGCCCUCCCUCCCCCCCUUUAUAUAGGCCCCCUGGGGGGUGCGCAGCCCUAGGAGAUGGGAUCUCCAAGGGGGGGCGGCGGCCAAAGGGGGGAAGGGGUUGCCUUGCCCCCCAAGGCAAGGGGGAACUCCCCCCUAGGGUUCCCAACCCUAGGCGCAUGGGGGGGGAGGCCCAAGGAGGCGCCCCAGCCCACUAGGGGCUGGUUCCCCUCCACUUUCAGCCCACGGGGCCCUCCGGGACAGGUGGCCCCACCCGGUGGACCCCCGGGACCCUUCCGGUGGUCCCGGUACAAUACCGAUAACCCCCGAAACUUUCCCGGUGGCCGAAACUGGACUUCCUAUAUAUAAUUCUUCACCCCCGGACCAUUCCGGAACCUCUCGUGACGUCCGGGAUCUCAUCCGGGACUCCGAACAACUUUCGGGUUUCCGCAUACAUAUAUCUCUACAACCCUAGCGUCACCGGACCUUAAGUGUGUAGACCCUACGGGUUCGGGAGACAUGCAGACAUGACCGAGACGCCUCUCCGGUCAAUAACCAACAGCGGGAUCUGGAUACCCAUGUUGGCUCCCACAUGUUCCACGAUGAUAUCAUCGGGUGAACCACGGUGUCGAGGAUUCAAUCAAUCCGUAUGCAAUUCCCUUUGUCAAUCGGUAUGUUACUUGCCCGAGAUUCGAUCGUCGGUAUCCCAAUACCUUGUUCAAUCUCGUUACCGGCAAGUCUCUUUACUCGUACCGCAAUGCAUGAUCCCGUGACCAACGCCUUAGUCACAUUGAGCUCAUUAUGAUGAUGCAUUACCGAGUGGGCCCAGAGAUACCUCUCCGUCACACGGAGUGACAAAUCCCAGUCUCGAUCCGUGCCAACCCAACAGACACUUUCGGAGAUACCCGUAAUGCACCUUUAUAGUCACCCAGUUACGUUGUGACGUUUGGCACACCCAAAGCACUCCUACGGUAUCCGGGAGUUGCACGAUCUCAUGGUCUAAGGAAAAGAUACUUGACAUUGGAAAAGCUCUAGCAAACGAAACUACACGAUCUUUUAUGCUAUGCUUAGGUUGGGUCUUGUCCAUCACAUCAUUCUCCUAAUGAUGUGAUCCCGUUAUCAGUGACAUCCUAUGUCCAUAGUCAGGAAACCAUGACUAUCUAUUGAUCAACGAGCUAGUCAACUAGAGGCUUACUAGGGACAGUGUGUGGUCUAUGUAUUCACACAUGUAUUACGAUUUCCGGACAAUACAAUUAUAGCAUGAAUAAUAGACUAUUAUCAUGAACACAGAAAUACAAUAAUAACCAUUUAUUAUUGCCUCUAGGGCAUAUUUCCAACAGUCUCCCACUUGCACUAGAGUCAAUAAUCUAGUUACAUUGUGAUGAAUCGAACACCCAUUGCGUCCUGGUGUUGAUCAUGUUUUGCCCUAGGGAGAGGUUUAGUCAACGGAUCUGCUACAUUCAGGUCCGUGUGUACUUUACAAAUAUCUAUAUCUCCAUUUUGAACACUUUCACGAAUGGAGUUGAAGCGACGCUUGAUAUGCCUGGUCUUCCUGUGAAACCUGGGCUCCUUCGCAAGGGCAAUAGCUCCAGUGUUGUCACAGAAGAGAGUCAUCGGGCCCGACGCAUUGGGAAUCACCCCUAGGUCGGUAAUGAACUCCUUCAUCCAGACUGCUUCCUGUGCUGCCUCCGAGGCUGCCAUGUAUUCCGCUUCACAUGUAGAUCCCGCCACGACGCUUUGCUUGCAACUGCACCAGCUUACUGCUCCUCUAUUCAAAAUAUACACGUAUCCGGUCUGUGACUUCGAGUCAUCCGGAUCUGUGUCGAAGCUAGCGUCGACGUAACCCUUUACGACGAGCUCUUCGUCACCUCCAUAAACGAGAAACAUAUCCUUAGUCCUCUUCAGGUACUUCAGGAUAUUCUUGACCGCUGUCCAGUGUUCCUUGCCGGGAUUACUUUGGUACCUUCCUACCAAACUUACGGCAAGGUUUACAUCAGGUCUGGUACACAGCAUGGCAUACAUAAUAGACCCUAUGGCCGAGGCAUAGGGGAUGACACUCAUCUCUUCUAUAUCUUCUGCCGUGAUCGGGCAUUGAGCCGUGCUCAAUUGCACACCUUGCAAUACAGGCAAGAACCCCUUCUUGGACUGAUCCAUACUGAACUUCUUCAAUAUCUUGUCAAGGUAUGUACUCUGUGAAAGACCAAUGAGGCGUCUUGAUCUAUCUCUAUAGAUCUUGAUGCCUAAUAUAUAAGCAGCUUCUCCAAGGUCCUUCAUUGAAAAACAUUUAUUCAAAUAGGCCUUUAUACUUUCCAAGAAUUCUAUAUCAUUUCCCAUCAAUAAUAUGUCAUCCACAUAUAAUAUGAGAAAUGCUACAGAGCUCCCACUCACUUUCUUGUAAACACAGGCUUCUCCAUAAGUCUGUGUAAAUCCAAACGCUUUGAUCAUCUCAUCAAAGCGAAUGUUCCAACUCCGAGAUGCUUGCACCAGCCCAUAGAUUGAGCGCUGGAGCUUGCAUACUUUGUUAGCAUUCUUAGGAUCGACAAAACCUUCCGGCUGCAUCAUAUACAACUCUUCCUUAAGGAAGCCGUUAAGGAAUGCCGUUUUGACGUCCAUCUGCCAUAUCUCAUAAUCAUAGUAUGCGGCAAUUGCUAACAUGAUUCGGACGGACUUCAGCUUCGCUACGGGUGAGAAAGUCUCAUCGUAGUCAGCCCCUUGAACUUGUCGAUAACCCUUAGCGACAAGUCGAGCUUUGUAGAUGGUCACAUUACCAUCUGCGUCCGUCUUCUUAAAGAUCCAUUUGUUUUCUAUGGCUCGCCGCUCAUCGGGCAAGUCACUCAAAGUCCAUACUUUGUUUUCAUACAUGGAUUCUAUCUCGGAUUUCAUGGCUUCUAGCCAUUUGUCGGAAUCUGGGCCCGCCAUCGCUUCUUCAUAGUUCGAAGGUUCACCGUUGUCUAACAACAUGAUUUCCAAGACAGGGUUGCCGUACCACUCUGGUGCGGAACGUGUCCUUGUGGACCUACGAAGUUCAGUAACUUGAUCUGAAGUUUCAUGAUCAUCAUCAUUAACUUCCUCCCCAGUCGGUGUAGGCACCACAGGAACAUUUUCCCGCGCUGCGCUACUUUCCGGUUCGGAAGGGGUGACUAUCACCUCAUCAAGUUCCACUUUCCUCCCACUCAAUUCUUUCGAGAGAAACUCCUUCUCUAGAAAGGACCCGUUCUUGGCAACGAAGAUCUUGCCUUCGGAUUUGAGGUAGAAGGUAUACCCAAUAGUUUCCUUAGGGUAUCCUAUGAAGACGCAUUUUUCCGAUUUGGGUUCGAGCUUUUCAGGUUGAAGUUUCUUGACAUAAGCAUCGCAUCCCCAAACUUUUAGAAACGACAGCUUAGGUUUCUUCCCAAACCAUAAUUCAUACGGUGUCGUCUCAACGGAUUUAGAUGGUGCCCUAUUUAAAGUGAAUGCGGCAGUCUCUAAAGCAUAACCCCAAAAUGAGAGCGGUAAAUCGGUAAGAGACAUCAUAGAUCGCACCAUAUCCAAUAGAGUGCGAUUACGACGUUCGGACACACCAUUUCUCUGAGGUGUUCCAGGCGGCGUGAGUUGUGAAACUAUUCCACAUUUCCUUAAGUGUGUACCAAAUUCGUGACUUAAAUAUUCUCCACCACGAUCUGAUCGUAAGAAUUUUAUUUUCCUGUCACGUUGAUUCUCGACUUCACUCUGAAAUUCCUUGAACUUUUCAAAGGUUUCAGACUUGUGUUUCAUUAGGUAGACAUACCCAUAUCUACUCAAAUCAUCAGUGAGAGUGAGAACAUAACGAUAUCCUCCGCGAGCCUCAACACUCAUUGGACCGCACACAUCGGUAUGCAUGAUUUCCAAUAAGUUGGUUGCUCGCUCCAUUGUUCCGGAGAACGGAGUCUUGGUCAUCUUACCCAUGAGGCAUGGUUCGCACGUGUCAAAUGAUUCGUAAUCAAGAGACUCCAAAAGUCCAUCUGCAUGGAGCUUCUUCAUGCGUUUGACACCAAUGUGACCAAGGCGGCAGUGCCACAAGUAUGUGGGACUAUCGUUAUCAACUUUACAUCUUUUGGUAUUCACACUAUGAACAUGUGUAACAUCACGUUCGAGAUUCAUCAAAAAUAAACCAUUGACCAGCGGGGCAUGACCAUAAAACAUAUCUCUCAAAUAAAUAGAACAACCAUUAUUCUCAGAUUUAAAUGAGUAGCCAUCUCGAAUUAAACGAGAUCCAGAUACAAUGUUCAUGCUCAAAGCUGGCACUAAAUAACAAUUAUUGAGGUUUAUAACUAAUCCCGUGGGUAGAUGCAGAGGUAGCGUGCCGACGCGAUCACAUCGACCUUGGAACCAUUCCCGACGCGCAUCGUCACCUCGUCUUUUGCCAGUCUCCGUUUAUUCCGUAGUUCCUGAUUUGAGUUACAAAUAUGAGCAACCGCACCGGUAUCAAAUACCCAGGAGCUACUACGAGUACUGGUAAGGUACACAUCAAUUACUUGUAUAUCACAUAUACCUUGGGUGUUGCCGGCCUUCUUCUUGUCCGCUAAAUAUUUGGGGCAGUUCCGCUUCCAGUGACCACUUCCCUUGCAAUAAAAGCACUCAGUCUCGGGCUUGGGUCCAUUCUUUGACUUCUUCCCGGUAACUGGCUUACCGGGCGCGGCAACUCCCUUGCCGUCCUUCUUGAAGUUCUUCUUACCCUUGCCCUUUUUGAACUUAGUGGUUUUAUUCACCAUCAACACUUGAUGUUCUUUGCUGAUCUCUACCUCAGCUGAUUUCAGCAUUGAAUAUACCUCGGGAAUGGUCUUUUCCAUCCCCUGCAUAUUGUAGUUCAUCACAAAGCUCUUGUAGCUUGGUGGAAGCGACUGGAGGAUUCUGUCAAUGACCGCGUCAUCCGGGAGAUUAACUCCCAGCUGAGACAAGCGGUUGUGCAACCCAGACAUUCUGAGUAUGUGCUCACUAACAGAACUGUUCUCCUCCAUUUUACAGCUGAAGAACUUGUCGGAGACAUCAUAUCUCUCGACCCGGGCAUGAGCUUGAAAAACCAGUUUCAGCUCCUCGAACAUCUCAUAUGCUCCAUGUUUCUCAAAACGCUUUUGGAGACCCGGUUCUAAGCUGUAAAGCAUGCCGCACUGAACGAGGGAGUAAUCAUCAGCACGCUGCUGCCAAGCGUUCAUAACGUCUUGGUUCUCAGGGAUUGGUGCUUCACCUAGCGGUGCUUCUAAGACAUAAUCUUUCUUGGCUGCUAUGAGGAUGAUCCUCAGGUUCCGGACCCAGUCCGUGUAGUUGCUGCCAUCAUCUUUCAGCUUGGUUUUCUCUAGGAACGCGUUGAAAUUGAGGACAACGUGGGCCAUUUGAUCUACAAUACAUAAUGUAAAGAUUUUAGACUAAGUUCAUGAUAAUAAAGUUCAUAUAAUCAAAUUAUUUAAUGAACUCCCACUCAGAUAGACAUCCCUCUAGUCAUCUAAGUGAAACAUGAUCCGAGUUCAACUAGGCCGUGUCCGAUCAUCACGUGAGACGGACUAGUCAAGCUCGGUGAACAUCUCCAUGUUGAUCGUAUCUUUUAUACGACUCAUGCUCGACCUUUUGGUCCUCCGUGUUCCGAGGCCAUGUCUGUACAUGCUAGGCUCGUCAAGUAAACCUAAGUGUAUUGCGUGUGUUCCGAGGCCAUGUCUGUACAUGCUAGGCUCGUCAACACCCAUUGUAUUCGAACGUGAGAAUCUAUCACACCCGAUCAUCACGUGGUGCUUCGAAACGACGAACCUUCGCAACGGUGCACAGUUAGGGUGAACACUUUCUUGAAAUUAUUAUAAGGGAUCAUCCUACUUGCUACCGUCGUUCUAAGCAAAUAAGAUGCAAAAACAUGAUAAACAUCACAUGCAAUCAAAUAGUGACAUGAUAUGGCCAAUAUCAUCAUGCUCCUUUGAUCUCCAUCUUCGGGGCACCAUGAUCAUCUUCGUCACCGGCAUGACACCAUGAUCUCCAUCAUCAUGAUCUCCAUCAUUGUGUCUUCAUGAAGUCGUCACGCCAACGAUUACUUCUAUUUGUAUGGCUAACGCGUUUAGCAACAAAGUAAAGUAAAUUACAUGGCGUUAUUCAAUGACACGCAGGUCAUGCAAAAUAAUAAAGACAACUCCUAUGGCUCCUGCCGGUUGUCAUACUCAUCGACAUGCAAGUCGUGAUUCCUAUUACAAGAAUAUGAUCAAUCUCAUACAUCACAUAUAUCAUUCAUCACAUCUUCUGGCCAUAUCAUAUCACAUAUAUCACUUGCUGCAAAAACAAGUUAGACGUCCUCUAAUUGUUGUUGCAAGUUUUUACGUGGUUUGUAGGUUUCUACCAAGAACGUUUUCUUACCUACAUAUGACCACAACGUGAUUUGCCAAUUUCUAUUUACCCUUCAUAAGGACCCUUUUCAUCGAAUCCGUUCUGACUAAAGUAGGAGAGACAGACACCCGCUAGCCACCUUAUGCAACUAGUGCAUGUCAAUCGGUGGAACCAGUCUCACGUAAGCAUACGUGUAAGGUCGGUCCGGGCCGCUUCAUCCUACAAUACCGCCGAAACAAGAAACGACUAGUAGCGGCAAGAAGAAUUGGCAACAUCAACGCCCACAACUUCUUUGUGUUCUUACUCGUGCAUAGUAACUACGCAUAGGCCUGGCUCAUGAUGCCACUGUUGGGAAUCGUAGCAUAAUUUUAAAAUUUUCCUACGCUCACCAAGAUGCAUCUAUGGAGUCUACUAGCAACGAGGGGAAGGGAGUGCAUCUACAUACCGUUGUAGAUCCCGAGCGGAAGCGUUCCAAUGAACGUGGAUGACGGAGUCGUACUCGCCGUGAUCCAAAUCACCGAUGACCGAGUGCCGAACGUACGGCACCUCCGCGUUCAAUACACGUACGGUGCAGCGAUGUCUCCUCCUUUCUUGAUCCAGCAAGGGGGGAGGAGAGGUUGAUGGAGAUCCAACAGCACGACGGCGUGGUGGUGGAUGUAGCGGCUCUCUGGCAGGGCUUCGCCGAGCUUCUGCGCGAGAGAGAGAGAGGUGUUGCAGGGGAGGAGGGAGGCGCCAAAGGCUGUAGUGUCCUGCCCUCCCUCCCCCCCUUUAUAUAGGCUCCCCUGGGGGGUGCGCAGCCCUAGGAGAUGGGAUCUCCAAGGGGGGGGGCGGCGGCCAAGGGGGGGAAGGGGUUGCCUUGCCCCCCAAGGAAAGGGGGAACUCCCCCCUAGGGUUCCCAACCCUAGGCGCAUGGGGGGGAGGCCCAAGGAGGCGCCCCAGCCCACUAGGGGCUGGUUCCCCUCCACUUUCAGCCCAUGGGGCCAUUCGGGACAGGUGGCCCCACCCGGUGGACCCCCGGGACCCUUCCGGUGGUCCCGGUACAAUACCGAUAACCCCCGAAACUUUCCCGGUGGCCGAAACUGGACUUCCUAUAUAUAAUUCUUCACCCCCGGACCAUUCCAGAACCUCUCGUGACGUCCGGGAUCUCAUCCGGGACUCCGAACAACUUUCGGGUUUCCGCAUACAUAUAUCUCUACAACCCUAGCGUCACCGGACCUUAAGUGUGUAGACCCUACGGGUUCGGGAGACAUGCAGACAUGACCGAGACGCCUCUCCGGUCAAUAACCAACAGCGGGAUCUGGAUACCCAUGUUGGCUCCCACAUGUUCCACAAUGAUAUCAUCGGGUGAACCACGGUGUCGAGGAUUCAAUCAAUCCGUAUGCAAUUCCCUUUGUCAAUCGGUAUGUUACUUGCCCGAGAUUCGAUCGUCGGUAUCCCAAUACCUUGUUCAAUCUCGUUACCGGCAAGUCUCUUUACUCGUACCGCAAUGCAUGAUCCCGUGACCAACGCCUUAGUCACAUUGAGCUCAUUAUGAUGAUGCAUUACCGAGUGGGCCCAGAGAUACCUCUCCAUCACACGGAGUGACAAAUCCCAGUCUCGAUCCAUGCCAACCCAACAGACACUUUCGGAGAUACCCGUAAUGCACCUUUAUAGUCACCCAGUUACGUUAUGACGUUUGGCACACCCAAAGCACUCCUACGGUAUCCGGGAGUUGCACGAUCUCAUGGUCUAAGGAAAAGAUACUUGACAUUGGAAAAGCUCUAGCAAACGAAACUACACGAUCUUUUAUGCUAUGCUUAGGUUGGGUCUUGUCCAUCACAUCAUUCUCCUAAUGAUGUGAUCCCGUUAUCAGUGACAUCCUAUGUCCAUAGUCAGGAAACCAUGACUAUCUGUUGAUCAACGAGCUAGUCAACUAGAGGCUUACUAGGGACAGUGUGUGGUCUAUGUAUUCACACAUGUAUUACGAUUUCCGGACAAUACAAUUAUAGCAUGAAUAAUAGACUAUUAUCAUGAACACAGAAAUACAAUAAUAACCAUUUAUUAUUGCCUCUAGGGCAUAUUUCCAACAUGGAGGGGGCUGGUUUCUUGCCCUCCAAGUCCAUUGGGGCGUUGGCAAAGGUGGGGGAAAGAAAUCCCAUCAUUUCCCUUCCGCACCGAUUGUUAUCCCCCUUUUUUAGGGAUCUUGAUCUUAUCCCUUCGGGAUAUGAUCUUAUUCCUUCUAAGGUAGGAUCUUGGUGCGCCUUGACCAGGGGUGUGGGGCCUUGCCCCCACUACCCACGUUCAUGUGGGUCCCCCCAUGCAGGUGGGCCCCACUUCGGAACCUUCUAGAUCCUUCCCGGUACAAUACGGAAAGAUCCUGAACAUUUUCCGGUGGCCAAAAUAGGACUUCCCAUAUAUAAAUCUUUACCUCCGGACCAUUCCGGAACUCCUCGUGAUGUCCGGGAUCUCAUCCGGGACUCCGAACGACUUUCGGAUUUCCGCAUACUAAUAUCUCUACAACCCUAGCGUCACCGAACCUUAAGUGUGUAGACCCUAUGGGUUCGGGAGACAUGCAGACAUGACCGAGACGACUCUCCGGUCAAUAACCAACAGCGGGAUCUGGAUACCCAUGUUGGCUCCCACAUGUUCCAUGAUGAUCUCAUCAGAUGAACCACGAUGUCGAGGAUUCAAUCAAUCCCGUAUACAAUUCCCUUUGUCAAUCGGUACGUUACUUGCCCGAGAUUCGAUCGUCGGUAUCCCAAUACCUUGUUCAAUCUCGUUACCGGCAAGUCACUUUACUCGUACCGUAAUGCAUGAUCCCGUGACCAAACACUUGGUCACAUUGAGCUCAUUAUGAUGAUGCAUUACUGAGUGGGCCCAGAGAUACCUCUCUGUCAUACGGAGUGACAAAUCCCAGUCUCGAUUCAUGCCAACCCAACAGACACUUUCGGAGAUACCUGUAGUGCACCUUUACAGCCACCCAGUUACGUUGUGAUGUUUGGUACACCCAAAGCAUUCCUACGGUAUCCGGGAGUUGCACAAUCUCAUGGUCUAAGGAAAUGAUACUUGACAUUAGAAAAGCUCUAGCAAACGAACUACACGGUCUUGUGCUAUGCUUAGGAUUGGGUCUUGUCCAUCACAUCAUUCUCCUAAUGAUGUGAUCCCGUUAGCAAUGACAUCCAAUGUCCAUGGUCAGAAAACCAUAACCAUCUAUUGAUCAACGAGCUAGUCAACUAGAGGCUUCCUAGGGACAUGUUGUGGUCUAUGUAUUCACACAUGUAUUACGGUUUCCAAUUAAUACAAUUAUAGCAUGAACAACAGACAAUUAUCAUGAACAAGGAAAUACAAUAAUAACCAUUUUAUUAUUGCCUCUAGGGCAUAUUUCCAACAGCAUAAUCUCAUAGUCGAAGGAAUAAGUAUUUGAUAUGUGAUACGUCUCCAACGUAUCUAUAAUUUUUGAUUGUUCCAUACUGUUUUAUUACCAAUCUUGGAUGUUUUAUAAUCAUUUCAUAGUCAUUUUAUAUCAUUUUUUGGUACUAACCUAUUGACAUAGUGCCAAGUGCCAGUUGCUAUUUUUCCAUGUUUUUUACAUCACAGGAAAUCAAUAUCAGACGAAGUCCAAAUGCAACGAAACUUGACGAUGAUUUUUUAUGGACCAAAAGGAAGAAGUUGGGCCCUAGUUGCACCUGGGGGGAGUCCCGAGGAGGGGCAACCCACCAGGGCGCGCCAGGAGGCCCAGGCACGCCCUGGUGGGUUGUGCCCACCUCGGGUGCCCCCCGGACCGCCUCUUUGCUCUAUAAAUACCGCAAUAUUCCAGAAACCCCAAGGGAGUCGACGAAAUAUUCAUCCAGCCGCCGCAGAGUCUAGACACCAUCUCGGAUGGGGUUCACCACCUCCAUUGGUGCCUCUCCGAUGAUGCGUGAGUAGUUCUUUGUAGACCUUCGGGUCCGUAGUUAGUAGCUAGAUGGCUUUCUCUCUCUUGCUGAAUUCUCAAUACAAUGGUCUCUUGGAGGUCCAUAUGAUGUAACUCUUUUUGCGAUGUGUUUGUUGGGAUCUGAUGAACUUCGAGUUUAUGAUCAGUUAUAUCUUUUUAUAUCCAUAAAAGUUAUUUGAGUUUCUUUGAUCUCUUAUAUGCAUGAUCUCUUAUAGCCUUGUAUUUCUUCUCCGAUAUUUGGGUUUUGUUUGGCCAACUUGAUCUAUUUAUCUGUCAAUGGGAAGAGGUGCCUGGUAGUGGUUUCAAUCUUACGGUGCUUGAUCCCAAUGACAGAAAGGGAACCGACACGUAUGUAUCAUUGCUACUAAGGAUAAAUAGAUAAACGGAUCUUGUCUGAAGGAAAUAUGCCCUAGAGGCAAUAAUAAAGUUGUUAUUUAUAUUUCCUUAUAUCAUGAUAAAUGUUUAUUAUUCAUGCUAGAAUUGUAUUAACCGAAAACUUAGUACAUGUGUGAAUACAUAAACAAACAGAGUGUCCCUAGUAUGCCUCUACUUGACUAGCUUGUUUAUCAAAGAUGGUUAUGUUUCCUAGCCAUAGACAUGUAUUGUCAUUUGAUGAACAUGAUCACAUCAUUAGAGAAUGAUGUGAUGGACAAGACCCAUCUGUUAGCUUAGCAUUAUGAUCAUUGAGUUUUAUUGCUAUUGCUUUCUUCAUGACUUAUACAUGUUCCUCAGACUAUGAGAUUAUGCAACUCCCGAAUACCGGAGGAACACCUUGUGUGCUAUCAAACGUCACAACGUAACUGGGUAGAUGCUUUACAAGUGUCUCCGAAGGUGUUUGUUGGGUUGGCAUAGAUCGAGAUUAGGAUUUGUCACUCCGUGUAUCGGAGAGGUAUCUCUGGGCCCUCUCGGCAAUGCACAUCACUAUAAGCCUUGCAAGUAAUGUGACUAAUGAGUUAGUUGCGGGAUGAUGCAUUAUGGAACGAGUAAAGAGACUUGCCGGUAACGAGAUUGAACUAGGUAUGGUGAUACUGACGAUCGAAUCUCGGGCAAGUAACAUACCGAUGACAAAGGGAACAACGUAUGUUGUUAUGCGGUUUGACCGAUAAAGAUCUUCGUAGAAUAUGUAGGAGCCAAUAUGAGCAUCUAGGUUCCGCUAUUGGUUAUUGACUGGAGAUGUGUCUCGGUCAUGUCUACAUAGUUCUUGAACCCGUAGGGUCCGCACGCUUAACGUUCGAUUACGAUUUGUAUUAUGAGUUAUGUGAUUUGAUGACCGAAGUUUGUUCGGAGUCCCGUAUGAGAUCACGGGCAUGACGAGGAGUCUCGAAAUAGUCGAGACGUAAAGAUCGAUAUAUUAGAAGGUACAUUCGGACAUCGGAAAGGUUCUGAGUGGUUCGGGUAUUUUUCGGAGUACCGGAGAGUUACGGGAAUUCGCCGGGGGAAGUAUUGGGCCUUCAUGGGCCUUAGUGGAAAGGAGAGAAGGGCCACAAGUGGAGGCCGCGCGCCCCCCAUGGGCUGGUCCGAAUUGGACUAGGGAGGGGGUGGUGCCCCCCUCUUUCCUUCUCCCUCUCCUACUCCUUCCCUCUCUCCCCUCUUGGAAAAGGAAGGGGACUCCAACUAGGAUUGGGAAUCCUAGUUGGACUACCCCUAUAGGCGCGCCCCUCCUAGACCGGCCUCCUCUUCCCCCCUCCUUUAUAUACGUGGCCAGGGGGCACCCCAUAGACACACAAGUUGAUCUUUUAGCCGUGUGCGGUGCCCCCCUCCACCGUUACACACCUCAGUCAUAUCGUCGUAGUGCUUAGGCGAAGCUCUGCGCUGGUAACUUCAUCAUCACCGUCACCACGCCGUCGUGCUGAUGAAACUCUCCCUCGGCCUCAACUGGAUCUAGAGUUCGAGGGACGUCACUGAGCUGAACGUGUGCAGAUCGCGGAGGUGCCGUACAUUCGGUACUUGGAUCGGUUGGAUCGCGAAAACGUUCGACUACAUCAACCGCGUUACUAAACGCUUCCGCUUUCGGUCUACGAGGGUACGUGGAUACACUCUCCCCGCUAUCCCCAUAAACAAUACCUUGACAAAUGUGUGGAGUAAUAAUAGUAGAUGCAGGCAGGAGUCGGUCUACUAAUCUUGGAUGUGAUGCCUAUGUAAUGAUCAUUGCCUGGAUAUCGUCAUAAUUAUUUGAAGUUCUAUCAAUUGCCCAACAGUAAUUUGUUUACCCACCGUUUGCUAUUUUUCUUGAGAGAAGCCACUAGUGAAACCUACGGCUCCCGGGUCUUCUUCCUCAUAUAUUUUCUUGCGAUCUAUUUUUCCUUUGCAUUUUUAUUCAGAUCUAUUAAACAAAAAAUACAGAAAUACUUUGCUGCACUUUAUUUUAUUUGCGAUCUAUUAUUUCAAUCUACUACAAUUUUCUGGCAUCAUUACCAGAAAGGGAUUGACAACCCCUUUAACAAGUCGGGUUGGGAGGUGUUGUUAUUUGUGUGCAGGUGUUGUUUACGUUGUGUUGCUUGGUUCUCCUACUGGUUCGAUAACCUUGGUUUCUUCACUGAGGGAAAUACCUACCGUCGCUGUGCUGCAUCAUCCCUUCCUCUUUAGGGAAAUACCGACGUAGUCCUAGCAGACAAGAGCUUUUCUGGCGCUAUAGUCAGAGAGCGAUCAGCAUGAAGAAAGCAAUAGCAAUAAACUGAAUGAUCAUUAUGCUAAGCUAACGGGUGGGUCUUGUCAAUCACAUCAUUCUCCUAAUGAUGUGAUCCCGUUAUCAAAUGACAACACAUGUCCAUGGUUAGGAAACCUUAACCAUCUUUGAUCAACGAGCUAGUCUAGUAGAGGCUUACUAGGGACACGGUAUUUGUUUAUGUAUUCACACAUGUAUUUAAGUUUUCGAUCAAUACAAUUCUAGCAUGAAUAAUAAACCUUUAUCGUGAAUAAGGAAAUAUAAAAUAACAACUUUAUUAUUGCCUCUAGGGCAUAUUUCCUUCAGUCUCCCACUUGCACUAGAGUCAAUAAUCUAGUUCACAUCGCCAUGUGAUUUAACACUAAUAGUUCACAUCGUCAUGUGAUUAACACCCAUAGUUCAGAUCGCCAUGUGACCAACACCCAAAGGGUUUACUAGAGUCAAUAAUCUAGUACACAUAGCCAUGUGAUUAACACCCAAAGAGUACUAAGGUGUGAUCAUGUUUUGCUUGUGAGAGAAUUUUAGUCAAUGGGUCUGUCACAUUCAGAUCCGUAUGUAUAUUUGCAAAUUUCUAUGUCUACAAUGCUCUGCAUGGUGUACUUUAGCUAAUUGCUCCCACUAUCAAUAUGUAUCCAGAUUGAGACUCCGAGUCAUCUAAAUUGGUGUCAAAGCUUGCAUCGGUGUAACCCUUUACGACGAACUCUUUAUCACCUCCAUAACCGAGAAAUAUUUCCUUAGUCCUCUUAGGUAACUAAGGAUAAUUUUUUUGACCAUUGUCCAGUGAUCCACUCCUGGAUCACUAUUGUACCCCCUUGCCAAACUCAUGGCAAGGUACACAAUAGGUCUGGUACACAGCAUGACAUACUUUAUAGAACCUAUGGCUGAGGCAUAGGGAAUGACUUUCGUUCUCUUUCUAUCUUCUGCCGUGGUCAGGUUUUGAGUCUUACUCAACUUCAUACCUUGCAAUGCAUGCAAGAACCCUUUCUUUGACUGAUCCAUUUUGAACUUCUUCAAAACUUUGUCAAGGUAUGUUCUUUGUGAAAGUCCUAUUAAGCGUCUCGAUCUAUCUCUAUAGAUCUUGAUGCCCAAUACAUAAGUAGCUUUACCGAGGUCUUUUAUUAAAAAUUUCUUAUUCAAGUAUCCUUUUAUGCUAUCCAGAAAUUCUAUAUCAUUUCCAAUCAACAAUAUGUCAUCCAUAUAAUAUCAGAAAUGCUAAAGAGCUCCCACUCACUUUCUUGUAAAUACAAGCUUCACCAUAAGUCAGUAUAAAACCAUAUGCUUUGAUUACCUCAUCAAAUCGUAUAUUCCAACUCCGAGAUGCUUGCACCAGUCCAUAGAUGGAUCGCUGGAGCUUGCACACUUUGUUAGCACCUUUAGGAUCGACAAAACCUUAUGGUUGCAUCAUAUACAACUCUUCUUUAAGAAAUCCAUUAAGGAUUGCAGUUUUGACAUCCAUUUGCUAGAUUUCAUAAAAUGCGGCAAUUGCUAACAUGAUUCGGACGGACUUAAACAUCGCUACGGGUGAGAUAGUCUCAUCGUAGUCAACUCCUUGAACUUGUCGAAAACCUUUUUGCGACAAGUCGAGCUUUAAUAGACAGUGAUAUUACCAUUAGCAUAUGUCUUCCUCUUGAAAAUCCAUUUAUUCUCUAUGGCUUGCAGAUCAUCGGGCAAGUCCACCAAAGUCCACACUUUGUUCUCAUACAUGGAUCCUAUCUCAGAUUUCAUGGCCUCAAGCCAUCUGUCGGAAUCUGGGCUCAUCAUAGCUUCUUCAUAUUUCUUAGGUUUGCCUUGGUAUAAUAACAUGACUUCCGGGACAGGAUUACCAUGCCACUCUGGUGUGGAUCGUGUUUCGGUUGACCUGCGAGGUUCUGUAGUAACUUGAUCCGAAGUUUCAUGAUCAUCAUCAUUAGCUUCCUCUCUAGUUGGUGUAGGCAUCAUGGGAACAGUUUUCUCUGAUGUGCUACUUUCCAAUUCAAGAGAAUGUACUAUUACCUCAUCAAGUUCUACUUUCCUCCCACUCACUUCUUUCGAAAGAAACUCUUUCUCUAGAAAGGAUCCAAACUUAGCAAUAAAGAUCUUGCCUUCGGAUUUGAAGUAGAAGGUGUACCCAAUUGUUUCCUUAGGGUAUCUUAUGAAGACGCACUUCUCCGAUUUAGGUUCAAGCUUUAUCAGGCUAAAGCCUUUUGACAUAAGCGUCGCAUCCCUAAACUUUAAGAAACGCCAGCUUAGGUUUCUUGCCAAACCACAAUUCAUACAGUGUUGUCUCAACGGAUUUAGAAGGUGCCCUAUUUAACGUGAAUGCAGCUGUCUCUAAUGCAUAGCCCCAAAAUGAUAGUGGUAAAUCGGUAAGAGACAUCAUAGAUCGCACCAUAUCUAAUAAAAUACGGUUAUGACAUUCGAACACACCAUUACGGUGUGGUGUUCCAGGUGGCGUGAGUUGUGAAACAAUUCCACAUUGUUUUAAAUGAAGGCCAAACUCGUAACUCAAAUAUUCGCCUCCGCGAUCAGAUCGUAGAAACUUUAUUUUCUUGUUAUGAUGAUUCUCAACUUCACUCUGAAAUUCUUUGAACUUCUCAAAUGUUUCAGACUUGUGUUUCAUCAAGUAGAUAUACCCAUAUCUACUCAAAGCAUCUGUGAAUGUGAGAAAAUAACGAUACCUGCCGCGUGCUUCAACACUUAUUGGACCACAUACAUCGAUAUGUAUUAUAUCCAAUAAGUCAUCAGCUCGUUCCAUUGUUCCGGAGAACGGAGUGUUAGUCAUCUUGCCCAUGAGGCAUGGUUCACAAGUAUCAAAUGAUUCAUAAUAAAGUGAUUCCAAAAGUCCAUCCGCAUGGAGUUUCUUCAUGAGCUUUACAACAAUAUGAUCAAAACGGCAGUGCCACAAGUAUGUUGCACUAUCAUUAUCAACUUUGCAUCUUUUGGCAUCAAUAUUAUGAAUAUGUGUAUCACUAUGAUCGAGAUUCAAUAAACCAUUUACAUUGGGUGUAUGACCAUAGAAGAUUUUAUUCAUGUAAACAGAACAACAAUUAUUCUCUGACUUAAAUGAAUAACCAUAUUGCAAUAAACAUGAUCCAAUCAUACUCAUGCUCAACGCAAACACCAAAUAACAUUUAUUUAGGUUCAACACUAAUCCCGAAGGUAGAGGGAGUAUGCGAUGGUGAUCUUUUCAACCUUGGAAUCACUUCCAACGCACAUCAUCACCUCGCCCUUAACUAGUCUCUGUUCAUUUUGCAACUCAUGUUUCGAGUUACAAAUCUUAGCAACUGAACCGGUAUCAAAUACCCAGGGGCUACUAUGAACACUAGUAAAGUACACAUCAAUAACAUGUAUAUCAAAUAUACCUUUGUUCAAUUUGUCAUCCUUCUUAUCCGCCAAGUAUUUGGGGCAGUUCCGCUUCCAGUGACCAUUUCCUUUGGAGUAGAAGCACUCAGUUUCACGCUUGGGUCUAGCUUUGGGCUUCUUCAUGGGAGCGGCAACUUGUUUGCUAUUCUUCUUGAAGUUCCCUUUCUGUCCCUUGCCCUUUUUCUUGAAACUAGUGGGUUUUUAACCAUCAACACUUGAUGCUCUUUCUUCAUUUCUACCUGCGUUGAUUUCAACAUCGCCAAGAGCUUGGGAAUUGUUUUAGUCAUCCCUUGCACAUUAUAGUUCAUCACGAAGUUCUAGUAGCUUGGUGAUAGUGGCUAGAGAACUCUUGUCAAUCACUAUCUUAUCUCGAAGAUUAAGUCCCGCUUGAUUCAAGCGAUUGUAGUACCCAGAUAUUCUGAGCACAUGCUCACCGGCUGAGCUAUUCUCCUCCAUCUUGUAGGCAAAGUACUUGUCAGAGGUCUUAUACCUCUCGACAUGGGCAUGAGUCUAAAAUACCAAUUUCAGCUCUUGGAACAUCUCAUAUGUUGGGGAACGUAGUAAUUUCAAAAUUUUCCUACGCACACGCAAGAUCAUGGUGAUGCAUAGCAACGAGAGGGGAGAGUGUUGUCCACGUACCCUCGUAGACCGACAGCGGAAGCGUUAUCACAACGUGGUUGAUGUAGUCGUACGUCUUCACGAUCCGACCGAUCAAGUACCGAACGCACGGCACCCCCAAGUUCUACCCACGUUCAGCUCGAUGACGUCCCUCGAACUCCGAUCCAGCCGAGUGUUGAGGGAGAGUUUCGUCAGCACGACGGCGUGGUGACGAUGAUGAUGUUCCACCGACGCAGGGCUUCGCCUAAGCUCCGCAACGGUAUUAUCGAGGUGUAAUAUGGUGGAGGGGGGCACCGCACACGGCUAAGAGAUCUCAAGGAUCAAUUGUUGUGUCUCUGGGGUGCCCCCCUGCCCCCGUAUAUAAAGGAGCAAGGGGGAGGCAGCCGGCCAAGGGGAGAGGCGCGCCAUAGGGGGGAGUCCUACUCCCACCGGGAGUAGGACUCCUCCUUUCCUUGUGGGAGUAGGAGAAGGGAAGGGGGAAGGAGAAAGAAGGAAGGGUGCGCCCCCCUUCCCUAGUCCAAUUCGGACCAGAUCAUGGGGAGGGGUGCGGCCACCUUUUGAGGCCUUUCUCUCCUUUCCCGUAUGGCCCAUUAAGGCCCAAUACGAAUUCCCGUAACUCUCCGGUACUCCGAAAAAUACCCGAAUCACUCGGAAGCUUUCCGAAGUCCGAAUAUACUCGUCCAAUAUAUCGAUUUUUACGUCUCGACCAUUUCGAGACUCCUCGUCAUAUCCCCGAUCUCAUCCGGGACUCCGAACUCCUUCGGUACAUCAAAACUCAAUAAAACUGUCAUCGUAACGUUAAGCGUGCGGACCCUACGGGUUCGAGAACUAUGUAGACAUGACCGAGACACGUCUCCGGUCAAUAACCAAUAGCGGGACCUGGAUGCCCAUAUUGGCUCCCACAUAUUCUACGAAGAUCUUUAUCGGUCAGACCGCAUAACAACAUACGUUGUUCCCUUUGUCAUCGGUAUGUUACUUGCCCGAGAUUCGAUCGUCGGUAUCUCGAUACCUAGUUCAAUCUCGUUACUGGCAAGUCUCUUUACUCGUUCCGUAAUACAUCAUCCCGUAACUAACUCAUUAGUCACAAUGCUUGCAAGGCUUAUAGUGAUGUGCAUUACCGAGUAGGCCCAGAGAUACCUCUCCGACAAUUGGAGUGACAAAUCCUAAUCUCGAAAUACGCCAACCCAACAAGUACCUUUGAAGACACCUGUAGAGCACCUUUAUAAUCACCCAUUUACGUUGUGACGUUUGGUAGCACACAAAGUGUUCCUCCGGUAAACGGGAGUUGCAUAAUCUCAUAGUCAGAGGAACAUGUAUAAGUCAUGAAGAAAGCAAUAGCAACAUACUAAACGAUCGAGUGCUAAGCUAACGGAAUGGGUCAAGUCAAUCACGUCAUUCUCCUAAUGAGGUGAUCUCGUUAAUCAAAUGACAACUCAUGUCUAUGGCUAGGAAACAUAACCAUCUUUGAUUAAUGAGCUAGUCAAGUAGAGGCAUACUAGUGACACUCUGUUUGUCUAUGUAUUCACACAUGUAUUAUGUUUCCGGUUAAUACAAUUCUAGCAUGAACAAUAAACAUUUAUCAUGAUAUAAGGAAAUAAAUAAUAACUAUUAUUGCCUCUAGGGCAUAUUUCCUUCAGUCUCCCACUUGCACUAGAGUCAAUAAUCUAGUUCACAUCGCCAAGUGAUUUAACAUCAAUAGUUCACAUCACCAUGUGAUUAACACCCAUAGUUCACAUCGUCAUGUGACCAACACCCAAAGGGUUUACUAGAGUCAAUAAUCUAGUUCACAUCGCUAUGUGAUUAACACCCAAAGAGUACUAAGGUGUGAUUAUGUUUUACUUGUGAGAUAAUUUUAGUCAACGGGUCUGUCACAUUUAGAUCCGUAAGUAUUUUGCCAAUUUCUAUGUCUACAAUGCUCUGCACGGAGCUACUCUAGCUAAUUGCUCCCACUUUCAAUAUGUAUCUAGACCGAGACUUAGAGUCAUCUAGAUUAGUGUCAAAAACUUGUAUCGACGUAACCCUUUACGACGAACCUUUUGUCACUUCCAUAAUCGAGAAACAUAUCCUUAUUCCAGUAAGGAUAAUUUUGACCGCUGUCCAGUGAUCUACUCCUAGAUCACUAUUGUACUCUCUUGCCAAAAUCAGUGUAGGGUAUACAAUAGAUCUGGUACACAACAUGGCAUACUUUAUAGAAUCCUAUGGCCGAGGCAUAGGGAAUGACUUUCAUUCUUUUUCUAUCUUCUGCUGUGGUCGGGCAUUGAGUCUUACUCAAUUUCACACCUUGUAACACAGGCAAGAAACUCUUUCUUUGACUGUUCCAUUUUGAACCACUUCAAAAUCUUGUUAAGGUAUGUAUUCAUUGAAAAAACUUAUCAAGCGUCUUGAUCUAUCUCUAUAGAUCUUGAUGCUCAAUAUGUAAGCAGCUUCACCAAGGUCUUACUUUGAAAAGCUUCUUUCAAACACUCCUUUAUGCUUUGCAGAAUAAUUCUACAUUAUUUCCGAUCAACAAUAUGUCAUUCACAUAUACUUAUCAGAAAUGUUGUAGUGCUCGCACUCACUUUCUUGUAAAUACAGGCUUCACCGCAAGUCUGUAUAAAACUCUAUGCUUUGAUCAACUUAUCAAAGCGUAUAUUCCAACUCCGAGAUGCUUGCACCAGUCCAUAGAUGGAUCGCUGGAGCUUGCAUAUUUUGUUAGCACCUUUAGGAUUGACAAAACCUUCUGGUUGCAUCAUAUACAACUCUUCUUUAAUAAAUCCAUUAAGGAAUGCAGUUUUGUUUAUCCAUUUGCCAGAUUUCAUAAAAUGCGGCAAUUGCUAACAUGAUUCGGACAGACUUAAGCAUAGAUACGAGUGAGAAACUCUCAUCGUAGUCAACACCUUGAACUUGUCGAAAACCUUUUUGCGACAAUUAUAGCUUUGCAGAUAGUAACACUACUAUCAGCGUCUGUCUUCCUCUUGAAGAUCCAUUUAUUUUCAAUGGCUUGCCGAUCAUCGGGCAAGUCAACCAAAGUCCACACUUUGUUCUCAUACAUGGAUCUCAUCUCAGAUUUCAUGGCCUCAAGCCAUUUUGCGGAAUCUGGGCUCACCAUCGCUUCUUCAUAGUUCGUAGGUUCGUCAUGGUCUAGUAACAUAACCUCCAGAACAGGAUUACCGUACCACUCUGGUGCGGAUCUUACUCUGGUUUACCUACGAGGUUUGGUAGUAACUUGAUCUGAAGUUACAUGAUCAUCAUCAUUAACUUCCUCACUAAUUGGUGUAGGAGUCACAGGAACAGAUUUCUGUGAUGAACUACUUUCCAAUAAGGGAGCAGGUACAAUUACUUCAUCAAGUUCUACUUUCCUCCCACUCACUUCUUUCGAGAGAAACUCCUUCUCUAGAAAGGAUCCAUACUAAGCAACGAAUGUCUUGCCUUCGGAUCUGUGAUAGAAGGUGUACCCAAAUGUCUCCUUUGGGUAUCCUAUGAAGACACAUUUCUCCGAUUUGGGUUUGAACUUAUCAGGAUGAAACUUUUUCACAUAAGCAUCGCAACCCCAAACUUUAAGAAACGACAACUUUGGUUUCUUGCCAAACCACAGUUCAUAAGGCGUCGUCUCAUCGGAUUUUGAUGGUGCCCUAUUUAGCGUGAAUGUAGCUGUCUCUAAUGCAUAACCCCAAAACGAUAAUGGUAAAUUGGUAAGAGACAUCAUAGAUUGCACUAUAUCCAAUAAAGUAUGUUUAUGACGUUCGGACACACCAUUAUGCUGUGGUGUUCCAGGUGGCGUGAGUAGUGAAACUAUUUCACAUUGUUUUAACUGAAGGCCAAACUCAUAACUAAAAUACUCUUCUCCAUGAUCAAAUCGUAGAAACUUUAUUUUCUUGUUACGAUGAUUUUCGCUUCACUCUGAAAUUAUAUGAACUUUUCAAAUGUUUCAGACUUCUGUUUCAUUAAGUAGAUAUACCCAUAUCUGCUCAAAUCAUCUGUGAAGGUCAGAAAAUAAUGAUACCUGCUACGAGCCUCAAUAUUCAUCGGACCACAUACAUCUAUAUGUAUGAUUUCCAACAAAUCUGUUGCUCUCUCUAUAGUUCCGGAGAACGGCGUUUUAGUCAUCUUGCCCAUGAGGCACGGUUCGCAAGCAUCAAGUGACUCAUAAUCAAGUGAUUCCAAAAGUCCAUCAGUAUGGAGUUUCUUCAUGCGCUUUAUACCGAUAUGACCUAAACGGUAGUGCCACAAAUAAGUUGCACUAUCAUUAUUAACUUUGCAUCUUUUGGUUUCAAUAUUAUGAUUAUGUGUAUCACUACGAUCGAGAUCCAACAAACCAUUUUCGUUGGUGUGUAUGACCAUAGAAGGUUUUUAUUCAUGUAAACAGAACAACAAUUGUUCUCUAACUUAAAUGAAUAACUGAAUUGCAAAAACAUGAUCAAAUCAUAUUCAUGCUCAACGCAAACACCAAAUAACACUUAUUUAGUUUCAACACUAAUCCCGAAAGUACAGGGAGUGUGCGAUGAUGAUCAUAUCAAUCUUGGAACUACUUCCAACAUACAUCGUCACCUCGCCUUUUACUAGUCUCUGUUUAUUCUGCAACUCCCGUUUCGAGUUACUACUCUUAGCAACUGAACCAGUAUCAAAUACCGAGGGGUUUCUAUAAACACUAGUAAAGUACACAUCAAUAACAUGUAUAUCCAAUAUACCUUUGUUCACUUUGCCAUCCUUCUUAUCCACCAAAUAGUUGGGGUAGUUCCGCUUCCAGUGACCAGUCCCUUUGCAGUAGAAGCACUUAGUCUCAGGCUUAGGUACAGACUUGGGCUUCUUCACUUGAGUAGCAACUUGCUUGCCGUUCUUUUGAAGUUCCCCUUCUUCCCUUUGCCCUUUUCUUGAAACUAGUGGUCUCGUCAACCAUCAACACUUGAUGUUUUUCUUGAUUUCUACCUUCGUCGAUUUCAGCAUCACGAAGAGCUCGGGAAUUACUUUCGUCAUCCCUUGCAUACUAUAGUUCAUCACGAAGUUCUACUAACUUGGUGAUGGUGACUAGAGAAUUCUGUCAAUCACUAUUUUAUCUAGAAGAUUAACUCCCACUUGAUUCAAGCGAUUGUAGUACCCAGACAAUCUGAGCACAUGCUCACUAGUUGAGCGAUUCUCCUCCAUCUUUUAGCUAUAGAACUUGUUGGAGACUUCAUAUCUCUCAACUCGGGUAUUUACUUGAAAUAUUAACUUCAACUCCUGGAACAUCUUAUAUGUUCCAUGACGUUCAAAACGUCUUUGAAGUCCCGAUUCUAAGCUGGUUAAGCAUGGUGCACUAAACUAUCAAGUAGUCAUCAUAUUGAGCUAGCCAAACGUUCAUAACGUCUGCAUCUGCUCCUGCAAUAGGUCUGUCACCUAGCGGUGCAUUAAGGACAUAAUUUUUCUGUGCAGCAAUGAGGAUAAUCCUCAGAUCACGGAUCCAAUCCGCAUCUUUGCUACUAACAUCUUUCAACAUAAUUUUUCUCUAGGAACAUAUCAAAAAUAAACACAGGGAAGCAACAACGCGAGCUAUUGAUCUAUAACAUAAUUUGCAAAAUACUAUCAGGACUAAGUUCAUGAUAAAUUUAAGUUCAAUUAAUCAUAUUACUUAAGAACUCCCACUUAGAUAGACAUCCCUCUCAUCAUCUAAGUGAUUACGUGACCAAAUCAACUAAACCAUGUCCGAUCAUCACGUGAGAUGGAGUAGUUUCAAUGGUGAACAUCACUAUGUUGAUCAUAUCUACUAUAUGAUUCACGCUCGACCUUUCGGUCUUCGUGUUCCGAGGCCAUAUCUGUUAUAUGCUAGGCUCGUUAAGUUUAACCUGAGUAUUCCGCGUGUGCAACUGUUUUGCACCCGUUGUAUUUGAACGUAGAGCCUAUCACACCCGAUCAUCACGUGGUGUCUCAGCACGAAGAACUUUCGCAACGGUGCAUACUCAGGGAGAACACUUAUACUUUGAUAAUUUAGUGAAGGAUCAUCUUAUAAUGCUACCGUCAAACAAAGCAAGAUAAGAUGCAUAAAGGAUUAACAUCACAUGCAAUCAAUAUAAGUGAUAUGAUAUGGCCAUCAUCAUCUUGUGCUUGUGAUCUCCAUCUCCGAAGCACCGUGCUUGUGAUCUCCAUCUCCGAAGCACCGUCAUGAUCACCAUCGUCACCGGCGCGACACCUUGAUCUCCAUCGUAGCAUCGUUGUCGUCUCGCCAACUUAUUGCUUUUACGACUAUCGCUACCGCUUAGUGAUAAAGUAAAACUAUUACAUGGCGAUUGCAUCUCAUACAAUAAAGCGACAACCAUAUGGCUCCUGCCAAUUGCCGAUAACUCGGUUACAAAACAUGAUCAUCUCAUACAACACAUUAUAUCACAUCAUGUCUUGACCAUAUCACAUCACAACAUGCCCUGCAAAAACAAGUUAGACGUCCUCUACUUUGUUGUUGCAUAUUUUACGUGGCUGCUACGGGCUUAGCAAGAACCGUUCUUACCUACGCAUCAAAACCACAAUGAUAGUUUGUCAAUUUGGUGCUGUUUUAACCUUCGCAAGGACCGGGCGUAGCCACACUCGGUUCAACUAAAGUGAGAGAGACAGACACCCGCCGGUCACCCUUAAGCAACGAGUGCUCGCAACGGUGAAACCAGUCUCGCGUAAGCGUACGCGUAAUGUCGGUCCGGGCCGCUUCAUCUCACAAUACCGCUGAACCAAAGUAUGACAUGCUGGUAAGCAGUAUGACUUAUAUCGCCCACAACUCACUUGUGUUCUACUCGUGCAUAACAUCAACGCAUAAAACCAGGCUCGGAUGCCACUGUUGGGGAACGUAGUAAUUUCAAAAUUUUCCUACGCACACGCAAGAUCAUGGUGAUGCAUAGCAACGAGAGGGGAGAGUGUUGUCCACGUACCCUCGUAGACCGACAGCGGAAGCGUUAUCACAAUGCGGUUGAUGUAGUCGUACGUCUUCACGAUCCGACCGAUCAAGUACCGAACGCACGGCACCCCCGAGUUCUACACACGUUCAGCACGAUGACGUCCCUCGAACUUCGAUCCAGCCGAGUGUUGAGGGAGAGUUUCGUCAGCACGACGGCGUGGUGACGAUGAUGAUGUUCCACCGAUGCAGGGCUUCGCCGAAGCUCCGCAACGGUAUUAUCGAGGUGUAAUAUGGUGGAGGGGGGCACCGCACACGGCUAAGAGAUCUCAAGGAUCAAUUGUUGUGUCUCUGGGGUGCCCCCUGCCCCCGUAUAUAAAGGAGCAAGGGGGAGGCAGCCGGCCAAGGGGAGAGGCGCGCCAUAGGGGGGAGUCCUACUCCCACCGGGAGUAGGACUCCUCCUUUCCUUGUGGGAGUAGGAGAAGGGAAGGGGGAAGGAGAAAGAAGGAAGGGUGGGCCCCCCUUCCCUAGUCCAAUUCGGACCAGAUCAUGGGGAGGGGUGCGGCCACCUUUUGAGGCCUUCUCUCCUUUCCCGUAUGGCCCAUUAAGGCCCAAUACGAAUUCCCGUAACUCUCCGGUACUCCGAAAAAUACCCGAAUCACUCGGAAGCUUUCCGAAGUCCGAAUAUACUCGUCCAAUAUAUCGAUUUUUACGUCUCGACCAUUUCGAGACUCCUCGUCAUAUCCCCGAUCUCAUCCGGGACUCCGAACUCCUUCGGUACAUCAAAACUCAAUAAAACUGUCAUCGUAACGUUAAGCGUGCGGACCCUACGGGUUCGAGAACUAUGUAGACAUGACCGAGGCACGUCUCCGGUCAAUAACCAAUAGCAGGACCUGGAUGCCCAUAUUGGCUCCCACAUAUUCUACGAAGAUCUUUAUCGGUCAGACCGCAUAACAACAUACGUUGUUCCCUUUGUCAUCGGUAUGUUACUUGCCCGAGAUUCGAUCGUCGGUAUCUCGAUACCUAGUUCAAUCUCGUUACUGGCAAGUCUCUUUACUCGUUCCGUAAUACAUCAUCCCGCAACUAACUCAUUAGUCACAAUGCUUGCAAGGCUUAUAGUGAUGUGCAUUACCGAGUGGGCCCAGAGAUACCUCUCCGACAAUUGGAGUGACAAAUCCUAAUCUCGAAAUACGUCAACCCAACAAGUACCUUUGGAGACACCUGUAGAGCACCUUUAUAAUCACCCAUUUACGUUGUGACGUUUGGUAGCACACGAAGUGUUCCUCCGGUAAACGGGAGUUGCAUAAUCUCAUAGUCAGAGGAACAUGUAUAAGUCAUGAAGAAAGCAAUAGCAACAUACUAAACGAUCGAGUGCUAAGCUAACGGAAUGGGUCAAGUCAAUCACGUCAUUCUCCUAAUGAGGUGACCUCGUUAAUCAAAUGACAACUCAUGUCUAUGGCUAGGAAACAUAACCAUCUUUGAUUAACGAGCUAGUCAAGUAGAGGCAUACUAGUGACACUCUGUUUGUCUAUGUAUUCACACAUGUAUUAUGUUUCCGGUUAAUACAAUUCUAGCAUGAACAAUAAACAUUUAUCAUGAUAUAAGGAAAUAAAUAAUAACUUUAUUAUUGCCUCUAGGGCAUAUUUCCUUCAUCAUAUGCUCCGUGGUGUUCAAAACGUUUUUGAAGUCCUGGUUCUAAGCCGUAAAGCAUGGCGCACUAAACUAUCAAGUAGUCAUCAUACCGAGCUUGUCAAACGUUCAUAACGUCUGCAUCUGCUCCUGCAAUAGGUCUGUCACCUAGCGGUGCAUCAAGGAUAUAAUUCUUCUGUGCAGCAAUGAGGAUAAUCCUCAGAUCACGGACCGAGUUCGCAUCAUUGCUACUAUCAUCUUUCAACUUUAUUUUUCUCUAGGAGCAUAUCAAAAAUAGGGGAGCUAUAUCGUGAGCUAUUGAUCUAUAACAUAGAUAUGCAAAACUAUUAAGACUAAGUUCAUGAUAAAUUAAGUUCAAUUAAUCAAAUUACUAAUGAACUCCCACUUCAAUAAACAUCCCUCAAGUUUUCUAAGUGAUACAUGAUCCAAAUCAACUAACCCAUGUCCGAUCAUCACGUGAGAUGCGGUAGUCAUCAAUGGUGAACAUCUCUAUGUUGAUCAUAUCUACUAUAUGACUCAUGUUCGACCUUUCGGUCUCCAGUGUUUCGAGGCCAUGUCUGUACAUGCUAGGCUCGUCAAGUUAACCCAAGUAUUCUGCAUGUGCAAAGCUGUCUUACACCUGUUGUAUGUGAACGUAGAGUCUAUCACACCCGAUCAUCACGUGGUGUCUUGAAACGAUGAACUUUCGCAACGGUGCAUACUCGGGGACAACACUUAUAUCUUGAUAUUUAGUGAAGGGAUCAUCUUAUAAUGCUACCGUCGUUCUAAGCAAAAUAAGAUGCAUAUAAGAUAAACAUCACAUGCAAUCAAAAUAUGUGACAUGAUACGGCCAUCAUCAUCUUGUGCUUUUGAUCUCCAUCUCCAAAGCAUCGUCAUGAUCACCAUCAUCACAGGCUCGACACCUUGAUCUCCAUCGUGCGUCAUGGUCGUCUCGCCAACUAUUUCUUCUACAACUAUUGCUAAAUCACAGCGAUAAAGUAAAGCAAUUACAUGGCGUUUGCAUUUCAUACAAUAAAGAGACAACCAUAAGGCUCCUACCGGUUGCCUGAUAUCUUACAACACAUGAUCAUCUCAUACAAAAACGUAUAUCACAUCAUGUCUUGACCAUAUCACAUCACAACAUACCCUGCAAAAACAAGUUAGAUGUCCUCUACUUUGUUGUUGCAAGUUUUACGUGGUUGCUACGGGUUUCUAGCAAGAACCGCUCUUACCUACGACAAAAAACACAACGGUGAUUUAUCAAGUUUGCUGUUUUAACCUUCUUCAAGGACCGGCCGCAGUAAAAUUCGAUUCAACUAAAGUAGGAGAAACAGACACCCGCCAGCCACCUUUAUGCAAAACUAGUUGCAUGUCAGUCGAUGGAACCGGUCUCACGUGCAGGACAUGUAAGGUUGGUCCGGGGCGCUUCAUCCCACAAUACCGCCGAAUCAAAACAAGACAUUGGUGGUAAGCAGUAUGACUAUCACCGCCCACAACUCUUUGUCUUCUACUCGUGCAUAUCAUCUACACAUAGACCUGGCUCAUGAUGCCACUGUUGGGAAACGUUGCAUGGAAAAGAAAAAAAUUUCUAUGCACACGCAAUGAUCUAUCCAUGGAGAUGCAUAGCAACGAGGAAACAUUCAGUACACCGUGAAGAAGAUGGACUUGCAGCCGCACCAAAAGACUUGGCUGAGGAGUGAUGUCUACUAUACAACCUUCUUCUUGUAGACGUUGUUGGGCCUCCAAGUGCAGAGGUUUGUAGGACAGUAGCAAAUUUCCCUCAAGUGGAUGACCUAAGGUUUAUCAAUCCGUGGGAGGCGUAGGAUGAAGAUGGUCUCUCUCAAGCAACCCUGCAACCAAAUAACAAAGAGUCUCUUGUGUCCCCAACACACCCAAUACAAUGGUAAAUUGUAUAGGUGCACUAGUUCGGCGAAGAGAUGGUGAUACAAGUGCAAUAUGGAUGGUAGAUAUAGGUUUUUGUAAUCUGAAAAUAUAAAAAUAGCAAGAUAACAAGUGGUAAAAGUGAGCGUAAACGGUAUUGCAAUGCGUCGAAACAAGGCCUAGGGUUCAUACUUUCACUAGUGCAAGUUCUCUCAACAAUAAUAACAUAAUUGGAUCAUAUAACUAUCCCUCAAUGUGCAACAAAGAGUCACUCCAAAGUCACUAAUAGUGGAGAACAAAUGAAGAGAUUAUGGUAGGGUACGAAACCACCUCAAAGUUAUUCUUUCCAAUCAAUCCGUUGGGCUAUUCCUAUAAGUGUCACAAACAGCCCUAGGGUUCGUACUAGAAUAACACCUUAAGACACAAAUCAACCAAAACCCUAAUUUCACCUAGAUACUCCAAUGUCACCUCAAGUAUCCGUGGGUAUGAUUAUACGAUAUGCAUCACACAAUCUCAGAUUCAUCUAUUCAACCAACACAUAGAACCUCAAAGAGUGCCCCAAAGUUUCUACCGGAGAAUCAAGACGAAAACGUGUGCCAACCCCUAUGCAUAAAUUCAUGGGCGGAACCCGCAAGUUGAUCACCAAAACAUACAUCAAGUGAGUCACGUGAUAUCCCAUUGUCACCACAGAUACGCACGACAAGACAUACAUCAAGUGUUCUCAAAUCAUUAAAGACUCAAUCCGAUAAGAUUACUUCAAAGGGAAAACUCAAUCCAUUACAAGAGAGUAGAGGGGGAGAAACAUCAUAAGAUCCAACUAUAAUAGCAAAGCUCGCGAUACAUCAAGAUCGUGCCAAAUCAAGAACACGAGAGAGAGAGAUCAAACACAUAGCUACUGGUACAUACCCUCAGCCCCGAGGGUGAACUACUCCCUCCUUGUCAUGGAGAGCGCCGGGAUGAUGAAGAUGGCCACCGGUGAGGGUUCCCCCCCUCCGGCAGGGCGCCGGAACAGGGUCCCGAGUGGUUUUUGGUGGCUACAGAGGCUUGCGGCGGCGAAACUCCAGAUCUACUCUGUUUUCUGAAGUUUUUAGGGUAUAUGGAGAUAUAUAGGCGGAAGAAAUAUGUCAGGGGAGCCACGAGGGGCCCACUAGGGUGGAGGGCGCGCCCUAGGGGAGUGGGCGCGCCCCCUACCUCGUGGCUCCCUCGUUUCUUUCCUGACGUGCACUCCAAGUCUAUCAGGUUGCUUUCCUUCCAAAAAUAACUUCUCCAGAAGGUUUCAUUCCGUUUCGACUCCGUUUGAUAUUCCUUUUCUUCGAAACACUGAAACAAGGAAAAAAACAGGAACUGGCACUGGGCUCUGGGUUAAUAGGUUAGUCCCAAAAAUAAUAUAAAUGUGUUUAAUAAAGCGCAUAAACAUCCAAAAUAGAUAAUAUAAUAGCAUGGAACAAUAAAAAAUUAUAGAUACGUUGGAGACUAUCAAGGAGCUCGCGUGCGUCAAACGGGUUGGUGAAGGUGACCAUGAGCAGUAGGAGGAUGCCGGCACGGUUGAUACGUCUCCAUCGCAUCUACUUUUCCAAACACUUUUGCCCUUGUUUUGGACUCUAACUUGCAUGCUUUGAAUGGAACUAACCCGGACUGACGCUGUUUUCAGCAAACUUUCCAUGGUGUUAUUUAUGUGCAGAAACAAAAGUUCUCGGAAUGACCUGAAACUCCACGGAACAUAUUUUUGGAAAAUAUUAAAAAUACUGGAAGAAGACCCACACUCUGUCCACGAGGGCGGGGGGCGCGCCUGCCCCCCCUAGGCACGCCCCCUGCCUCGUGGGCCCCCUGACGCUCCACCGACCUCAACUCCAACUCCAUAUAUUCAUGUUCAGGGAGAAAAAAAUCAGGGAGAAGGAUUCAUCGCGUUUUACGAUACGGAGCCACCGCCAAGCCCUAAUCUCUCUCGGGAGGGCUGAUCUGGAGUCCGUUCGGGGCUCCGGAGAGGGGAAUCCAUCGCCAUCGUCAUCAUCAACCUUCCUCCAUCACCAAUUUCAUGAUGCUCACCACCGUGCAUGAGUAAUUCCAUCGUAGGCUUGCUGGACGGUGAUGGGUUGGAUGAGAUUUACCAUGUAAUCGAGUUAGUUUUUUUAGGGUUUGAUCCCUAGUAUCCACUAUGUUCUGAGAUUGAUGUUGCUAUGACUUUGCUAUGCUUAAUGCUUGUCACUAGGGCCCGAGUGCCAUGAUUUCAGAUCUAAACCUAUUAUGUUUUCAUGAAUAUAUGUGUGUGCUUGAUCCUAUCUUGCAAGUCUAUAGUCACCUACUAUGUGUUAUGAUCCGGCAACCCCAAAGUGACAAUAAUCGGGACUACUCCCGGUGAUGACCGUAGUUUGAGGAGUUCAUGUAUUCACUAAGUGUUAAUGCUUUGGUCCGGUACUCUAUUAAAAGGAGGCCUUAAUAUUCCUUAGUUUCCAAUAGGACCCCGCUGCCACGGGAGGGUAGGACAAAAGAUGUCAUGCAAGUUCUUUUCCAUAAGCACGUAUGACUAUAUUCGGAAUACAUGCCUACAUUACAUUGAUGAAUUGGAGCUAGUUCUGUGUCACCCUAUGUUAUAACUAUUGCAUGAGGAAUCGCAUCAGGCAUAAUUCUCCAUCACUGAUCCAAUGCCUAUGAGCUUUUCACAUAUUGUCCUUCGCUUAGUUACUUUAUGUAGCGACCCGACCUCAAACGGUCAAGUCUCUGUGCUUCAGUGUCAUCCCUGGAUCGGUAAUGCUGACACACACAGUACUCGAAGGAUUUAUAACAGAGUAGCAAUCACACACUUAUUACAUCGAAUGUAUCAGAAGAGAACUUAUUACAAUAAAUAUGGCUUAAGGCCAUCUAAUACGAUAACAGCGGAAGGCUUGGAAGAUAAAGUGAGUCCAUCAACUCCAACGGCAUAGCUGAGCUGCACGGCAACGACCAAACGAACCUUACUCCUCGUCUGAAAAGUCUGCAACAUAAUACGUUGCAGCCCGGAAAUGGGUGAGCACAUGGAAUAUGCUGGCAAUGUAACACAAUAGAGCGGAAACAGAAAUAAUGCUAUCACUACAUGCAUAUGUGGCUGGUGGAAAGCUCUAUGGUUAUAGUUUUUGCGAAAAGGCAAUUUUUCCCUACAACGAAGAAAUAAAUUUUAUUUUAACUAUCAUGGUGGUUGAAACAUCAUUGAGAAGGUUCCUCCAACUCAAUCCCAAUUAAAGUAAUUAUCCACCCAACAAUAUUAAAUUAGAGUGAUGAGAUACUUAUGAUAAUCCAAGUACUAGAUACUCAAGAUGUCCAUAACCGGGGACACGGCUAACCAUCAUUAGAUUGUACACUCUGCAGAGGUUUGCGCACUUUUCCCCACAAGACUCGAUCUCCUCCGUUGGAUUUCUCGCACUACAGGGUGUUUGAGAAACGGAUGAUCGAGACACAGUCUUUCAGAAACAUUAACUCUUUACUCCGGGCAGACCAUACCAAACCUACAACCCUCUACCUGCUGAUCCACCUCUUCAAGAACUCAUGUAACUUACUCAACUAUGCUAGAGCCCAUAAUAGCUUGUGGCUGCAUACGAAAGUUUCUAGCAUGAAUAAUCUUAUGAUCCCUUUGAGCCUGGGUGGCGGACCUUAGGAUGAUCACACGGGUACUCCGGGAUAUCCUAGGACAACACUGGAUUCUCCAGGUGCCCGACAAGCAAUCCACCCAGAUGUGUAUUAAAGUUGCCACCUUAAGUUGAACCAUUAAUUAACAAUCUCACAUCUGUCAGGGAUUCACUCACCCAUACCACGUCUACGAGCAUAGCAUAGCAAUAUAAGCAAUAUUAGAAGUAACUCCCAAGGGUUUGAUAAUAACAGGGCAAUAGGUUCUACCUCAUCAACUACUUCCCAAUACCCACAAGUUAAAAUCACAUCCUAAUCAUGCAGUGUUUGAGGAUUGGAGCUAAUGCAUAAAAACUGGGUAUGAAAAGAGUAUGAUCAAUGUGUUACUUGCCUUGCCGACGAUCCGCAAAACCUAGGGACUCGUAGUAGCAUGCUUCACACUCCGGGAAUUCUAUCGCAAACAAACAAGAGCAUACAUAAGCAAUCAAGCAAACAAGCAUGGGUAAAACUCAAAUAAGAAGAUCUAACCAGAAAGUUCAACUUAAGAACUCCGGUUUGCAAAGAAUCAAAUCAAACGGAGCAAUGAAACUCAAACUGCGAAAGAAACAAGAUCCAUUUACUAAUCUGAACUAAAGUCAAAUUUUACAGCACCAAAAUCUUGUUCAAGUUGAUUAAACAGAAAGAGGGUUUCGAGACGAAGAUCUAGGCGCUUGCAUCGCCUGAUUUCGAUAAACGAGCGAAAAGAUAAACUAAAACGAAAAUCGGAUCAGAAAUCGCGAUCGAAAAUAAUCGCGGAAAAUCCGAGAAAAAGAAAAACUGACGAACAGGCUAACGAACGAACGUUCAUUGUCUGUAACGAGCGAAAACCGUUCGUUAAAACGAAUGUACGGAUGAACGUCCGCUAAAUAAACUAAACUGAGAAAACGGCGAACCGAUCUAAAAAAACAAAACUAGGGUUUUAUAAAAAAACCGACGGUUUUUACCUAAACCGAAAAAAAACCGAGCGGCUCCGGAUCGGAUCGGAACGGCGGCGGCGGCGGGGAAGUGCGGCGACGGCGCGGCAAGCGGCGGCGGGCGGCGGCGGUGUAGCGACCAGACCUCAAACAGUCUGUGCUCUGUGCUUUAGUGUCAUCCCUGGAUCAGUAAUGCUGACACGCACAGUACAAAUGGAGGAUUUAUAACAGAGUAGCAAUCACACACUUAUUACAUCGAGUAUCUCAAAAGAGAAAUAAGUAUGACAAAUACGGCUUAAGGCCAUCUAAAUACGAUAACAGCGGAAGACUUGGAAGAUAAGUGAGUCCAUCAACUCCAACGUCAUCACUGAGUAUAAGACCAUGACCUAAGGCACCUUACUCGUCGUCUGAAAAGUCUGCAACAUAAAACGUUGCAGCCCGAAACGGGUCAGCACAUGGAAUAUGCUGGCAAUGUAACACAUAGAGAGUAAUGAACAUAAUAAUGCUAUACUACAUGCAUAUAUGGCUGGUAGAAGGCUCUAUGGUUACAGUUUUGCGAAAAGCCAAUUUUUCCCUACUGCAAAGGAAUAAAUUUUAUUUAACUAUCAUGGUGGUUGUGAAACAUUGAGAUGGUUGACAGCAUCUCAAUCCCAAUUAAGUAUCAUCAUUAACCCAACAAUAUUAAUUAAAGUAACAUGGUGGUGAGAUUCACAUGAUAAUCCAAGUACUAGAUACUCAAGAUGUCCAUAACCGGGGACACGGCUAACCAUGAUUAGUUUAUACACUCUGCAGAGGUUUGUGCACUUUUCCCCACAAGACUCGAUCUCCUCCGUUGGGAUUCUCGCACUUCAUGGUGUUUGAGAAUCGGAUGACCGAGACACAGUCUUUCAGAAGCGUUAACUCUCUACUCCGAGUAGACAGUACCACCUACAACCCCUACAUCUGCUAGUCUACCUCUUCAAGAUCUCACACAACUUAAUCAACUAUGCUAGAGCCCAUAAUAGCUUGUGGCUGCACACCGAAGUUUCUAGCAUGAAUAAUCUCAUGAUCCCUUUGAGCCUGGGUGGCGGUCCAUAGGAUGAUCACACGGGUACUCCGGGAUAUCCAAAAAUACAGGCAGCACUGGGUUCUCCAGGUGCCUCAAUCCACCCAGAUGUGAGUUUUAGUUGCCACCUUAAGUAAACCAUUAAUUAACAAUCUCACAUCUGUCGUGAAUACCUCUCAAACCCAAUCCACGUCUACUAGCAUAGCAUAGCGAUAUAAGCAAACGUAGAAGUAACUCCCAAGGGUUUGACAAUAAACAGGGCAAUAGGUACUACCUCAACUACUUCCCAAUACCCACAAUUUAAUUAGAUCCUAACCAUGCAAUGUUUGAGGGUUGGUCUAAUGCAGUAAAACUGGGUAGUAAAAGAUAUGAUCAAAGUGUUACUUGCCUUGCUGAUGAUCCGUGAAACUUAGAGAUUCGAAGUAGCAAGCGGCGCACUCCGGGUACUCUAUCGCAAACAAACAAGCAUACAAUAAGCACUCAUCAAAUGCACAGGUAAAACUCAAAUAAUGAUCUAACCAGAAAGUUCAACUUAAAAACUCCGGUUUGCAAAAAGAAUCAAAUCGAACGAAGCAACGAAAAUCAAGCGGCGAAAGAAACAAGCUUCGUUUACUAAUCUGGAUCUAGGUCAAAUUUUACAGUAGAAAAAACUUGUUUGAGUGGGUUAAACGGAAAGAGAAUUUCGAGACGAAACUCUAGGCGCUUGAAUCGCCUGAUUCCGAUAAACGAGCGAAAAGAUAAACGAAAACGAAAAUCUGAUCGGAAAUCGCGGUCUGGAAUAACCGCGGAAAAAUCCGACGAAAAAGAAAACUGACGAACAGUUAAACGAACGGACGUUCGUUAACAGCGACAAUCCGAUGAACACGUUCGUUAAAACGAACGGGUCAGUGAACGUUCACUAAUUAAUAAAACCAAAAAAAUAAACCGACCUAUAUAAAAAAAACUAGGGUUUCGAAAAAAAUAAACCGAAUCGGUUUACAAAAAACCGGACUCGGUGGCGGCGGCUUCGGUUACCUCCGGCGAGGCUACUCCGGCGGGGCUUCGGGGUGCGGCGGCGGGGUGCGGGGAGGCGGCGGGUGGCGACGGGGUNNNNNNNNNNNNNNNNNNNNNNNNNNNNNNNNNNNNNNNNNNNNNNNNNNNNNNNNNNNNNNNNNNNNNNNNNNNNNNNNNNNNNNNNNNNNNNNNNNNNNNNNNNNNNNNNNNNNNNNNNNNNNNNNNNNNNNNNNNNNNNNNNNNNNNNNNNNNNNNNNNNNNNNNNNNNNNNNNNNNNNNNNNNNNNNNNNNNNNNNNNNNNNNNNNNNNNNNNNNNNNNNNNNNNNNNNNNNNNNNNNNNNNNNNNNNNNNNNNNNNNNNNNNNNNNNNNNNNNNNNNNNNNNNNNNNNNNNNNNNNNNNNNNNNNNNNNNNNNNNNNNNNNNNNNNNNNNNNNNNNNNNNNNNNNNNNNNNNNNNNNNNNNNNNNNNNNNNNNNNNNNNNNNNNNNNNNNNNNNNNNNNNNNNNNNNNNNNNNNNNNNNNNNNNNNNNNNNNNNNNNNNNNNNNNNNNNNNNNNNNNNNNNNNNNNNNNNNNNNNNNNNNNNNNNNNNNNNNNNNNNNNNNNNNNNNNNNNNNNNNNNNNNNNNNNNNNGCGGCGGCGGCGGCGGCUUCGGGCUCCGGCUCCGGCGUCGGCGGGGUUCGGCGGCGGGCGAGGUGAGGGAGGUGGCGGCGGGGCGGGGUAUAUAUAUAGGUGGGGCGGGGGGCUACUCCGGCUUGGGGAAGGGGGCGCCGGGGAGGCGUGGCCGUCCCGGACUCGGGCGGCGGCGGCGUGCUCGUCCCGGUCUCCAGGAGGGAGACGGCGACGCGGGAUGGGCCGGCCUGGCUCGGCUGGGCCUCGGCCCAGUCGGGCGCGGGGAUUUUUUUUAAAAAAAAUAUUCCGCCGAGCUAAAAACAAUCGUAGAAAAAAAAAUAAAAAUCCAAAAAUGCCACAACAAAUUUUCACCGUCUAAUUAAAAUAAUUAGGACGACGUGAACAUUUUCUUGGCCCGAAAUUUGCAGUUUUGAAAACGUGAAAUUUUUCUAAUGCAAUAAAAAUUGCAAAUAAAAAAUCUGAAUAAAAUCAAAUAGUUGAUUUUAAUAUUUUUCCUCCAAUAUUUCAAUUAUUUUGGAGAAGUCAUAUUUUCCCCUCUCAUUUAUUUUAAUACGAAAUAUUUUUCGGAGAGAAAAAUAAUUAAAAAAUCCUCGUUUUAUUAUUUGAUAAAAAUCAAAUAUGAAAAUCGGUAAAAAAAAUCCCCAACUCUCUCCGAGGGUCCUUGAGUUGCUUAGGAUUUUCGAGGAUUUGCCAAAAUGCAAUAAAAUAUGCUAUGCAAAUGAUGAUCUAAUGUAUAACAUUCCAAAUUGAAAAUUUGGGAUGUUACAAACCUACCCCCUUAAGAUGAAUCUCACCCUCGAGAUUCGGGUUGGCUAGAAAAUAGGUGAGAGUGGUUCUUUCGUAGAUCUUCCUCUCGCUCCCAGGUGGCUUCAUCCUCAGUGUGGUGACUCCACUGAACUUUGCAGAACUUGAUAACCUUGCCGCGGGUGACUCGGCUGGCAUACUCAAGAAUCUUAACUGGUUUCUCCUCAUAGGUCAAGUCACUUUCCAACUGAAUCGCUUCCAGGGGCACUGUAUCUCUCAGUGGUAUCUCAGCCACUCUGCGUGGCACUUCUUUAACUGGGAAACGUGAAAUAUAUCAUGAACUCCUGACAAUCCUUCAAGCAAUUCCAGCUUGUAAGCAACUUCUCCCAUACGCUCCAAAACUCUGUAUGGUCCGAUAAAACGGGGCGCUAACUUUCCUUUAACUCCAAAGCGCUUCACUCCUCGAAGUGGUGAUACUCGAAGAUAAAAUCUGUCUCCGACUUCGUGAACUGUCUCCUUACGUUUAGAAUCCGCAUAACUCUUCUGCCUGGACUGGGCUACCUUGAGCCUAUCGCGAAUCAACUUCACCUUCUGUUCUGAUUCCUUAAUCAAAUCUGGUCCAAACAACUGAGGGUCUCCAACUUCGUCCCAUAACAAUGGUGUCCUACACCUCCUUCCGUACAAAGCUUCGAAAGGGGCCAUCUUCAAACUAGUUUGAUAGCUGUUGUUGUAAGAAAACUCUGCAUAUGGCAAAUUGUCGUCCCAACUAGAUCCAUAAUCUAGCGCACAAGCUCUCAACAUGUCUUCUAAAAUCUGAUUGACUCUCUCGGUCUGUCCAUCUGUCUGUGGGUGAAAAUCUGUACUGAAUUCUAACAUGGUUCCCAAAGUUUCAUGUAACUGAUUCCAGAACUUCGACGUAAACUGGGUUCCUCUGUCUGAUACAAUGGUCCUCGGAACUCCAUGCAAACAUACGAUUCUGGUCAUGUAUAUCUUUGCCAACUUAGCACUGGUGUAAGUGGUCUUCACUGGGAUGAAAUGAGCUACUUUCGUCAAACGAUCGACUACAACCCAUAUUGAGUCAUAGCCUGAACGAGUCCUGGGCAAUCCCGUGAUAAAAUCCAUGCCUAGUUUAUCCCACUUCCAUUCGGGUAUCGGCAAUGGCUGUAGCAAUCCUGCUGGCUUCUGAUGCUCUGCCUUCACUCUCUGAUAUACAUCACAAACUGCUACAUACUCCGCAAUAUCCUUCUUCAUUCCGGUCCACCAGAAAGUAUCCUUCAAAUCCAAAUACAUCUUGGUAUUUCCUGGGUGAAUCGAAUACGGUGAAUCAUGGGCCCCUUGCAAGAUCAACUUCCUGAUCUCCGGAUCAUUGGGCACAUAAACGCGGUCCUCAAACCAUAAGGUAUCGUGCUCAUCCUCACAAAAUCCCUUGGCUUUUCCUUUGCUCAUCUUUUCCUUUAUCUCGUGAAUCUCCUUGUCUGUCUUCUGAGCUUCUCGGAUCUUUUCCAUCAAGGUAGACUGAAUCUCCAACGUUGCUAAAUAGCCUCUCGGUACUAUCUCCAAACAUAGCUCGUGAAGAUCCUCGGCUAAUACUUUCGGUAACUCUCCAGUCAUGAGUGUGUUGACAUGGCUCUUGCGGCUCAAUGCGUCUGCUACUACGUUAGCCUUUCCGGGGUGAUAAUGCAACCUCAUAUCAUAAUCCUUUAUGAGUUCCAACCAUCUCCUUUGCCUGAGAUUCAACUCCUUCUGCGUGAAAAUGUACUUCAAACUCUUGUGAUCCGUGUACACCUCACAAUGGUUUCCGAUGAGAAAAUGUCUCCAUGUCUUCAACGCAUGCACUACGGCUGCUAACUCCAAAUCAUUCGUGGCAUAAUUCUUCUCAUGGGGUUUAAGUUGCCAUGAAGCAUAUGAAACAACUCUUCCUUCCUGCAUAAGCACUGUUCCAAGUCCUCGACGUGAAGCGUCGCAAUAUACUUCAUAAUCCUUGCGUUGAUCUGGCAGAAUCAACACUGGUGAUGUAACCAAUCAUUUCUUCAACUCUUGGAAACUAGCUUCACAUUCCUCAGUCCAAUUGAACUUGGUGUCCUUCUUUAAUAGCUCUGUCAUGGGCUUAGCAAUCUUCGAGAAAUUCUCGAUGAACCUCCGGUAGUAUCCUGCAAGUCCAAGAAAACUCCGGAUCUCUCCAACUGACGUGGGUGAUUCCCAGCUUGUUACUGUGUCAACUUUGGUGGGGUCUACUGCUAUUCCUUCUCCGGAUAUAACAUGUCCGAGGAAUCCAACUUCCUUCAGCCAAAAUUCACAUUUGCUGAACUUGGCGUAUAACUGGUGUUCUCUGAGCUUCUCAAGUACCAAACGCAAAUGCUCCUUAUGCUCUUCUUCAUUCUUGGAGUAGACUAAAAUAUCAUCAAUGAACACCACGACGAACUUAUCCAAAAACUCCAUAAACACUUUGUUCAUCAGGUUCAUGAAAUAGGCAGGUGCGUUAGUCAGACCAAAUGACAUAACGGUAUACUCAUAUAGCCCAUACCUGGUGGUAAAAGCCGUCUUAGGUAUAUCCUGCUCUCGAAUCUUUAACUGAUGGUAUCCUGAUCGUAGAUCGAUCUUGGAAAAUACCUUAGCUCCUUGUCAUCGGUCAAACAGAUCAUUGAUCAUCGGCAGUGGGUACUUGUUUUUGAUGGUCACUUCAUUCAAUCCACGAUAAUCAACAACCAUCCUCAACGAUCCAUCUUUCUUCUCUACUAGAAGUACUGGUGAUCCCCAAGGUGACGAACUUGGGCGAAUAUAGCCUUUAUCCAGUAACUCCUUAAUCUGCUUCUUAAUCUCCUCCAAAUCUUUUGCGGGCAUCCUGUACGGUCUCUUAGAUACUGGCCCUGUGCCUGGCAAAAGUUCAAUCAAGAACUCAAUGUCUCUAUCCGGUGGCAUGCCUGGCAACUCUUCUGGAAAUACAUCUGGGUAAUCCUUCACCACUGGUACUUCCUCCUGUACAACUCCUGAUAAGGAAUUCACCUGAGUCCUCUUCGGCAUAUGUCGGGAUACAUACUUAAUCCUCCUUCCUUCUGGGGUGGUAAGCAAAAUCGACUUACUGGCGCAUUCAAUGUUCCCUUCAUACUUUGAUAACCAAUCCAUGCCUAAUGUCACAUCCAAUCCUUGCGAUUCCAAUACUAUUAGGUCCGAGGGAAACACGUAGUUACCAAUCCUUAAUGGUAACCGAUCACACCAUAAACUAGCCAUAUACUAUGCUCCUGGCGAGGUUACUAAUAUGGGUGAUCUAAGGGCUUGGGUUGGCAGUUUAUACUUAUCCACAAAUCCCCUUGAUAUGUAUGAAUGCGAUGCACCAGUAUCAAAAAGAACGAGUGCAGUAAAUGACUUAACCAAAAACUUACCUAUUACUGCAUCAGGCUGUGCUUCAACCUCCUCCACGUAAACGUGGUUCACUUGUCCUUUGUUGAAAGGGUUCGGCUUCUUCCCAGAGCUUCCAUUGCCAUUUCCAUUCUGGGCUUCAGGACAGUCAGUUGCAUAAUGUCCAGUCUUCUGGCACUUGAAACAAGUAACGUGACUUAGAUCCCUCUUGGCUGGGGUAGAUGGGUUAUUACGGUUCUGCCUGUUGCUUCCUCCAUUCCCAUUACCAUUCUUGGGUCCACUAUGGUUGUGCGAACUACCUCCUCCAUGGGUAUGCUGAAACUGUCCUCCCGAUUUCGGGGUAAAACGUGGCUUCUGCUGAGUUCCAGAAUUGUACUUCCCUUGUCCAUACUUCCUCUUACGGUUUUCAAUCUGCUGUUGCUUCCCUUCAAUCAUGAGAGCUCUAUCUACCAACUCCUGGUAGUUGUUGAAGGUUGCUACCAUCAACUGCAUGCUCAGCUCAUCAUUCAAUCCUUCGAGAAACUUCUCCUGCUUGGCUGCAUCUGUAGCAACGUCAUCGGGAGCAUAACGUGCUAACUUACUAAAGUCCUCCACAUACUGGCCUACGGUGCGUCCUCCUUGGCGUAGGUUGCGAAACUCACGCUUCUUCAUAGCCAUAGCUCCUGCUGAAACAUGGGCAGUACGGAAAGCUUGCUGAAACUGGUCCCAUGUGACAGUGUCAAUAGGGUGUGUGGCUGUGUAAUUCUCCCACCAUGAUGCUGCGGGUCCAUCAAGCUGAUGUGCGGCAAAACGCACUUUCUUCGCAUCCGUGCAUCCUACAGUGGUCAACUCCCUUCCAAACUUGCAGAGCCAAUCAUCUGCAACAAUCGGCUCGGUGCUGCUGGAAAACACCGGCGGAUUUAGCCUCAAGAAACGGGCUAAGUGAUCAACAGGUGGUGGGUUGUUGUUGUUGCCUUGGUUCUGUACUAACACUUGCAUCAGGGCAUUCUGCUGCUGAAUCAACUGAGUGAUCUCCGGUGGGAAAACAAAUCCGGUGUCGUGUCUCGGAGGCAUCUGAUAGGUUUAGAAAAGAUGAGAAUUUAGAAUAGAAUGAGGUCUAGAGAGAAAACACUACCCAUAUGCUCAUGAGGCAAACACAAUCAAUAUCACUCCAUCAAAAUCAAACAAGGCAUACAAUCGAUCUAACUAUCGUUACAAAAAAAAAA